rnacentral:lncRNA from 1 species
GAGCUCAUAGGUGGGAGAUAAAGUAUACAUACUUACAAAACAUUUAUUGCAAAGUCAAACCAUGGAUCUAGAGAAACAAGUCAAUAAGUCAAUUCAAGAUGUGCAUGUGUGGCGAAUGAAUGGUGUAUGGUGAUGAUGGUGAUAAUCGGUGCUUCCGGUGGCGCCUCUUCUUCGUGUACAACUAUCUUCUCUCACCACACCUGACUCAGUGCUACGGUCUCCUUAGGACAAUUUUGUUCAAGCUGUAUGUCUUCAGACCUUACCACUUCUCCUUCGUAGUCUGCCCAUCUGUCCUUGAUGAUUUGCCUCCUCUGGUUGUGGUUGCGUUGUCUUCUUCGUGUCCUGACCUACUUAGAGUCUUCAACUAUAUAGUUAGGGUUAGUAAAAUAGCGACGUACCUUCUCAGAGGGGAAGUGCAUGUGGGCUUCUCCGGUUCCAAUGUAGAUGAUUGCUUUAAAGGUGCUUCAAGCCUCUUGGUAGUAGUCGUUCGUGAAAGCAUAAAAGGCGUCGGAGUACCAUACUGCAUCGAAUUGGCGCUGGGGCCUAGACCUUGAGGCUCCAUAUGGAUCAGUGUAAUACCUACCCGUACAAGAAGGUCGGUUUGUCCGCUGGUGAUCUUGGCACUCCAGCCAUGUCUCCUGUGUCGGCUCCUACGGCUGAGCAUGUUGAACCCACGGGUCCCGAAGGACUCGGCGGUUGUAGUCACGGUAAUGUAGGUACGUUGCUUCUUCCGGCCUGGGAUCAGCUCCAUACUAGGUGCAUUCUUGAUGGGUGGUCAUCCUUUCAGAUGGCACUCGCUGUGGAGCUCUCUGGUUUACCGGUACCACUGCAAUCUCAAUCAAAUAAUUUUGAACAACAUAGAGGCCAUGGUUCGGGUCAGGUAACCGAAUCUUGCCUUUAUUAUCGUAUAUCAUAUACAUUACGUUCAGCAUCCGAGCUUGCCUAAAUGUGUCAUAGACAUGAUAAAUUCGUAACUCGUCAAUGAAUUACAAUGACGAGUUUUCUAGCAAAUUGAGACUAGAAGCUAGACGAGUGAUGAGUGAAGUACAACCGACAGGUUCCUGGAGACUAGGUAUACUAAGCCAAUGAGAAACUAAAAGAGUAACAGGUGAAGUGGGUAUUUUAGUUAUUUCAGCAUAAAGAAGUUGUAAAUCUCCUACUCUUACUUUUCUGGUAUCAUCGUGAUGGAAAAGAUUGUACCCGAGCCAUUUGUGGAACAUCCUAAGAGUGGGGUGUUCCAUGUCGCUGGUUCGGGCUUGAUUAUAAAACUCAUCCCUAGAUAUCUCUCUCUAGAAUUGGUGUCUCUCAAGAUUGGGCAAGUCGGAGUCAAUGUCCAGGAUGCAUCUUGAAGAGAAACCGAGAUGGUCGCUCAAUUCUCUCCAAGACAACGUAAUGUCCUGUUUGAACAUUCGAAAAGCGAUUCCCCCCUCAUAAUAUUGCAAAGUGCAAAGAAAUUCAAUGGUGAGAAGACGGGAACCCAGCUCAGUUAUGUCCCAAAAAUCUAUCCAUCCCACCCUCUAGAAAAUCAAGUCAAAUUUGGUAUCCAUACCUAUUUCUUGUAGCAGGAUAGGAUCAAGAGUGGGGGUGUGAAUGAAAUCCUUGUUCUUUAGCUGUUGGAAAACUUUCUUCUCCCUACGGGACUUCAUUCCAAGGUCUCCUGUCUUGAGGAGGACCUUGUCUUGCGGAUCAGAUGAAGAUGACGGAGCUUGUGGGGGCGUCGGGUCAACGUUCAGCUCUGAUUGGUGCGAGGAGUGUCGGGAUGAGCUCCUCGUACUAAUGUUCUUGAGGACCUUUCCCGCGUUCUUCACCUUCUUCAUCAUCCUGCCAACAAAAGUUGACACAAACACAACUAAUGGAAAAUGUGAGAGAGAAAAAUGUUAGUGGUGAGCUGUCUGACUUGUUAGUAGUCCAUGGGUUAGUCGUCAAGACAAGUUUUUAUUUUGGCAGCGCCUCCCCCUAAACAACUUUCCGCUCUGGACAGUGGGAUCACCACUUACUAGGUGAACCUUACUCUCUUACUCAAAGACUACCAACCUUCCUUUCACUCUUCUCUUCUCUCCUCUCUCCUUCAUACUCUACUACAAGAGCUCCUUCUCUGGAAACUGAAACUUGCGUGGUUUUCUGGAAUGCUUGUGUGAAGAAGUUGGAGGCAGGAGGUGGUCUUUUAUAGGCUGAAGGAGGGACAGGGCGAGCGCCCUCUUUAGGUGGGCGGGCGCCCACCUUUGGUGGCCAUCCCGGCUGCUUUUUACUCCCUCCACUGCUUAUCUCUUACGUAGAAUAAUGUUGAGUGGGCGGUGGUUGGACGGUAGAAAAAUGCUGGUAAGUGGAAACAUAUCGGUGGAUCACAAGAUAUGGUGUAUGACAUGUGGGACCCAAGGAGUGUGGGUCAUGCUUCUAGAAGGUUGCUAUCAUAUAAUGCAGGAAAAUCUAUGAGAAUUGAAACUUGUGAUAAUGGAAAAUAUUUUUGUGCCUCCACAAUAAUUAAUAAAUAUGAGUUGUCACAUACCGUAAAUAUUAUUUAUAUGGGCUUUUGAUUAUUAUAAUAAUGCUUAUGAAUAAAUAUGGAUAAUGCAGGAAUUAAAUGAGAGAAUUAAUGAUGCAGAUAAAUACCGAUUUACCUCCCGGCGAGGGUUUGGGAUUUUCAGGUCUCCCAAGCUGGACCUCCAAAUCUUUUAAUCGUCUGAAUUACAUUCCUCUGGAGAUGGUGUUUCCAGUGGUUCUUCUUUACUGGGGGUUCUCUUGAUUAUUGAGAUAUUCGUAUGCUGCCUCAAUGGUCCUCUGAUCUUUUUUCAAGUAUUCGUUUUGUUUGGUGAUGAUGUUGAACUUUAUCUUGGAACCAGCUUGGGUCUUCUGCUAUCUUGUCCAAAAGUAGUUCUGGUUUUCCAAGUGUAUGUUCAAAAAGUGACCCUCCAGUAAUUGCAUCUAGGCUCUCACGAGCCUUUUGGGUUAAUCUACAGUGGAAGGUUUGGAUAAGUAACCAUCUGGCCAAUCCAUGGAGAGGACAUUUUGAUAUGUAUCCUUUAAAACACUUCCAUGCUUCUGGAUUGGAUUCUGUCUUUUGUUGUUGAAAGCCGGUGAUCUUUCUUCUUAGGGCAACUGAUUUGGUCAAUUUGCCUAUGGGAAAGAACUUUGCUAUAAAAGCCUUUGAACAGUUUGUCCAAGUAUUGAUAUCUUCUUUGUUGGUGUAGAACCACUUCUUUGCUCUUCCUUCAAGUGAGAACCGAAAGAGACAAAACCGUAUGCUAUCUUGGUUGACUCCAUCCACUUUGAUUAUGCUCAUAAUCUCUAAGAAAUUCUGCAAGUGUGUCUUAGCAUCUUCAUGUGCCUUUCCACUGAAUUGUGUAACUUGUACCAAAUUGAUGAGGCUAGGCUUGGUUGGACGUUCAAGAUUUCCUUCUUUUGCGUCGUGUCCUAGACUAGUGCAAAUGUCUUCAAUGCUUAGAGCAGAAAAUUCUCGCAGAGUCUCUUGUAGCUAACUUCAAUGAUUGGUAGCUAACUUCUUCUUUCUUUCUUGAUUGCUUUGGUUCUAAUGAUGAAGAGUUGAAUGUACCAAAGUCAAUCCUGAUAUACCCUGUAUAAAAAUAUAAACAUAGAAAAACAACAGGGUGAACCUGCCAAAGCAGAUGUGCCUUGUUAUGAUUUCUCAUUUUUAUAGUAGCUGUUUAUGCAAUUAUUUCUCCAUAGUCUAGUCUAAUAUUUUAUGUGAAUAACCUUGACUGACUUCCUGACUUUCCUUACCGUUCCCCAGCAACGGCGCCAGAAAUGCUUGUUGACACUUACUAACACCACUUGGAUACUAGGUUGUCAUCCCCAGCAUGGUGCCAGAGUGUAGAAAUGUAUUCAUGAAUGUAAAGGCUCUCUAGAAAAUAAUCUAUUCUAUCCGCAAGCGUAUAGAUAAAAUACCUCAUUGUAGCAUUUCACCAGGAAAAGUAUUCUGGGUAUCUAUUGGGUAUUUUAAACGCAAACAGAAAAAUCUGGAAGUGCAUGGAUACCGAUGUAGCUUUCACCCAGGAGUAUUCCAGAGUAUCGAUUUUCCACAGGGAACGUGAGUGUACUAAUUAAGAUUCAAGAUCGCCCAAGGAUAACUAUAUAAUUAUUUUUGGUGGGAAGAGAGGAAGUUUCCUGAGAGUUCUCUAGUUGAUCUAAGAAUCAAGAAUUACUUCAAAGAUUACUUAUAUCGGGACAUCAGAACACUAACCACAGAAAGAGAUGAGAGGGGGGCUAGGAAGCUCUGACCACGGUCCUACAAACACCGAUCCGAACGAGGUGGAAUACGUCGACCGUUAGGGCUGUCACUACCCUAGGGCUACCACAACAAUCCGCAGGAUUGGGUGCAAUUCCAGGUAAUUGCAAGACUAAACACCACGUCUAAUCUAUUAAUUACUACUCUUGCAUUGCAAAGACUAGAGCACUAGAUGCAAGCGGGAAUCCAGUAAAUAAAUUGAAUGUAUAUAAAAGUAAUUAAAGAACUCAGAAAUUAUGAAUUGAAGAACCUAGAGAACGAUGAAGAACAAACCAGUUGCUGCAAAAGUACAAUGUUGAGGAAGAUCCGACAGAUCCGGCUCCUCCUCCUCCGCUCUCCUCUUCUCUCUCCCUAUUUUCUAGAUUACAACUAUAACUAACUAGAACUAGAACUAGAGGAACUAGAACUAGAACUAGAUGAACUAGAGGGAUCCUCUCUACUUGGAUGAAGAAUUGAAACCCUAGCUUUGUUUCUGUAGAAGAGGUAUGCCUCCAGGGGCCAGGGGGCCUUGCUUAUAUAGUCUUUUCAGAUGAAUUUGGGCCAUCAGAUCAAACCAACAUUAAUCGCACAGUUUUCCUUGAUCCCUUAGGUCGGUGGAGCACGGUCCGCAAAGUUGAUCGUGAUUGGUGGAAAAAGGUGGGUGGGCGCCCUGUCCCUGAGCCCUCUCGGCUUCCCGUUCGUUCCCGUGGCUUCUGGAGUCUUCUAGAUGAUAGAAAAUUGCACGGUAUGUUUAUAUCUCUAUGUAAACCCGACGUGUGGGCCUUUCCUCCGUAUUUCCUGAUAACCCCCUACAGAAAUAGACAAACACCAAAACUCGUGGAAUUCUGUCCGAUAAAUCCCUAAGUCUGGGUGUUGGUUGCAUAUAAGUCCUUUUCCAUGUUUAGUUGAUGGUUAAAUGUGAGCAUUAAGGACCGUCAACAAGCUCCCCCAAGCUUAACCUUUGCUCGUCCCUGAGCAAAGCUAAAAUCAGCAAGAAAACAGGGGUUACUUAAAUUAUCACUAAAGUCUUAAGUGAUUGAAGAACAGAACGAUCAAGUCAAGCACUAUGUCUCAAGUUCUUUUGUCUUACCUUUGUUCUGGAGUUUUUUUUUAAGUUUCCAGAAUAAAAAUGAGGCAUUUGCCUUCUUCUCGAAAGAUAUAUAAGUAGAGCUUUAAAAGUUUUAGCAUACAUACUUUGCAUUUUGCUAUGUCAAUGCUCGGAGCAAGGGAGAGGAAUGUCAUACUCCUAGAUCAAGACCUUUGACCUUUUUGAAAAGUUUGUCAUCUCUUACUAUCAUAUUGCUUAGAGGGACCAUGGGCUAUCAUUUUUUUUCUUUCUUUUUUUUCAGUCUCUCUCACUCUCUCUCUCUCUUUUUUCAAGUGGGCACCAAGUACCCCUAAUUCUACUUGUAAGAAUUACCUAACUCCUUGUGCUUGAUUCUCUUAUCAUGCCAUCAUUUUGUUCUCUCUUUAUAGAUCCUUGAAUUGUGGUAGGCUUUCUCUCUCCAUUCUCCUAGCUCAGAUAGUUUCAUCAGACGAUUCUCGCUUGCGAGGUGGAGAUCCAUGUUCCAUUUCUUGAGUGCCCAAUGAGCCUUAAACUCUACUUCCAUAGGCAAAUCACAAGUUUUCCAUAUACAAGUUGAUAAGGUGACAUGCCUAUGGGUGUUUUGAAUGCAGUUCUAUAUGCCCAAAGUGCAUCAGGAAGUUUGUCCUUCCACCCCUUACCCAUCUCAUCUACGGUCUUUUGUAAAAUAUUUUUGAUUUGUUUAUUAGAUGUUUCGGCUUGACCGCUAGUUUGAGGAUGGUAUGGUGUUGCGACGUUGUGUCGAACUCCAUGAUCGGCUAGGUACUUCCGGAAGAUUUUGUCGAUGAAGUGGGAACCUCCAUCGCUUAUAACUAUCCGAGGUAUACCAAAGCGAGGAAAGAUUACUUCAUGGAACAUUCUCUUGGCAUGUUUUGAAUCAGCUGAUCGACAAGGUAGGGCUUCUACCCAUUAGGACACGUAGUCCAUAGCUGCUAAGAUAUACUCGCAAUUACCGGACAUAUUGAAUGGCUCCAUGAAAUCGAUGCCCCAUACAUCGAAAAGUUCUACUUGAAGAUUAUUUGUGAGAGGCAUUUCAUUUCAUGAGUUGAUAUUCCCAUGUUUUUGACAUCGGUGGCAUCUCCUGACAAAGUCCUUUGUAUCUUCAUACAUCGUUGGCUAGAAAAAACCACUUUGCCAAAUUUUAGCAUGUGUCCGGAAUGCUCCGUAGUGUCCUCCAUAUGGCGAGGCAUGGCAUCUUUCCAUAAUUUGAGUAGCCUCAGCCAUAGGAACAAACUUUCUCAAGAGUCCAUCAGCGCAGACUCGGAAAUGAUAUGGCUCAUCCCAAAGGUGGAAACGACUAUUGUGAAGCAACUUCCUUUUGUUUGUACCAGGUGGGACAUAGCCUUUUACUAUAAAGUUUACGAAGUUUGCGUACCAUGGAUCUGCAUGUGUUAUCUUAAGCAGGGUGUCAUCCCUUAGGUAGUCAUUUAUGGGAAGCUCAUCAUGUGUUUCCUUAUAUUGAAGCCUAGACAAGUGGUCGGCUACGGAAUUCUCUACUCCCUUCCUGUCUCGGAUUUCUAUGUCAAAGUCUUGGAGUAGAAGAAUCCAUCGAAUUAGACGAGGCUUAGCAUCCUUCUUAGUGAGGAGAUACUUGAGAGCAGCAUGGUCUGAAUAGAUGAUUAUCAUUGCCCCCACUAAGUAAGAUCUAAACUUGUCUAUAGCAAAGACAACAGCCAAAAGCUCUUUUUUAGUUGUAGUGUAAUUGAGCUGUGGUCCAGACAAGGUUUUGCUAGCGUAGGAUAUGGCAUAAUGUUUUUUAUCCUUGGUUUGUCCUAAAACGGCACCAACCGCAAAAUCGCUAGCAUCACACAUGAUCUCAAAAGGAAGAUUCCAAUCAGGUGGUUGGAUAAUUGGGGCUAAGAUAAGUGCUUUUUUAAGAGUUUGAAAAGAUUCAUGACACUCAUCACUAAAGAUGAAAGGUGCAUCCUUACCUAGGAGACUAGUUAGGGGUCUAGCAAUUUGAGAGAAGUUCUUGAUAAAGCGUCUAUAGAACCCUGCAUGUCCCAAAAAGCUACGGAUUCCAUUCAAAUUUGUGGGAGGUGGUAGUUUUUCAAUAACUUCAAUCUUUUCUUUGUCCACCUCUAUACCACGUUCGGACACUUUAUGUCCUAGCACUAUUCCUUCCUGAACCAUAAAAUGGCAUUUCUCCCAGUUCAGGGUUAAGUGCUUUUCUUCACAUCGCUGCAAGACUCUAUCUAAAUUCUCCAAACAAUGAUCGAAGGUUUUGCCAUAGACGGUAAAAUCAUCCAUGAAAACCUCCAUGAUCUUCUCAAUCAUGUCUGAGAAAAUAGACAUCAUGCACCGUUGGAAAGAAGCUGGAGCAUUGCACAAUCCGAACGACAUUCGUCGGUAUCCAUAAGUUCCAUACGGGCAUCUAAAGGUAGUCUUUUCUUGGUCAUAUGAGUGGAUUGGGAUUUGGUGAUAUCCAGAAUAACCAUCAAUGAAACAAAAGAAAGAGUGGUUUGCGAGCCGUUCCAACAUUUCAUCAACGAAUGGUAAUGGAAAGUGAUCUUUCUUUGUAGCCUUGUUGAGUUUUCGAUAGUCAAUACACAUACGCCACCCAGUGACAAUUCGUUGAGGGAUGAGUUCAUUCUUCUCAUUCCUAACGACCGUCAUUCCUCCUUUCUUUGGCACAACUUGGAUAGGGCUAACCCACUCACUAUGUGGCACAGGAUAAAUAAUCCUAGCAUUAUAGAGUUUGAGGACCUCUUUCUUAACAACCUCUCGCAUAGCAUUGUUAAGUCUUCGCUGUGGUUCCCUUGAAGGUGUAAAAUUGGGAUCAAUAGAGAUACGAUGAGUGUAGAGAAUGGGACUAAUGCCCGUGAGAUCUUCGAGAGAGUAGCCAAAUGUUGAUCUAUGCCUUUCAAGAAUAGUGACAAGUUGUUGUGUUUCAUAAUCGGAAAGCUUGUCACUCAUAAUUACUGGGGUUUUUGGGUUGUUGUGCCAAAAAAAGACAUAUCUAAGGCCAGAAGGAAGAGGUUUUAACUCUAUCGAAGGAGGUGAAGGUUGUUCAUUUUUGUCUAGCUCAACGGGUUCUACCAACUCUUCUUCUUCUUGAAAAAAGUAUUCAUGAUUGAAGAAUGGUUGGGCCGUCUCCUCUUGAGUCAGCAUUAAGAUCUCCUCAAUAGGAUCGGGUUCAAGUUUGGGUUCCACUAUUGUGUUAAGUGAUCUAGCAAGAGGAACAACAAUAGUGGAAUUCCCAACCUUGAAGUCUAAAUGACCUCGUUGUGGUUGUUGUUGUAGAAGUUUCAUAAUUGGUCUGCCAAUUAAGAGAGGAAUCUCCGGUAUGUCAACAAUGUGAAAAUCUAGGCAUAUUCCAGAGUCCUUGAUUCUAAUAGGAACUGCCCUUAAUACCCCAUGGCUUUCUAGAAUUAAUCUAGAUGGACUUUGUAAAAGAUUUUGAGAUGGGCUUAUUGACUCGUUGGGAUAAAGAGUGUCAGCUAACUCCUCGGAAAUAACAUUUAUCCCAACAUAUGGAUUGUAGUGGACCUUCCUAGCGGACCUUCUAAUUUGGCACAAAAGAAUGGUUGAAGGAGUGAUGAUUCGAGCUACCUUAGGAGACAGCUCUGCUUCUGUUAGCCAUUCAUAACUCAGAAUAGCCAAAAGGCUUUUGAUGUGUUCUAUGUCAACAAAUUCUACUCUUAGGAUGGAUUGAGUGGUCGUUGCUAGAGGUCGUGUUUGGAUAUGAAAAUUCGAGGUGUUUCAAUAAUCUUCAAAAAGAUCUUCCUUGAAUUCAAAGGGAUGCUCUAAAGGUGGUGGAUCAUCAUCCCUUAGUUAGUUUUGCAUUCCUUUAUCAGGAGGUUUCUCUACAACCAAAUUAAUGGAUGGGUCAGGUGGAAUUUCUAACUCGGUUGCAAGUUCCUCAUAUUUUGGUUUAGGAUCAGGCUCGACUUCUUUCUCUUCUUCAGGAAACUCAUCAUAAAUGCCUGUGUAAGGGGUAUUUUCAAGGAUUCUCUCUAGGAUAGCUCUCCCCUCAUCUGUGAGGUUGUGUGUGAAUGAGCCUCCUGAAGCAAUAUCGUGGUGAAGAGCAUCUUCCUUGUUUAGACCACGAUAAAAGUGAGUACAGUACAUGGUCAGGCAAGGAAAGGUUUGGACCAGAAUUGCUAAGGCUUGUGAACCUAGCCCAAGCUGCUCCUAAAGUUUCCUUCUCUCUUUGUUUGAAUGUAAGAAUUUUGAUUCUAAGGUCAGCGAUUCGAAAAAGUGGAAAGAAAGCGAGACAAAAGUUGUCCCGAAGUUCAUCCCAAUUUCCAUUAACGCCUCCUACAGAAUGAGCAUACCACUUUUUUGCUCUUCCCAAAAGGGAGAACGGAAAUAAUUUCCAUUUAAGGGUUUCUUGUGUCAUGCCGGAAAUAGAUCGGCAAGAGCACAACUGCUCGAAUUCUCUAAGGUGGGUGUAUGGAUCUUCAUCUACUUGCCCAGAGAAGGGUUGCUCCUAAUUCAUGGCUAUCAGAUCAGGGCCGAGGUCGUAGCCAUCUGUAAGAAUUGGAUGGGAUGAUGGUGGUGGCUCUAAUAAAUCGCCCUUUGGAGCAAAGAAUUUAUAGAUAGGAGUGAAAUCCAUGUGGUAUGGUGAAAAUGGUAAGGUGAGUGUGGUAAAAAAAGGGCUGAGCCUGUUCUCUUCUCUCUCCUCCUCCUCCGCUCUCCUCUUCUCUCUCCCUAUUUUCUAGAUUACAACUAGAACUAACUAGAACUAGAACUAGAGGAACUAGAACUAGAACUAGAUGAACUAGAGGGAUCCUCUCUACUUGGAUGAAGAAUUGAAACCCUAGCUUUGAUUCUGUAGAAGAGGUAUGCCUCCAGGGGCUAGGGGCCUUGUUUAUAUAGUCUUUUCAGAUGAAUCUGGGCCGUCGGAUCAAACCGACAUUAAUCGCACGGUUUUCCUUGAUCCCUUAGGUCGGUGGAGCACGAUCCGCAAAGUUGAUCAUGAUUGGUGGAAAAAGGUGGGCGGGUGCCCUAAGGAGUAGGGCGGGCGCCCUUUCCCUGAGCCCUCUCGGUUUCCCGUUCGUUCCCGUGGCUUCUAGAGUCUUCUAGAUGAUAGAAAAUUGCGCGGUACAUUAAUAUCUCUAUGUAAACCCGACGUGUGGGGCUUUCCUCCGUAUUUUCUGAUAACCCCCUACAGAAAUAGACAAACACGAAAACUAGUGGAAUUCUGUCUGAUAAAACCCUAAGUCUGGGUGUUGGUUGCAUAUAAGUCCUUUUCCAUGAUUAGUUGACGGUUAAAUGUGAGCAUUAAGGACUGUCAACAGUAUCGUUAUUUAUAUUUUUGCUUAAGAGAACGGUGGAGGUCAAUAAAAUCUAUCAAGGCAUAGACUAGAGAUAAACUUGCAAGAACAUGAUUACUAAUGAGAAACUCGUCACACAGUCACUUGCUUUAGCAGGGGGUAAGCCAUAAUAACAAUGAUAAUGAAAUAUAAGCUCAUGGGUAAAUAACACAGCGAUUAGAAAAUAAACUACUCCUCAUAUAUGUAAGGUGACGUCGGAUUAGCUAGAGAAUGCAUUCUGAGUUAUCUACUAUCUACUAAGUCACAAUCUACUCUAGUUAUCUACAAGAUCAUAUAUAGCAUAAAAGACUCGUCAUUCAUGUAUAAGGAACAUUGCUAAAGUAAAUGAGAACAUCACAAUACUUACUCCGCAAUACAAAUUCUGCCUGUCCUAUCAACGGAGGGUGGACUAUAUAAGUGUCCACGAAGCUGUCACCAUCGCGAUCUACCACACGACUCGGCCAAUAGGAUACAUUUGCAGGUAAAUAACAUCUAAGCACCACGCCCACAUGUGAUCUACCACUUAGCUCCCACGUGUCAAGAGCUAAGCGCUUUGCAAACUUAUACAUAAACUCAUUAUCAAUCAUAACUAUAUCAAAUAUAGGACUAGACCAAACUAAGAACAUAAUAAAUAGAGACAUAAUGCAAUUAGAAUAAAGUAGUAGAGAAAGAUAUGAAAUAAUACCAAUCUUUAUUGAUGAAGAUCCGAAUCUAGGGCGCUAGGCUCUACUUCUCUAAUUCUAUCUAAUCAAUCCUAUAGAACUUGAUGGAACUAGGAGUUGCUAAUUCUUAUUCUUUGUGGGAGAGAAAUUUCUAAACCCUAACUUUGAUGGCUUCCUGUGAUAAUGAUUUCUCCUCCCCCCUGGGGUGGAGAGGCCUUGGCUAUAUAGGCCCCUCAGAUGAAUUUGGGCCGUUGGAUCAAACCGACAUUAAUCGCACGGUUUUCCUUGAUCCGUGAAGUUGGUUCUGAUUGGUCCUCAGACCAGGGCGGGCGCCCAAGGGGGGAGGGCGGGCGCCCUGUCCCCGGACCCGUCCGGUCUCCCGUUUGUUCCCGUGGCUUCUAGACUCUUCUGGAUGUUGGAUAAUUACGCGGUACGUUAAUAUCUCUAUGUAAACCCGACGUGUGGGCCUUUCUUCCGUAUUUCCUGAUAAACCCCUGCAGAAAUAGACAAACAACAAUACUCGUGGAAUUCUGUCAGAUAAAACCUUAAGUAUGGAUGACGAUUGCAUUUGGAUCCUUUUAUUUGUUUAUUUGGUAAUUAAAUUUGAGACUAAAGGACCGUCAAUAGACGCCCUGAAGAUGCUGCGUAUGGCAGGUCUGACCACCGCGCUCGUUCUCUCGGCAGUCCACCAUCGACGGGUACUCCCGUUGAUGUCUCAACUGUUGAGGAUGGACGAGAUGGGCCCUGUUGUUUCAUCUCGGGACCUGGAGGCAUGCCGCAUGUCCAACAUUGUGCCCUCAGACGAGGAGGUUGCUGCCAGGGUCAGUGCGGCUGUUGCGGGCGGCUUCCAGCCAGAGCAUGUCAACAGCCUACCCAUGAGGCCUGAGGAAGGCUGCCUCGAUCUGGUAAGCUCUUUUCGCUAUCAUUACUCGGUUCUUGUGGUAGGUCAUGUCGUUCUUUAUCUCAAUCUUUCAGGUUUCUCCAAGAGUUAUGCCUGCUCUGACAGGGGACGAUCGAUGCCCGGUCCUCGAAUCCUCUGGUGAAGGAAGACAACGUCGAUCGUGAAAAAGGCGUGCGUCCACAGAGAAGCAAAAGUCCGUAAAGGACAUAGAGAAGACAAAGGAAAAGAAGAAGAACCUCGAGCGGCAAACGCUCAAAAAAUGCCGAGCCAAGUCGAGGCGUGAGGGGGAGUCGGAGGAGUACUCUCCUGACGAGGACGAUGGAAAUGAUGGCGACGACGAUAGCAAUGACUCCAAGGGGAUGGCAUCUCGCCUCGACAGGAUCCUAGAAGACCCAUUGCGAACUGAUGUCGAUACAUCGCGCAUGGGGGCUUCCAAAACGCCACCAGGUAGGCCCCGCGAUGGGCGCCGGAAGGAGGCGUCGCCGCGCUGUUCGCUUGCCGACACCCUCCUACGCCCGUGCAAGGUCACAUCAUUUCUCAGCUGCAACCCCCUCUGGCGUCCGGCACGGGCCAUAGGGUGAAAACCUUGGCAACAGGGCCGUUGACUCGCGGCCGCGCCACCGUGGCGGUUUCGAGCCAGGAGCAAGGGCACCGUAGGAGUGCUAGUCCCGGCGUUCGUUCGGCGGGAAGCAUGGAACCGAGGCCCGUGCCCGCUCGGGAGAAGCCGGGGGCCACAACGCGGGGUGGCUCGAGACCUGCCGGUCGAGGAACUGGUAGGUGGGUGAUCCUUCCCGUAGGGUAAGGUCUACGUGUUGCGAUUUUGUUUUCGAUGUCUUGUUCGUCCAUCGGUUUCCACCUCUUUAAUCUACCUCUUCCUUUCUCAGGCUGAAGAGGCCAUUGGAACAGGCUCAGCCCUCGAUGACCAAGAGGCUCAAGGCGGGGGCAAGCUCCAAGGCACCGAGUGAGUGACUUGUUCCUCUUUUCGUGGUUCUAGUGUCAGGUUCAUUUAGUGCUGAGUCUCUUUGUGACCGACGUGUCGCUUUGGGGCGUGUACAAGUUCCCUCGACCCUCGACCACCCGCUGGCGAUGAUAAGACACCGCCUCGACCGUCGAAGGGGGUGAUAGCUCCAGAACCAUCCUGUCGUCCCCUGUACGGGGCAAGACGCCUCGUCCCCAUGGUCAGGAGGGAGCCCCCGAGCCACCCCAGUCAGGGGGAGUGGGCGACCCCAUCACUAUCAGCAAUGAGUCUGGUGGUGGUUCGCAUUCAACAGAUGCUCGUGCCAUGGACAAGGGGGCGAGACCCCUCAGAUUGAGGGAUGGACACCAUGGCCCAUCGGGCUCCAUUCCGUCGAGGAGAAGAAGAAGAAGGACGAGGAGGAGUGGAGGAAAGAAGAAGAACAGCGUCGUCCGCAGGGGCAGCUGUCACCUCAGCAAGAGGCGCAGGCACGGCAGUAGCAACAGGUGUAGGAGCAGGAGCAGCAGCAGCCAUAGUUGCAGGAGGAGCAGCAGCAGGAGAAGGCACAGCAGGAGGUGUCGGAGCAUCUGCAGCAAGAGCAGGGGGCGCAAGUGCAUCUCGAGGAGUAGUUGGAACAAUGUUGGUAGCAAGAACUGUAGGAGCUUCAACAGCAGCAGCAGCAGCUGCUGGAGGGGCUGUUCGAGCAGCCACCGCAAGAUCUGCACAAGCCAUGGUCGCUGCCACCGCAAGGGCCCAAGGCCGGGGAAGAGGAGCUGCCAUUCUAUGGUCCCCCGACUCCCGUGUGGCUCUGCCCUGGGGGGCAUGUUACCAUCCUGGCCGAGCCAGGGCGGGCGGACGGUGUCGUGGCGCUUGCGUGUGGCAUGCGCACAUUGGUGGAUCCCCGCUCUGAGAUCAAAGGUACCAUUUAUGGUAUCGACGGGAUCGCCCCGAGGUUCCUCUAGGGUCAACGGCCUUGGCAUUUUAACGCCGGCGGGGGAGACGAGGCUGGGACCUUUGGCGGCAGCGACACUAACGAGGCCAGGACUUGGAGGUCGGUGGAUGAUGACGGGCGGUUUCCCUCCCUCGUUGAUCUGUUCCUACGCACGGGGGCUUACUCGAGAUAGUGCAAGAACUCAUCCAGGGCGUUAAGGCGCGCACAGAGGAGGAGAUGGAGCACUGGGGCCUAGGGAGGAUCCGCCUUCGAGCCUCCACUUCUCCGGACGAGCCCAACAUCAUGAUGGACGACCAGAAGGAGGCGAAGAAGUGGGAGCACCUCGAGGAGCUUCAUCUUUGGAUGAAGCACGUUGUGGGCCUCAUGUCCGACAUCGUCAAUAACGGGCUCGGCCAGGCUUUCUUUGUAAGUAUCUUUGGAUUUUUGUUAUUCGGGAGCUUUUGUUAGGCCUGCAUUCUUACUACCUUGUGAUCUACUGCAGGAUUUGAAGGAGACGUCCUACCUAAAGUUGGGUUUUAUCCAUGCGACGAGGGGCGGUUGGGAGCAGCUCCCUCUUCUUAAGGAUCAACUCCUCGAGUCACAAGAAAAGCUCCUUUAGGCCUACAAGGAUCUUACGGCAGCCUUGGAGGAUAAGAAGGAGAGGGAAGCUGCUCUAACCGAGGCUCGGAAUACUCUGUCUACUAUGGACAACAAGGUCUCCUGGGCGGAGGAGGAUGCCCAAGUCGCUUGAGAGGUCUCAGAGAGGGCAAAGGAGUUAGCCGCACAAUCGAGGGAGCGGGCUGCCUUGGCUAAGGAGGCGGCUACCAAGGCCCAGGAGGAGGCCGCGCGGCAUAAGGGCGCGGCCGUCGAGCUGGACAAGGAGAAAAAGCUUGUCGAGUCUGAACUCGUUGCCACCUGAAGUGCCUACCACGGAAUAAAAGAGGAACAUUUGAAGAGCGAAAUUGCUCGAGGCACUGCAGAGGAGGCUGAGAAGAAGGCCCGCGAGGAUCUCGAGAUAGAGCAAAUCCGUUCUCGCGGCCUUUCUGACAAUGUUGAUCGUCUGAAGAGAAUGCUGCAAGAGAAGGAGGAAGCUAUCUUAGAGUCAGGUAAGAUGAUCGAGGACCUGUGGGUCAAAAAUACAGAUCUAGCUCGCUCCUAGAAGGAGAUCGAGAUGGCCAACACCGACAUAGUUGGUGAGAUCAUAGCUCUAGAGGAAAAGAUUCGCGGUAAGUUUUUCGUGCUCUCGUGUUUCUUUUGUCUGGUUUUUCUUUCAUAUCGUCUAACCCUCCUGUCUCGGUCUUUGUAGGGCUUGAGGAAGAUCUGCUGGCCGCCCAGGUGGACACCCGAUCUUCUAAGGCUCAGCUCGAGGCGGAGGUCACUCUAACCAGUCGACUAAAGACUGCGAUAAACGACCUCUCGACCUCCUAGGAGCUCGAGCCAGUGGAUGAGUCAAGGAAGGCCGCUCGAGGUGACGCCCUAGUUGAUCAGCUAUACUACCUGGGUGCCACUCUGAGGGAUCAGGUGUGAGACGCACUUCAUACCGGGGUGAAGCGGGCAAUGGCAGUUGUCUGCUCGGGCUUCUCCUACGAUAUGGAUGUGGUGUCCCAUGGUUUCGUCACCGACAUCUCCAAGACUGACGCUGAGAACAAGGUGAGGCUCCAUGCCUUGAUCGACGACGCGGAAGUUCCUGGCGAGAGGAUGGCGAAACUGUUCGAGCUAGAGGUGCUGCCCCCGAGACUGGUGCGGUCGCGGAAGACUAAAGGCAGAAGGGAAGACAGAGGGGCUGUGAGCCUAAUCCGGGUGUCAGGACCCAUUGUAAUAUACUUGUUUCGAUUAAACGCUAUGGCUCGAGUGGCCUUAAGACUUGUCGUUUUCAUGUAUAUUUGUUUAUUUUUAUGCUCGAGUUUCUUUUACUUCCUUUGAUGCCUAAGUCUGCGUUCCUCAAUCGAUCUUUCAUUAGCGUGACUUCGAUUACCUUGAGGGUGAGGGAGUGAGUAGAGUUACCGUUGCCCGGAGGCGUAGGGGUUCUCAGGCUCGACGUCCCUCGGCCCUUAAGUGGCUCGAGGUGCCUUUAUUACUCGGUCAUGCUUGGUUUCCUUAGGGCUUGAAAUGUAAGAGAGAUAACAUUGAGCUUAUUUGAAAACUCGUUUGAUUUUUAGAAACCUGUGGGGGGUACCCCCUGCUAGCCCUCGAGGGAGUGUCGACUAUGAUGGGUCAUAGUCGAGACUUCCUCCUAAUGUCGAGGUUUAACUGGUAAUUGUUGGGCAUUCUUAACGUCACUACCAAAAGUAGACUUAGUUUUCUAAUUCUGAUAACGGCGCCAAAAAUGCCGAACCUAUCCCUCAUGCCACUUAAGCCAAGUUGUCAUCCCCAGCAUGACAUGAGAGACGCGAUAAUGAAAUAUGCAAUUGCUCUUCUGAAUAAGUAAUAAAUGAGAUAUGCAAGCGCACAGAUUAAUACCGAUGUAGCAUUUUAACCGGGAAGUAUUCCAAGUAUCAUUAUUUAUAUUUUUACCACUAGGAAGGGAUUACUAGACAUCAAUGUUGAUUAUGGAAUGCAAUAUAGAAUUGAGUAUCUAUCAUUGCAUGUAUAAUUGAGAGCAUUUAUAUAUCUCUUUCAUACAGGGAUAAAUGUCACAUAAAGGAUAGAUAAAGUAUAAAUGGUGACAAAGAUAAUUAAAUAGAUCAACAUAACUUAGCCACAUAUAAAUAUGAUAAGCACCUCAAUAGAUAUUCUAGCAAGUCAUUAGCAUGGAAUUAGGACGAACUACAAGAAUAUUUCCUAAGUUAUUCUUAACUAUAAAGUCAAGCAUAUCAUAGUUAGUGCAAUUAUACUUGGCAAUCAAUGCUAGACAGGACUACGCCCAUGCAUAGUGAUAUUAUCAAGGUAAAUGAGAAACAUAGCAAUCACUCCCCUGUAAUAAUGUUCUCUGCCAGCCCUAUACAUGAGAGGGGGACUAUAUAAGAAUCAAUGGAGCUGUCACUACCACAAACUACCCCGUGAUCCGGCAUAUAGGGUACAAUCGCAGAUAAAUAUGAUAUAGGCACCACGCCUACACAAUACUUAUCAUUUACCCACUGUACACAUGGAUAAACGCUAUAUAAUCCUAAACAUGUAUAUAAUUCCAAUCUAACUAAGCCAAGCAUAUAACUAUGAUAAACUAAGAACAAUAUAAUUGCAAAUAUAAACAAGUAGAGCAAAGUCAUAAUUAAUAUAUUGAAGUAGAACAAAGUCAUAUUCAUAAUAUUGAAGAACAAAGAUGAACAAUUGAAGAACAAUAGAGGAAUUACCAAGAAUCCUCUUGGCAGAUCCAGAAACCAAUCGAAGAUUGACUCCUUCUAGUUCUAAUCCUACGUAGCUAUGAUAAACUAGAGAUCUAUUGAUGUGGUGGCUCUAAGGGCAUGAUCAGAGGCUUCUUCUCCCGAGAUGGAUAAUGAAUUAGUGUUCAGAGGUCCCCUACUCCAGGGGCCAGGGGGUCUGCUUAUAUAGUCCUUCCAAAUGAAUGUGGGUCGUCGGAUCAAACUGACAUGAAUCGCACGGUUUUCCUUGAUCCUUUAGGUCAAUGGAGCAUGAUCCGUGAAGUUGGACCUGAUUGGUUGCCUGGCCAGGGCGGGCGCCCAAGGGGGGAGGGCGGGUGCCCUGCCCCGGGCCCGAUCGUCCUCCCGUUUGUUCCCGUGGCUUCUGGACUCUUCUAGAUGUUGGAUAACUACGCAGCACGUUAAUAUCUCUAUGUAAACCCGACGUGUGGGCCUUUCUUCCAUAAUUCCUGAUAACCCCUGCAGAAAUAGACAAACACCAAAACUCAUGAAAUUCUGUCAGAUAAAACCCUAAGUCUAGUUGCUGGUUGCAUUUGGAUCCUUUUCUUUAUUUAUUUGCUGAUUAUAUUUGAUACUUAAGGUCCAUCAACAGUAAUAACAUGCAUUACUUUGAAAAAGUACUUUUGUUUAUUCAGAUAUUCGUUCACAGGGUCUCGAUACAAUACGUGCAUGAAAAUGUAAAGCCUCGAAGCUCUAAGGGUAGAAGUGAUGUUGCUGUUUGCUGUUCCAUGCGUUGGUGAAGAACGCCCCCUUUUCAUCCGCUAGCUUGUACGUUCCUGGCUUCAAGACCUCGGACACCACGUAUUUGCCCUCCUAAGGUGGAGUUAGCUUGUGGCAUCCUUGAUUGCUUUGUCGUUGAUGCAGGACGAGGUUGCCUACGUUUAGGUAUCUUUUGCGCACAUGUUUAUCAUGGUAGUGUCAGAGCUUAUGCUGGUACCUUGCUGAGUUGAGGAGGGCCAUGUCUCGAGCUUCCUGGAGCUGGUCGACCAUGUUCUCUCGAGUCUCCAUGUUCGUCUACUCGUUGUAGGCUUUGAGUCGAGGUGACCCAUACACGAGGUCUGUUGGUAGCAUAGCCUCGGAGCCAUAGACCAUGAAGAACGGGGUAUACUUUCUAGCUCUGCUUUGCGUUGCUCUUAAGAUCCAAAGGACUGAGGAGAGUUCCUCGACCCACUUUUUGCCGAACUUUUUCAACCGAUUGUAGAUUCUAGGUUUGAGCCCUUGCAAGAUCCUGCCAUUGGCUCGUUCGGACCUCGCUGUUAGUUCGAGGGUGAGCUACUACGGACCAGUUAACACGGAUGUGGUGCCGAUCACAGAAGUCCAAAAACUUUUUGCCAGUGAACUGUGUGCCAUUGUCGGUGAUGAUGACGUUGGGUAUCCCGAACCGGCGGACGAUGUCGGUGAAGAAGAGGACAGCCUGUUUGGUGUGGAUCUUUGUGAUGGGUCCAGCGUCGAUCCAUUUGGAGAACUUGUCGAUGGCUACCAGCAAAUGGGUGUAUCCACCCACUGCCCUUUGGAGAGGGCCUAUGAGAUCGAGGCCUCAUACUGCGAAUGGCCAAGUGACGGUGAUCAUCUGCAAAGCGUGGGCAGGGAGGUGGGUUUGCUUGGCAUAGAAUUGGCAACCGUGGCAUGAGCGAACGAGCUCGAUGGCGUCAGCAACGACAGUUGGCCAGUAGAAACCUUGUCGGAAGGAAUUUCCCACGAGGGUCCUUGGAGCCGCAUGGUGGCCACAAGCCCCUGUGCCUAGGUCGACGGAUAGCUCAUGCAGGUCCCUUGAAAAUGCAUCUGGUGGGACAGUGCCUUGAGUGGACGCAAUCUUGGCGAGCUCUCGGCCGCUUCAUUGUAUCAUUGCGCGAUGUGAAUGAGCGCAAGGGCAUGCAACUUGUCCUCGAGCUUGCGUACUUCCUUACAGUAAGCUUCCAUCUAUGGGUCGUGGCAGCUCGAGGCCUUCAUGACCUAGUCGAUGACCAGUUGAGCAUGGUAGGAUUGGGCGGAGCUGUGAUGGCGUAAUGGCAUGGUUUCUAGCUGUCGCUCUGUGUUGGCCGGGACGAGAGCGCAGGCGUCAGGGUCUUCCUUGGGCUUCUUGUUGAGGUCGUAGGGGAUGACAUCCCAAUCGUCGUGGAACUCUUCGGCCAUUGGAGCAGCGAGGGACUAAGCAAGCUCUAGUUGAAGAAGAAGAGAAGUCUUGUAUGAAUUGGUGUUUGAAAACUGACGUCAGGGGUCUGUUUAUAUAGGGGUCAAAAAGUGCCUCUAGGGUUUUCUCGGGCUACUCCCGCCGCCGUGCGUGCGAAACUUUCCAUCUGUAUGAUUAUUUAGUUUACCAUAAAUGUAUUUAUCAUGAUGGAGGAAAUCGGGACUGAGAGGGGACAGGGGCUGGGCACCCGCCCUCAUCAUCAGGGCGCCCGUCCUGUGCUUGGCCCCUCUGUGGGCCCGCUUCCUCAAGCAUGCUUCUAGAUGCAAAACUUAUUCGAAAAAUAUAUACGUGGUCCAAAAACGUCAGAUUAAAAAGGUCGGGCUCUGAUUCUCCAUGGGAAGGUAGAAAUGGAUUACGUCUAUUUCUUCUAAUUCUUUAUUGGGCUCUACAAAUAAUUUAAGACGUUUACCAUUUACCUUGAAUAACGUACCUUCGUCAUUUUGAAGUGUGAUAGCUCCGUGGGAUGAUGAAUUGAUUACCUUGAAUGGUCCUUCCCAUUUACUCCAGAGUUUUCCAUGCCCAAAAAGCUUCACCCUGGAAUUAAAAAGUAAUACCUUAUCUCUGGGUGCGAACUCCUUCUUCUUGAUCCUCUUGUCAUGCCACCUUUUGACUCUUUCUUUAUAGAUAUUCGAAUUGUGAUAUGCUUUCUCUCGCCAUUCUUCCAAUUCUGAUAGUUGCAUUCUUCUAUAAUCUCCAGCGACAUCUAGGUCCAUAUUCCAUCUCCUUAUGGCCCAGUGUGCUUUCAAUUCUAGUUCAACAGGUAGGUGGCAAGUCUUCCCGUACACCAACGGGUAUGGGAACAUUCCAAUUGGGGUCUUGUAUGCUGUCCGGUAUGCCCAGAGUGCAUCAGGUAACUUGUCCUUCCAUGCCGUUCCCAUCUCAUUGACUGUUUUCUGAAGAAUAUUCUUGACUUGCUUGUUGGAAGUCUCUGCUUGGCCACUUGUCUGAGGAUGGUAGGUGCUAGUGACAUUGUGACGGAUUCCAUGUUUUGAUAGAUAGUGCUUGAAGCGUUUGUUGAUGAAGUGUGCUCCUCCAUCACUUAUCACUACUCUAGGGACUCCAAAUCUUGGAAAUAAAAAUUCUUCAAACAUCCUCUUUGAACUGAUGUUGUCGGCAUGCUUGCAAGGUAGUGCCUCUACCCACUUGGAGACGUAGUCAACUGCCACCAAGACGAACUCACACUUCUUUGAUGGGGGAAAUGGACCCAUGUAAUCUAUUCCCCAGACAUCAAAGAGCUCAAUUUGAAGGUUGUUGGUAAGUGGCAUGGCAUCUCUUGCGUUUAUGUUUCCGUGCCUUUGACAUGGCCCACAUCUUCUAAUAUAUUGCUUCGUGUCUUCAUACAUUGUAGGCCAGUAGAAUCCACACUACCAGAUCUUUGAAUGUGUACGGAAUGCUCCAUAAUGACCUCCAUAUGGUGAUGAAUGACAUCUGUCGAUGAUCUUCCAUCCUUCCUCAGUGGUCACACAUCUCCUAAGUAAGUCAUCAGAGCAUACUCGGAAGAGGUAUGGCUCAUCCCAUAUAUGUGAACGACUUUCUUGAAUAAGCUUCUUCUUGUUCGCUCCUGGUGGUACAUACCCUGAAACCAUAAAAUUAACAGUAUCUGCAUACCAGGGGUCAGACCUAUUAAUCCUGUAGAGCAUGUCGUCCCGGAGUGAAUCAUUGAUGGGGGUUUCCUCUGGAAUCUUAAAAUACAUUAUAGACAAGUGAUCAGCAACAGAAUUUUCUACUCCCUUUUUUAUCUUUUAUUUCCAUGUCAAAUUCUUGAAGUAAUAAGAUCCAUCUAAUCAGGCGAGGUUUAGCAUCUUUUUUAGUGAGCAGAUAUUUUAGUGCAGCAUGAUCAAUGUAAACAACUAUUUUAGCUCCAAUUAAAUAAGAUCUAAAUUUAUUAAUGGCAAAGACAACAGCCACAAGCUCUUUUUCAGUGGUUGCAUAAUUAAGUUGAGCUCCUGUCAAAGUUUUAUUGGCAUAAGCAAUUGCAUGAUGCUUCUUAUUUUUAGUUUGUCCCAAAACUGCCCCCAUAGCAUAAUCACUGGCAUCACACAUAAUUUCAAAAGGCAACGACCAAUUAGGGGGUUGAAUGAUUGGUGCAAAGAUGAGUGCAUUCUUCAAUAAAUUGAAAGAUGUUAGACAUGCAUCAUCAAAUUCGAAAGGAGCAUCCUUGGCUAGCAAAAGAGUAAGUGGUCUAGCAAUAAAUGAAAAAUCAUUUAUGAAUCUGCGAUAAAAACCAGCAUGGCCAAGAAAGCUUCGAAUUCCUUUUAUAUUCACAGGUGGAGGUAAUUGUUCAAUUACUUCAAUUUUAGCUUUGUCUAACUCAAUACCUCUUUCAGACACUUGGUGUCCCAACACUAUUCCUUCCCUAACCAUAAAAUGACAUUUUUCCCAAUUAAGGACUAAGUGCUUUUCUUAACAUUUUUGCAAAACCUUGUCUAUGUUUUCAAGACAACUAUCAAAAGUUUUUCCAUAAACAGAGAAAUCAUCCAUGAAAACUUCCAUAAUUUUUUCAAUCAUAUCAGAAAAUAUAGACAUCAUGCAUUUUUUAAAAGAAGCUGGUGCAUUACAUAACCCAAAUGACAUUCUACGGUAAGCAUAAGUUCCGUAUGGGCAUGUAAAAGUGGUUUUGCUUUGAUCAUCGGGAUGGAUUGGGAUCUGGUGAUACCCUGAAUAUCCAUCUAAGAAACAGAAGAACGAAUGGUUCGCUAAUCGCUCUAGCAUCUUAUUUAUGAAAGGUAAAGGAAAAUGAUCCUUUUUCGUGGCUUUGUUUUGUUUUCUAUAGUCUAUGCACAUCCGCCACCCUGUGACGGUGCGUUGCGGAAUUAGCUCAUUCUUUUCAUUCAUAACGACAAUCAUGCCUCCCUUUUUAGGCACAACUUUAACUGGGCUCACCCACUCACUGUGCGGCACAGGAUAUAUAAUCCCUGCAUGCAGCAACUUUAUAACUUCCUUUUUAAUUACCUCUCUCAUCGCGUUGUUAAGUCUAUGUUGAGGCUCUCGAGAAGGUGAAAUGGAAGGAUGUGUCGGAAUACGAUGGGUACAAAUCAUAGGACUGAUUCCUGUAAGAUCUUUGAGUGAGUAGCCAAAAACUGAGUGAUGUUUCUCAAAAAUGGUCAUCAAACGCAGAGUUUGCUCCUAAGUGAGUUUAUCACUAAUGAUCACAGGAAACUCUGGAUUAUUAUUUAGGAAAGCAUAGAUAAGACCGGGUGGUAAAGUUUUAAGCUCUAUGGGAGGUCUAGGCAUUUCUGCAAAUUCGUCUAAGGGUUCAGGUUCAGAAGGUUCAGCCUCUUCUUCUAUGAAGAAAGGAGCUUCGUCUUCUAAGUCUGGUUCAUCUAAAAGCUCUAGAGAUGCAGCCUUUACCUCCUCCAUAGGAUCAGGCAAAAGAUAUGACUCGGCCUUAUUAUUUAAGGAGUGUGAAAUUGUUAUUGGAAAUUUAAAAGUUUUUCCAAAAGAAAAGUGUAGCUUUCCAGUAUGACCUUCAUAAAGGAGUCUUCUAAAAGGUUGUCCUACCAACAGGUCAAAUUCCCAUGUAUCAAAGAUAUAGAAGUUCAAAUGAACCAUGGAGCCUUCUACCAAUAAGGGUAGGACAUUAAUAAUUCCAAGAUUGGGGACUAAUCGUCCCGAAGAUUCCUUUAUGACCUUUUUUGUGGGGGUUAAGACCAAAUUUUUAAAUAAUUUUAGUGCAAAAGAUUCAGACAUGAUGUUGAUCCCCACAACAGCAUUAUAGGGAGCAUCAAAUUGUUCAGAAUCAUAUGCACAGCGUAUAGUUAUAGGAGGUGUGUCCAAACGGAUCACAUCAGAGGAAAGCUCUGACUCCUCCAACCAUUCGCUACUCAUGACUGCUGUUGAUAUUUGGGAACGCAAUAAGGAAUUGAUCCGCAAGCGCACGGAUAUCGGUGAGCACUUCACCCGGGAAAUUAUCCAGAGUAUCGUAUUUAUUUUUUUACCACUAGGAGAAAGAGUGCAUCUGACUAACCAGUCUAUUACUACUAACCUUUAGGCACAAAGAAUGUCUUUCGAUGUGAGUGAUAAAUAGAGAAGACUGCAACCGUAGUCUCCUUCUAACCUUGGUAAGGAUGAUCUACUAUUCUAAUGGGGAGGCUAACGGAAUCUAGACACCACAGAGGAUGUUCAACCCGCACCUAUAAACCCUAUCCUUCCUGCUAACGAGAUAUGAUCUACAAAGGUAGCUCGGAAUUGUCACGUUCCUCACUACUACCACGGUCCAGCUAGUCAGGGAAUAUUUAUGAGUACCCCAGCCUAAACACCAAGUUUACGCCAGCAAUGAUUACUCUAAACUCUAUGCGAAGAGAUUAAAGUAAACUCAUAAACCAUAAGAACAAUAAAACAAGAACUUACUAGAAUUUAGAAGUCGAAUUACAGAAGAAUCCUAGGAGCAAGCUUCGGGUUAGGAGAACUUGAUCCCGCAGGUACAAGCUUGGAGUAGACACCGACAGGCCGGGCUUCCUCCACUCUACACCUCCACUCUAUCUCUCUCAAUCUAGUAGAAACUAGAAGAUCUAUUUCUACCUUACAUUGAUUGCUAAGCCUAAAAAGAAAUAUUAAUUAGAGAAGAGGUUUUCCUUCGAGGGCACCCCUCAGUCUCUAUGAUAAUUUCUUCAUGUCUUCUCCAGGGGCCAGGGGGGCCUUGCUUAUAUAGUCCUCCCCUUCUAUGUGUUUUUGGGUCGAUAGCCGAGGUGGUACUAUGUUUUUCUUGAUCCAAUAGGUCGGUGGAAUAUCCCGAACGAAAGAGUCCUGAUUUGGCUCCAGCAGGGGGGGCGGGCGCCCAGGCUACCAGGGCGGGCGCCCUGGGCCUGGCCCAGUUUCGCCUCCGCUUCGGUCUCGUGGCUUCUGGAGUCUUCUAGAUGAUGUAAAAUUGCGCGGUGCAUUGAUAUCUCUAUGUAAUCCCGACUGUUGGGUAUUCUUAACAUCAUUACUAAAAGUAGACUAAGUUCUAAAUCUAGCAACGGUGCCAAAAAUGCCAAACCUAUCCCUCACACCACUUAAGCCAAGUUGUCAUCCCCAGCAUGACAUGAGAGACGCGGUAUUGAAAUAUGCAAUUGCUCUUCUAAAUAAAUAAUAAAUGGGAUCUGCAAGCGCACAGAUUAAUACCGAUGUAGCAUUUUAACCGGGAAGUAUUCCAGGUAUCGUUAUUUAUAUUUUUACCAUUGGGAAGGGAUUAACAAUCAUCAAUAUUGAUUACAGAAUCGAAUAUGAGAUUGAGCAUCUAUCAUUGCAUGUAUAAUUGAGAACAUUAUAUCUAACUCUUCAUACAGGGAUAAGUGUCACAUAAAAGAUAUAUGAAGUAAUAAUAGUGACAAGGAUAACUAAUCUGAUCUAGCCACAUAAUAAAUAUGAUAAGCACCUCAAUUAGAUACUCUAGAAAGUCAUUAGCAUGGUAUUAGAACGAACUACAAGAAUAUUCCCUAAGUUAUUCUCAACUAUAUAGUCUAGCAUUAUCAUAGUUAGUGCAAGCAUACUUAGCAAUCAUUGUGAGACAAGACUACGCCCAUGCAUAGUGAUAUUAGCAAGGAAUAUGAGAAACAUAGCAAUCACUCCCCUGUAAUAAUGUUGCUCUGCCAGCCCAAUACACGAGAGGGGGACUAUACAAGAAUCAAUGAAGCUGUCACUAUCACGAACCACCCCACGAUCUGGCAUAUUGGGUACAAUCGCAGAUAAAUACGGUAUAAGCACCACGCCUACACAAUAUCUAUCAUUUACCCAUGGAUCCGAUGGAUAAACGCUAUACGAUCCUAAGCAUGUAUAUAGAUCGUAUCUAACUAAGCCAAGUACAUAACUAUGAUAAACUAAGAACAAUAUAAUCUUGAAUAUAAGCAAGUAGAGCAAAGUCAUAAGCAAUAUAUUGAAGUAGAACAAAGUCAUAUUCAUAAUAUUGAAGAACAAAGAUAAUUAGAAAGCAAUUAGAAGCACAAUUAGAGAAUUACCAAGAAUCCUCCUGACAGAUCCGGAAACCAAUCGAAGAUUGACUCCUUCUAGUUCUAAUCCUAUGUAGCUAUGCUAAUCUAGAUGUCUAAUUGAUGUGGUGGCUCUAAUCUUGAUUAGAGGCUUCUUCUCCCUUGAUGGAACAAUGAAUUAGGGUUGAGAGGCUCUCUCCUCCAGGGGCCAGGGGGUCUGGUUUUAUAGUCCCUUCAAGUGAAUAUGGGCCCUUGGAUCAAACCGACAUAGAUUGUAUGGUUUAGAUUCAUCCUUUAGGUCGGUGGAGAUCUCCCGCAAAGCAGAGUCCUGAUUGGACUCAGGGGCAGGGCGGGCGCCCUGACCAACUGGGCGGCCGCCCAGGGUCUGGCCCCGUUUCGCCUCCGCUUCGGUCUCGUGGCUUCUGGAGUCUUCUAGAUAAUUGCGCAGCACGUUAAUAUCUUUACGUAAUCCUGACAUGUGGGCCUUUCUUCCAUAUUUCCUGAUAACCCCCUGCAGAAAUAGACAAACACCAAAACUCGUGGAAUUCUGUCAGAUAAAACCCUAAGUCUAAAUGUUGAUUUCAUUUGGGUCCUUUUCUUUAUUUAUUUGAUAAUUAAAUUUGAUACUUAAGGACCGUCAACAAACUCCCCCAAGCUUACCUCUUGCUCGUCCCUGAGCAAAGAUAGACUCAGCUAUGGAUCAUAAGUUGUUGCAAUAUAUAUAUAUAUUUUUUUAAAAAAAAAUUUGACGGUACACAUGCUUUAUAAAUAAGAUCUCAUCUGUGAGUAAGAGUAAACUGUCAAGACUUAAAACUUACUUUCUUUACCUUCACCAUGGGACUUGUAACCGUCACUUCUGUCUUGAGUGGUUAAAAGAUAGAACAGUCUAGCCAAGUGCCAUGUCUCUUAUUCUUGAUCAGCUAUAGCUCUGGGGUUUUUGUAGAUUUUCAAAUAAAACUCAGAAAUUCCUUGUAUGAUUCUCUCAUGUCUCUCUUUUGUGGUAUUUUUGGAUCCUUACCAAGGCAUUGAUGGUAUAUGCCUUCUCUCAAGAUAUGUGGUAUUUGUGGUAUGAGGCAUAGUGACAUUGCCUUCUCUCUCACCCUACUCUAAUAAGGCUUUAAUAUCUGGAGCUCAUAGGUGGGAGAUAAAAUAUACAUACUUACAAGACAUUUAUUGCAUAGUCAAACCAUGGAUCCAAAGUAACAAGCCAAUAAGUUUAAUCAAGAUGUGCAUGGGUGGCGAAUGAAUGGUGUAUGGUGGUGAUGGUGAUAACAAUGGUGAAAACAAUGGUGGUGGAAGUCUAAUUCUACUUUGCUCUUUUGAGGGGAUACAUACCUUCCUUGCUAUUGAAACUUUAUGAGGAGAAUGAGAUGCUCUUCUUUUUUUUCAGGUGGGUAUCUUGCACCCCUAAUUCUACUGUCGGACACUUGUCCAUUUUUACCUCUCGUCUCACUUUUUCUUUUCUUUUGAGGUUCCGAGCACUUGCUCCUUUUUAUUUCCUCGUAUAUAUUUUUUUCUCUUUUUUUAGAGCACUCAUCUCUUGAGAUAAUAUAGCAAGUGGUAGUAACAAGAUAACUUGAGCAUUUAUUUCACAAGGGGAAAAUAGAAAUAUUUUUGGUUAUUCUCUCCCGGAUUAGGAGUAGAAUAUUUUUGGGUGAUUCUGGAGAUGGAAUGGGUGGAUAUAUGUGGAUGGUACUUCUGGAGUAGAAGUAGCAUAUAUGAGUGAACGUGCAAGUGAAUCUUGAUUUAACCACAUGACAAGCUCCUAAGGGUCUACACAGCUUGACCACACUCAAUGCUCAUAAGCAGUAAAUAUUAAAUGUGUGGCUCAAAGUCUAGCAAGCAUGUAUAUAUGGCUGUGGUAGGAAUUUAAACUCUCAUCAUACAGGAACUCAUCAUGCAACAUUUUAAAGAUUUUCAAAGAUAAAAUUCUCCAGAAUUCUAGCAUCUCUAGGAACAUAUAAACAGCAGCUCAACCUUCCCAUAUCAUAUCCGUUAACAACUUAGACUUCAGAUCAAGUUUUCAUCCCACAAGUUUAGGUCUAGAGCAAGCUUUAAAUUAUAACAGUUAUAUCUAAACUUGAGAGAGAACUUAAAAUUUACAAAUUAGGCAGAGCAACUAUUCAUCAUAUCCAUGCUUAAGUUUUAUUUAGAUACAGAUUAGCAUAGCCACUUUAUUUAUUUAUUAAACACACUAAGCAAAAGACAUAUAUAAGCAUAAAAUCUUUAUUUGGUUUUCCCAUAGUUUAUGUGUAUUUUAAUAUUCUAAAAUAAUAUAAGUAUAAAGAUAGAUAGAAAUACUUAUCGUGAUAAAUGGGGGUGCUCUCCCCCAAUCUGAAUUUUGACGUAAUUUCUCUUGGUGUAGCUAGCAGGUGGUAGAGGUGUAUUUGAAAGUCAGCAGCAUUCUGACAGCGAUUAGAAUGUCCUCCGUCUGCUAGUCUUCUUGAUUCUUAAAUUUCUGUGGAGAUCAAAUAGACAACAAAGCUUGUGGAACUUGAUUAAGUGUUAGCAUAAAUAUCUAGCCUUUAUUAUCUUGAGACUCCUUAAUAAAUAUUACUCCCUGUUUUUAUAUUUUUAUUUUAUAAAGCAGAAAAAUAUUUAUUUUUAUUUUUAUCCCACCACAGUGAAUGUACUUAUGGGUUUUAUGCCACUCGUAUACUCACAUGGGGCUUACAGUUUUUAACAUUUUUAUUUUCUUUUUUAAGAUAGUGUGAAUAUGAUUAACUAAGUAAACUAUUUGAAAUAACUGAAAGGGAAAGGAUAACUACCAAGUUUACCUCUUGGCAAGGCGUUCGGUGUUUUUAAGUCCUCCGAACGGGACUCUCCAAUUUCUUAAUUGUCCUGAGGUUCGUUGGGUGGCGUAGUCGGUACUUCCGGCAGCGCCUCCUCUUCUUGUAUAGUUAUCUUCAUUUUCCAUACCUGACUCGGUGCUUCGAUCUCCUCUGGAUAAUUCUGUUUAAAUUCAACGUCUUCUGACCUUACAACUUCUCCUUCAUAGUCUGCCCAUCCGUCCUUGAUGAUCUGCCUCCUCUGGAUGCGGUUGCGUCUUUUUCUGACCUGCUUAGAUUCUUCAAUGAUAUAGUUAGGGUCAGUAAAAUAACGGCGUACCUUCUCUGAGGGAAGUGCAUAUGGACUUCUCCGGUUCCAAUGUAGAUAAUUGCUUUAACGGUGCUGAGGAAUGGUCUUCCAAGGAUGAUGGGUGGAUCAUAUUCAUCUUCUCCCAUGUCAACAACUUGAAAGUCUGUGUAGACAAAGUGAUCGUCUAUUUUGACUGGGACAUCAGAUACUAUUCCUUUAACUUCUUGAAAUGUCUGAUCUGCCAUCUGGAGCUGAAUGUAUGUUGGUCUUAGUGGCAUGGUCCCGAACAAGAGCCGAUAAGUGACUGCGGCCAUUAUGUUGACGCCCGAUCCGGUGUCGCAAAUCGUCUUGUAGAAGUUGUAUCCAUUUAUGGAGCAGUAGAUGCUUGGCAUUCCUAGGUCGUCCUUCUUGGUCAAAAAACGGUGACUUAAGUUGAUGAUCUUGGCCUCCAUGGACUACAGAGACCAUCUUAGGUGACUCGGUCCACACUUGCUUGUUCCUGUUCCUCCUGUUGGUCCUCUUCCUUGAUUCACGUCUGGAUUGAUCUUGAAUUUGUGUAGUCUUGUUCUUGAAGAAAAACGUCUCCUUCUUCCCUUUGACGUAGAAACUGAUCUUGGCAGCACUAGCGUAGAUGAUAGCUCCCGUGGUGUUCAAGAAUGGCCUCCCUAGGAUGAUAGGUGCUCUCUCAUCAUUUCCGGUCUCUACCACUACGAAGUCUGCUGGGGCAUAUAAGGUACCAACUCGGACACAAAGGUUCCUCACUAUUCCUUUUGGGAAAGUUAUCGUCUGAUCUGCAAACUGCAAACACAUGGUUGUCUCUAAUAAAGGAUAUGUAAAGAAUUUCUCAUAGAGUAACCUAGGUAUAAUGUUGACACUGGAGCCAAAGUCGCAGAGUGCUUCUGGGAAGUCCACCAUGCCGAUGGAGAUCGGGAUGACGGGGCGUCCUGGAUCGCCUCUCUUGACCGGCAGACGGUCAGUAGAAAAUUCAGUGACGGGGUUACUCCAAUUACCUGCAUCAAACAUGUCUACAAGAUUUGCAGAUUCUAAUCCUUCCGGUUGUGAUGGUAUACCGGGGUUAGUAGUAGGAACAGCAGCAGCUAUUUGAUUUAAUUGGGAUUCAAUCAUUUUAUUAAAGCUAAUUUGAUUCUUGAUGGCAGUAGAGAAAUUAUCCAUUCUAUUAUUUAUAUUUUCUAGCAUUUUAUCAUUAGAUGCCAAUUUCUUAGAUAGGUUAUCCAUUAGCUUUCCUUGAUUAGAUACUAACUCUCUCAAAGGUGGAAAAUUAUUAUUAUUGUUGUAAGAAUUGUUACCUUGAUAAUUACCUGAGUAGUUAGGCCUCUGUUGAUUCCAACCUUGAUUUUGUUGAGGACGGUUGUAGUAGUUGUUGUUGUUGUUCUUGAUGUAGUUCACAUCCUCAAGCAUCUCAGGGCAGUGAUUGCCAGAGUGUCCAGUGUCUCCACACUCCUCACAAGUCAUGUGAGAGUCGUAGAUGUGCAUAACUUCUUUCUUGUCUCCAGCUCUAUCGUCGAGCUUCUUCAUGAUCAGGUCUAGCUUUGCAGACAGCAUGUCUACCUCCUUCAGCUGAUGUAUACCUCCACCUCUCUUGCGUGUCUGGCUCCUCUCUUCAUUCCAGCUUUGAUUGGACGCCAUCUUCUCCACAAGAGCUGUGGCUUGUGGUAUAGUAAGUGAUAAGAAUGCUCCUCCAGCUGCAGCAUCCAUGGUCUCUCGGGCACUGUUGCCGAGCCCAUGAUAAAACGUCUGCAUCAAUAGCCAACUCUCCAUUCCAUGAUGGGGACAUUCUAGGAUGUAGUCUUGAAAGCGCUCCCAUGCUUCUGGAACAGAUUCAUCAUUUUAUUGCUGAAAACUUGUAAUCUUCCCACGGAGAGCAUUGGUCUUGCCCAUGGGAAAGAACUUAGCCAGGAAGUUUGUUGAGCAGAGUGCCCACGUAGUAUUCUUCUCCUUUGUAGCGUAGAACCACUGCUUCGCUCUUCCUAACAGUGAGAAUGGGAAGAGGCGAAGUAGUAUAGCGUCUUUGGAAACUCCUGCUAUGGUGAAUGUGUUGCAAAUCUCCAGGAAGUGUUGUAAAUGAGCACUAGCAUCUUUGUGUGCCUUCCCACAGAACUGGUUGGAUUGCACCAUGCUGAUAAGUCCAGGCUUGAGCUCAAAGUUGCCGUCGAUCUCUGCAGCAGGUCCAGUGCGGAUGUUGUCCGUAGUGGGAGCUGAGAACUCGCGGAUCGAUUUGUUCGCCAUGGCUUCGAACUCUGAAGACAAGUUCCGGUGAUCUUCUUGAUUGGAUGAAGCUUCUUGCUGAAGUGUUGAUGAUUUCUUUAGCUUGGCUCUCGUCUUCUUGAAUAAUGCUUCGGGAUUGUCAACAAAAUUUCCUGGAAGAUGUCUUCUAUUCAUACAUUCCCCUGCAUAAGAUAAAAUAGAAAAAUAUCGGGGUAAAACUGUAUGAGAGAAUAGAUAAGCUCAAUCAUAUUAGUGAUGCGAAUGAUAACUCAAAAUCUUUUAUUCCAUUCCUGAUUAGUAAUCAACCUUCUCCGGCAACGGCGCCAAAAAUGCUUGUUGGGUAUUCUUAACAUCAUUACUAAAAGUAGACUAAGUUCUAAAUCUAGCAACGGUGCCAAAAAUGCCAAACCUAUCCCUCACACCACUUAAGCCAAGUUGUCAUCCCCAGCAUGACAUGAGAGACACGGUAUUGAAAUAUGCAAUUGCUCUUCUAAAUAAAUAAUAAAUGGGAUUUGCGAGCGCACAGAUUAAUACCGAUGUAGCAUUUUAACCGGUAAGUAUUCUAGGUAUCGUUAUUUAUAUUUUUACCACUGGGAAGGGAUUAACAAUCAUCAAUAUUGAUUACAGAAUAGAAUAUGAGAUUGAGCAUCUAUCAUUGCAUGUAUAAUUGAGAACAUUAUAUCUAACUCUUCAUACAGGGAUAAGUGUCACAUAAAAGAUAUAUGAAGUAAUAAUAGUGACAAGGAUAACUAAUCUGAUCUAGCCACAUAAUAAAUAUGAUAAGCACCUCAAUUAGAUACUCUAGAAAGUCAUUAGCAUGGUAUUAGAACGAACUACAAGAAUAUUCCCUAAGUUAUUCUCAACUAUAUAGUCUAGCAUUAUCAUAGUUAGUGCAAGCAUACUUAGCAAUCAUUGUGAGACAAGACUACGCCCAUGCAUAGUGAUAUUAGCAAGGAAUAUGAGAAACAUAGCAAUCACUCCCCUGUAAUAAUGUUGCUCUGCCAGCCCAAUACACGAGAGGGGGACUAUACAAGAAUCAAUGAAGCUGUCACUAUCACGAACCACCCCACGAUCUGGCAUAUUGGGUACAAUCGUAGAUAAAUACGGUAUAAGCACCACGCCUACACAAUAUCUAUCAUUUACCCAUGGAUCCGAUGGAUAAACGCUAUACGAUCCUAAGCAUGUAUAUAGAUCGUAUCUAACUAAGCCAAGUACAUAACUAUGAUAAACUAAGAACAAUAUAAUCUUGAAUAUAAGCAAGUAGAGCAAAGUCAUAAGCAAUAUAUUGAAGUAGAACAAAGUCAUAUUCAUAAUAUUGAAGAACAAAGAUAAUUAGAAAGCAAUUAGAAGCACAAUUAGAGAAUUACCAAGAAUUCUCCUGACAGAUCCGGAAACCAAUCAAAGAUUGACUCCUUCUAGUUCUAAUCCUAUGUAGCUAUGCUAAUCUAGAUGUCUAAUUGAUGUGGUGGCUCUAAUCUUGAUCAGAGGCUUCUUCUCCCUUGAUGGAACAAUGAAUUAGGGUUGAGAGGCUCUCUCCUCCAGGGGCCAGGGGGUCUGGUUUUAUAGUCCCUUCAAGUGAAUAUGGGCCCUUGGAUCAAACCGACAUAGAUUGUAUGGUUUAGAUUCAUCCUUUAGGUCGGUGGAGAUCUCCCGCAAAGCAGAGUCCUGAUUGGACUCAGGGGCAGGGCGGGCGCCCAGGGUCUGGCCCCGUUUCGCCUCCGCUUCGGUCUCGUGGCUUCUGGAGUCUUCUAGAUAAUUGCGCAGCACGUUAAUAUCUUUACGUAAUCCUGACAUGUGGGCCUUUCUUCCAUAUUUCCUGAUAACCCCCUGCAGAAAUAGACAAACACCAAAACUCGUGGAAUUCUGUCAGAUAAAACCCUAAGUCUAGAUGUUGAUUUCAUUUGGGUCCUUUUCUUUAUUUAUUUGAUAAUUAAAUUUGAUACUUAAGGACCGUCAACACCGACAUGUGGGCCUUUCUUCCUUAUUUCCCGAUAACCCCCUGCAGAAACAGAUAAACAACAAAACUCAUGGAAUUCUGUCAGAUCAAACCCUAAUUCUAGGUGUUGUUUGCAUAUUGGUCCUUUCUCUUGUUUAUUUGAUAAUUAAAAUUGAUACUUAAGAACCGUCAACAAAUACCCCCAUACUUAGGCUUUUACUCGUCCUCGAGAAAAGGAUGGUUAAGAAAAAUAUCUGGGGUAAAACAUUUAAAACAUUCUCUUUAUAUAAUUGCAGGGUGUUAAAAUUCCACUGUGUACCAUAGUCAGGGAUGUUUAUGGUUAAGAGUAAAGAUCCUUUCUUCUCAAUCCUGUCACUUGGAGUUUUUGUUAUAUUUUUGAAAGAAAGUUAGCAUACCUUUUUAUCCUCAUAGGUUCUCUCAGAUCACUCAUUAUCUUUUAUAUACGUCUCACUGAGGUUGUUUUAUUUUGCAAAAAUUCUCAAACAUUCUUACUUUGCAUUUAUUGCCUGAUCAAAACGGGAUCCGAGGAGGGGAAUGUCAUACUCUUAGAUCAAAGACUUUGGAAAUUAAAAACUUUGUCAUCUCUUGCUAGCAUAUUGCUUAUUAGAGGGACCAUGGGCUAUCAUUUUCAUUUCAUUUUUUUUAAGUGGAUACCGAGGUACCCCUAAUUCUACUGCCGGACACUUGUUCAUUUUUUCUGCGAGGUUGUCGAGCACUUGCUCCUUUUUAUUUCCUCGAAAUAUCUCUAUUUUUGCAUAGCCCAUGCCUCUAAUACAAUAAUACUUCGGAAGAGUGAAUCUUACUGAAAUAGUGUCUUGAUCUUGGGAGCAUGAUAAAUCUCUCAACAAGGAUCUAACUCAUUUUGAACAAACUCAAUACAGAGUAGAUAGCUUUAUAAUCAUCAUUAAUAUUUUUAUUUUUAUCAGGCAUAUAAAACACUGAGGAUGGUAGCUAGAAUUUUGAAUAUUUUGAAAUAAAUUCUCCAAGCAACAAUGAUAUCAAGAAUAAGAAACUCAUACUCUACCAUCACAUAUUCCAUAUUGACUUAAGUAACAUAGGGUUUUAAAAUGAUUUUAUAAUAAUUGCAAGUUUUCAGGAAAUAUCACAGAUUGAGAUUAAUCAUGAUUAGAAAUAUUUUAAUAUUUUUAUUUUAUCAUGUCGGAAACAGUAAUCUGCAUAAUCCAAAAUAAAUGUAUGUAUGAAGUAAAGUGUGCAGAGUGUGUACCUGAAUCAUGGAGUGGUGUAGUCGGAGUGUGUUUGGCAUGUUGAGGGAUCUCCCCCAUACUUGUUUUCUGCUUUCUUGCACAAAAAUAAAGUAGAGACACACAAGACAUAAUAAUAGUAAUACUCUUUAUUGAUCUUGAGGCAUUUAUUAUAAAAGACUAGUAGCAAACUGAUGAUAAUAGUAAACUGAUGAUAAUAGUAAACCUAAACCGAAUUUAAAGAUAAAUGACUAAGAUGUAUUGCCUCAAGGUCUAAUCUAGAUAACUUAGCGGCGCUCUAAUUCCUUGAUCUUCUUGUUGGCACUGGCAAGAUCCUGCCUAAGGCCUAGUAUAAUGGUGUUGUGGUUAGAGAGCUGCCUAGUGAGGGAAUUAAUUGAGGACUGGAGGUCUAUGAUAACUCUAUCUAGCCUGCGAACUUCCUCAUCAAUAUCCAUUAUAGUCUUGCGACGCUUGGGAGGUGUCUCAAAAGCAUUGAGAGCGUGCUUCGGGGCUGCCUUUGGAGGGAUGAAACGGACUUUGGAUGCUCUAAUCCCUUCAAAGUAAGGCCUUUCCUCCUCCGUAGUGUAGCGAACGCUGCUGAUCUCGGCGCUCCGGUUGGUCUUGACUCCAACGACCCUCUCAUUGGGAAAAGGUGGAAGGAUCCUUGUGCCGAUUGGCACCUUGAUAGUGGUCUUUGUCUUGGAUGAUGAUCCUUUGAGGAGUAGGGGUUGUGGCGGUGCGGUGAGAACUGGUUGAGCAUGGUAGGAUUGGGCGGAGCUGCGUUGAUGUAAUGGCAUGGCUUCUAGUUGUCGCUCUGUGUUGGCCGGGACGAGAGCACGGGCAUCGGGGUCUUCCACUGGCUCUAUGUUGAGGUUGAAGGGGACGACUUCCCAAUCGUCGUGGUACUUGUCGGCCAUUGGAGCAACAAGGAACUAAUAAAAUUUUAAUUGAAGUAGAGCUAAUUAAGCUCUAAUUGAAGGAGAGAAAGCUUGGUGGCUUGGUGUUUAAAAACUGAGGUCAGGGGUCUAUUUAUAUAGGGGUCAAAAGGAUGCCUCUAUGGGUUGUUCGGGUUGCUCCCGUCGAUGUGCGUGCGAAACUUUCCAUCCGAGGGAUUAUUCGGAUCACCCUAAGUGCAUUUUCCAUAACAGAGAAAGUCGGGACCGAGGGGGAACAGGGGCUGGGCGCCCGCCCACUUGACCUGGGCGCCCGCCGUCUCUGUGGCCCCUCUGUGGGCCCACUUUUCCGAGCGCGUUUCUAGAUGCGGAAUUAUUUAGAAAAAUAUAUAUAUGACCCAAAACCAUCAGACCAAAAGUAUCGGGCUCUAAUUCUCCAUGGGAAGGUAAAAAUGGACUACGUCUAUUUCUUCAAAUUCCUCAUUGGGCUCUAAAAAUAAUUUAAGACGUUGACCAUUUACCUUGAAUAACGUACCUUCGCUAUUUUGAAGUGUGAUAGCUCCGUGGGAUGAUGAAUUGAUUACCUUGAAUGGUCCUUCCCAUUUGCUCCGGAGUUUUCCAUGCCCGAAAACCUUUACCCUGGAAUUAAAAAGUAAUACCUUAUCUCCGGGUGUGAACUCCUUCUUCUUUAUUCUCUUGUCAUGCCACCUCUUGACUCUUUCUUUGUAGAUCUUUGAAUUGUGAUAUGCUUUCUCUCGCCAUUCUUCCAAUUCUGAUAGUUGCAUUCUUCUAUAGUCUCCAGCAACAUCUAGGUCCAUAUUCCAUCUCUUUAUGGCCCAGUGUGCUUUGAACUCUAGUUCAACAAGUAGAUGGCAAGUCUUCCCAUACACCAAUUGGUAUGGAGACAUUCCAAUUGGGGUCUUGUAUGCUGUCCGGUAUGCCCAGAGUGCAUCGGGUAACUUGUCUUUCCACGCCGUUCCCAUUUCAUUUACUGUCUUCUGAAGAAUAUUCUUGAUUUGUUUGUUGGAAGUCUCUGCUUGGCCACUUGUCUGAGGAUGAUAGGGGGUAGCGACGUUGUGACGGAUUCCAUGUCUUGAUAGAUAUUGCUUGAAGCGUUUGUCGAUGAAGUGUGCUCCUCCAUCACUUAUCACUACUCUGGGGACUCCAAAUCUUGGAAAUAUAAUUUCUUCAAACAUCCUCUUUGAACUGAAGUUGUCGGCAUGCUUGCAAGGUAAUGCCUCUACCCACUUGGAGACGUAGUCAACCGCCACCAAGAUGUACUCGCACUUCUUUGAUGGAGGAAAUGGACCCAUGUAGUCUAUUCCCCAGACAUCAAAGAGCUCAAUCUGAAGGCUGUUGGUGAGUGGCAUUGCAUCCCUUGUAUUUAUGUUUCCGUGUCUUUGACAUGGCCCACAUCUUCUGAUAUAUUGCUUCGUGUCUUCAUACAUUGUAGGCCAGUAGAAUCCACACUGCCAGAUCUUUGAAUGUGUACGGAAUGCUCCAUAGUGACCUCCAUAUGGUGAUGAAUGACAUCUGUCGAUGAUCUUCCAUCCUUCCUCAGUGGUCACACAUCUCCUGAGUAAGCCGUCAGAGCAUACUCGGAAGAGGUAUGGCUCAUCCCAUAUAUGUGAACGACUUUCUUGAAUAAGCUUCUUCUUGUUUGCUCCUGGUGGUACAUACCCUGAAACCAUAAAAUUAACAAUAUCUGUAUACUAGAUGUCAGACCUGUUAAUCCCGUAGAGCAUGUCGUCCCAGAGUGAAUCAUUGAUUGGGGUUUCUUGUGGACUCUUAAAAUACAUUCUAGACAGGUGAUCAGCAACAGAAUUUUCUACUCCCUUUUUAUCUUUUAUUUCUAAGUCAAAUUCUUGGAGUAAUAAAAUCCAUCUAAUCAGGCGAGGUUUAGCAUCUUUUUUAGUGAGCAAAUAUUUUAGUGCAGCAUGAUCAGUGUAAACAAUUAUUUUAGCUCCAACUAAAUAAGAUCUAAAUUUAUCAAUGGCAAAGACAACAGCCAGAAGCUCUUUUUCAGUGGUUGCAUAAUUGAGUUGAGCUCCUGUCAAAGUUUUACUGGCAUAAGCAAUUGCAUGAUGCUUCUUAUCUUUAGUUUGUCCCAAUACUGCCCCCACAACAUAAUCACUAGCAUCACACAUAAUUUCAAAAGGCAACGACCAAUCAGGGGGUUGAAUGAUUGGUGCAGAGAUGAGUGCUUUCUUUAAUAAAUUGAAAGAUGUUAGACAUGCAUCAUCAAAUUCGAAAGGAGCAUCCUUGGCUAGCAAAAGAGUAAGUGGUCUAGCAAUGAAUGAAAAAUCCUUUAUGAAUCUACGAUAAAAACCAGCAUGGCCAAGAAAGCUUCGAAUUCCUUUUAUAUUCACAGGUGGAGGUAGUUGUUCAAUUACUUCAAUUUUAGCUUUGUCUACCUCAAUUCCUCUUUCAGACACUAAGUGUCCCAGCACUAUUCCUUCCCUAACCAUAAAAUGACAUUUUUCCCAAUUAAGGAUUAAGUGCUUUUCUUCACAUCUUUGCAAAACCUUAUCUAAGUUUUCAAGACAACUAUCAAAAGUUUUUCCAUAAAUAGAGAAAUCAUCCAUGAAAACUUCCAUAAUCUCUUCAAUCAUAUCAGAAAAUAUAGACAUCAUGCAUCUUUGAAAAGAAGCUGGUGCAUUACAUAACCCAAAAGACAUUCUACGGUAAGCAUAAGUUCCAUAAGGGCAUGUAAAAGUGGUUUUGCUUUGAUCAUCGGGAUGGAUCGGGAUUUGAUGAUACCCUGAAUAUCCAUCUAAGAAACAAAAGAAUGAAUGGUUUGCUAACCGCUCUAGCAUCUCAUCUAUAAAAGGUAAGGGAAAGUGAUCCUUUCUCGUGGCUUUGUUUAGUUUUCUAUAGUCUAUGCACAUCCGCCAUCCUGUGACGGUGCGUUGCGCAAUUAGCUCAUUCUUUUCAUUCAUAAUAACAGUCAUGCCUCCCUUUUUGGGCACAACUUGGACUGGGCUCACCCACUCACUGUGCGGCACAGGAUAUAUAAUCCCUGCAUGCAGCAACUUAAUAACUUCCUUUUUAACUACCUCUCUCAUAGUGUUGUUAAGUCUACGUUGGGGUUCUCGAGAGGGUGUAACAGAAGGAUCUGUUGGAAUACGAUGGGUACAAAUCAUAGGACUGAAUCCUGUAAGAUCUUGAAGUGAGUAGCCGAAUACUGAGUGAUGUUUCUCAAGAAUGGUCAUUAAUCGCAGAGUUUGAUCCUUAGUGAGUUUAUCACUAAUGAUCACAGGGAACUCUGGAUAAUUCCAAGAUUGGGGACUAAUCGUCCCGAAGAUUCCUUUAUGACCUUUGUUGUGGGGGUUAAGAUAAGAUUUUUAAAUAGUUUAAGUGCAAAGGGUUCAGACAUAAUGUUGAUCCCCACAACAGGAUUAUAGAGAGCAUUAAAUCGAUCAGAAUUAUAAGCACAGCGUAUAGUUAUAGAGGGUGUGUCCAAACGGAUCACAUCAGAGGAAAGCUCUGAUUCCUCCAACCAUUCGCUACUCAUGACUGAGAUAAGUUCUCUCAAUUGAUAUUCACUUGGUAAAUAAAUGCUAAACUGGCCGUUCUGGGGUUUGUCAAUAGAAUGGUAAUUUGAAAUAUUUCCAAAAUCAGCAAAAAGAUCGGAUUCUAUAUCCAGCAUGAAGUCCAGUAGUGGAAUUUCUUCCUCUUGUGGCUCAAAACUUGGAAUAGCUAAAGUAGAUGAAGAAUUUGGCAGAGUGUCUACUUCGGCUUCGUAGGUUUCAUCAUGAAGGGUAUUAUCCAUCUCAGCUUCUAGGAUUCUAUCUAGGAUCACUCUUGCUUCAUCAGCAGAGAUGCGAAAGAAAGAAUCUCCAGACAUUGUGUGUAGCAUUUGUUUGUGAUUUUUAUGGAGACCUCGAAAAAAGUGAAAUAAAAGAACAGGGUCUUCAAGAUUAAGGUUUGGACCAGAUUCUAAAAGAUCAGAAAAACGUUUCCAGGAUUUUCCCAAAGUUUCAUUAUCUUUUUGUUUAAAAGAUAGGACUUCGAGUCUAUGGUCGGCUAUACGGUCAAGGGAAUAGAAAUCUAGACAAAAGUUGGCUCGUAAAACUCCCCAUUCACCUUGUUGUUGACUUACCUUCUGACUGUACCAUUGUCUAGCUUCUCCCCUUAGAGAAAAAGGAAAAAGCUUCCAACGUAAAGUCUUAUCAGAAAUGCCUUCAAUGCGAAGACAAUCACAUGUUUGCUCAAAAUCUCUAAUAUGAAGGUAAGGGUUUUCGUCUUCCUUUCCCGAAAAAGAUAGGUUUUGAAUCAUGGCAAUCAACCUAGAACUUAACUUAUACUGGGGUGUUUGGAUAGGCUGUGAUGAUUCCCAUGGUAAAAGGUCAGUUGCUAAAGGGAUUGCAGACUCAUGGAUCGAUUUAGAAUUUUGGUUUUCCAUAAGGUAAGAAUAAAGAAAAUAAAUAAAGGAUACAAAAGAUAAGAAAAGAUAAAAGUACACAUACAAGCUAAUAGCAAGACACAGGUUAUCUCAGCAACCGUCUUUCUCCCCGGCAACGGCGCCAGAAAUGCUUGUUGAUAUUUGGGAACGCAAUAAGGAAUUGAUCCGCAAGCGCACGGAUAUCGGUGAGCACUUCACCCAGGAAAUUAUCCAGAGUAUCGUAUUUAUUUUUUUACCACUAGGAGAAAGAGUGCAUCUGACUAACCGGUCUAUUACUACUAACCUUUAGGCACAAAGAAUGUCUUUCGAUGUGAGUGAUAAAUAGAGAAGACUGCAACCGUAGUCUCCUUCUAACCAUGGUAAGGAUGAUCUACUGUUCUAAUGGGGAGGCUAACGGAAUCUAGACACCACAGAGGAUGUUCAACCCGCACCUAUAAACCCUAUACUUCCUGCUAACGAGAUGUGAUCUACAAAGGUAGCUCGGAAUUGUCACGUUCCUCACUACUACCACGGUCCAGCUAGUCAGGGAAUAUUUAUGAGUACCCCAGCCUAAACACCACGUUUACGCCAGCAAUGAUUACUCUAAACUCUACGCGAAGAGAUUAAAGUAAACUCAUAAACCAUAAGAACAAUAAAACAAGAACUUACUAGAAUUUAGAAGUCGAAUUAGUGAAGAAUCCUAGGAGCAAGCUUCGGGUUAGGAGAACUUGAUCCCGCAGGUACAAGCUUGGAGUAGACACCGACAGGCCGGGCUUCCUCCACUCUACACCUCCACUCUAUCUCUCUCAAUCUAGUAGAAACUAGAAGAUCUAUUUCUACCUUACAUUGAUUGCUAAGCCUAAAAAGAAAUAUUAAUUAGAGAAGAGGUUUUCCUUCGAGGGCACCCCUCAGUCUCUAUGAUAAUUUCUUCAUGUCUUCUCCAGGGGCGAUGGGGGCCUUGCUUAUAUAGUCCUCCCCUUCUAUGCGUUUUUAGGUCGAUAGCUGAGGUGGUACUAUGUUUUUCUUGAUCCAAUAGGUCGGUGGAAUAUCCCGAACGAAAGAGUCCUGAUUUGGCUCCAGCAGGGGGGCGGGCGCCCUGGGCCUGGCCCAGUUUCGCCUCCGCUUCGGUCUCGUGGCUUCUAGAGUCUUCUAGAUGAUGUAAAAUUGCGCGGUGCGUUAAUAUCUCUAUGUAAUCCCGACAUGUGGGCCUUUCUUCCUUAUUUCCUGAUAACCCCCUGCAGAAACAGAUAAACAACAAAACUUGUGGAAUUCUGUCAGAUCAAACCCUAAUUCUAGGUGUUGUUUGCAUAUUGGUCCUUUCUCUUGUUUAUUUGAUAAUUAAAAUUGAUACUUAAGAACCGUCAACAACUGCGAUAAGCUCUCUCAAUUGAGGUUCAGUUGGCAAACAAAUGCUAAAAUGGCCGUUUUGGGGUCUGUUGUCACAGAACCGACCAAAUUAUAAGAGUUCAAGUGCAGAAAUGAUCGUCAAACAAUCAAGUUUCUAAACUUGAGCCCAUAUAAUCCCGGUAGUCAAUCGAAAUCACGAAGGACUUCAAACCAACUCGCAACAAACCAAGAUCGUAAUAGUUCAACAUAAACACAACGAAUGUUACAUAGUCAGUCAUUGCCGAUGAAGCGGCACCACAUCGGAGUCAUUAAGUUAUUACAACCCAAGUUUGAAGUAGCGGAAGCAAAAUAGUUACACACACUUGUUCAAAGUUCAGUUCACAAGUUUUGUUACUGCCAGAGUCUAUGCCAUCCUUCCAAAAGCAUCAUAGACGAGAAGAGUAGAGAACCGUGCCCAACGGUUAGUCCUCAUCCCCAGCGGGAUGGAGACAGGUAUUGCAGAAACCGUCAUAGAAGAUAUCAUCUGCAACAGGUGGGAAUAAACCCUGAGUACGAGGAUGUACUCAGCUAGACUUACCCGUCUAGUAAAACACAAAAGACACCAAGGAUCAUGCAAGGCUAAAUCUUAGGUGGAGUUGGUUGACUCACCUUUUGCCAAAAGCUUAACUUACAACUAAGUUAUUUUAAGAGCAUCAUAUUUAUUUAUCAUCAGCCUACCACUAGAUUAGCACCUGUACUACAACACAUCACUUGAUUAUUACAAACAAUAAUAACCAUAUCAAAUUCAUCAUAUGUUCUUCUUGCUAUCAUCAUUAUCAUGAACCAAAUUCAUUAGUGAAUGCUACGUUUGCCGCUGCUCUGUCUAGUUCUCACUAACCGGGAGAGACGGCGAUUCGAAUCGAAUUCCUAUCCAGCUGGAGGAUUAUUCCUAGCACUCACCCAGGCAUCCCCUGCCGGAGAGCCCACGGGUCACCUUUGGUACAACUCAGAAAUCGCAGUUCCGAUCAGCGCCGCACUCCCAGGGCUACCACUCUACCAGGGAGGUCAGGAAUUUUAACUCACCUGCCUUUGGACUUACGCCAAUGGUCCCCCACACACCGCACUUCCUCCGGUAGUGCGCACUUUAUACUUGCCGGUCUUCCGGCCUGAGUCAUACUACUCGGCUUCGCGGUCGGAACGAGUUAUCCGGCCAACUAAGUGUUAGGCAUGCGUUCAACAUGACAAGAGGACGUACAACGAUCAGUCCUUAGCUGCCACAGACGGAGUUACUACAAACUUGCAAAACUCCGCCCGGCUUAAGUCACUUUAAUCAGGUUCCAUCCACGAUAGCACAUAUAGACCAUCGUGAUCCGACAUAACCCUAUAUCGCGUGGAUGACAGGAUAUCACCCGACUUCUACCGAUUAAAGCAUAUCUAAGCUGCUACUCGAUCCUAACUCUACAACCAGGGAGGGUGAGUUAUCUGGACAAGGAUAGAGUAGAAUGCAGCAACAGUUUCAUCACAACUCCUAGACUUAAUGCGUCAAUAGGUAUAACAUAUUAAGUAAACUUUCGAAAAUAGAAGGAGACUUAGAAUGCUCCGGGGCUUGCCUUUCACGAACGAUGCCGGCUCGUGAUUCGGGCACUCAACUUCUUCUUCGGGCUCCUCGAGUCCGGCUUGCUGGACCUCCACCUCCUGGCUGCCCUCCUGACCUUCGGGAUUCGCUUGGAGCUCGAAGGAAACUGCCACGUCCGGUGCACCUAUUGCAUGCUCGAACGAUAAGAUAAUGCACAUGCUAACGAUGAAUGCUUAAUGACACAAGCAACUCACUGGACACUCAUUUACGGACAAAAGUUAUACUAACUCGCAUAAUUGAACAAGUUAACAUAACCCAAAACCUUUCAAGACACUAAGGCAGCAAACACACAAACAGAGAGGCUCAGUAAAUAAAUCAUAACUAAAGAUAGGCAGGUCCAACAAACAUGAGUAAGGACAUUCUGGAAAUCUUAUGAAAUGGUCUACAAUUAAUCUUUAAACAUGACAGCAAGAUUCAUACAUGAGACUGGUCAUUUAAACAAAGUUCCAGGUUCUGUCCCAGAAAAACAGAGAACACCUAUUCCUGGAACCCAACUUGAAACAGCUAUAACUUUUAAACUACUUGGCCAAACGACCUCAAAUUUAAACCAUAGUUAGUUCAACAAGUUUGGAACAUCUUUGCUUUAGACAAGUUCCACAGAAAGUCAAGUUAUCAUUAAGUAAUAACCAAAUUGCUACCUUGCUGUCCAGAACAGCAUUUAACCCUAUAGUUAAUUAUUUAAUGACAUGAUCAAGACACAAACCAUGCCAACCACAUGGCCUAUGAGCACAAACCUGUUACAAGGUUACCAGAUCAUCAGAUGGAAACCCCAAAACAUUUAUUUAACAAGGCAUUUAUUAAUUAACUCUAAAUAAGAGCAUAAUUACAAGAUACUAGUUCAAAUGCUCAGAAAAAUCUACAAAAAUUACAGAAGCACAAGGACACCAUCAAAGUAUCACCAUAAAAAUUUCACAGCAAUUGCACAUACCAAAAUAAAGAUAUGUAUUUAACACGUAUCAAGGCAUUUAUUUCAUAAAUUUAGAAACAAUACUUAUAUGGUGUUAAACAACAGAUUUCAGAUUAUUUACAUCUUAGGAGUACCAUAAACAAACUUACCACCAAAGUAGAACAUCAGCAUAAGCACCAAUUAUUUUAUAUGAUUUAUUUAAAGAAACAAGCCAUAUCUCAAACACAAAUUACGUAUCCCAACUGCAGUGCUCUAAAAAUCAUGAACUAAUUAUCAGAGCACUCUAAUGCCAUGCAAAGGCUACCAUAAAAUUUUCAAAGCAAACUAAGCAGUAUAACAAGAGAUAUGCAUUUUUCCAUAAAUAACAAGAUUAAAUCCUUAAUAAAUGAUUUCUCAGAAAACAUGAUUCAUUUUAUAUUUUUAUUAAAUACUAGCCAUCUCAAGAAACUCCACAAAAAUUUGUUUCACAAUUUUUGGAUCUCAGAAACCGGAGAUAUGAUUUUUGCAAGAAAGCCAAAAAUCAGGAUUUUGAAUAAAAGAAAAGGAGGGAAAGAGAGAGUCGCUGACAGUGGGUCCCAUCUGUCAGGCUCUUCUUCCUCGCGGCCGAGGCGACUUUCGCCGGCGAUUUCUCCGCGACGGCGAGGUCUCCGGCCAAGCCAAGGGCAUCAGCGUGAUCCCCAAACCCUAACGACUCGAUUGACCCCACUUUUCCCACGGCGGAGCCACCGGAAGAGGCUCGCCGUCGACAAUGGCGGCUCGGCGGAGGUGCUCGGCGUUACGCCGGAGCCCUCAGGCCGGUAGAGCGCGACCUAAGGCCUUCUACAGCACCAGCGGACUACGGCGAAGCUUCCUAGGUGCGCGGCUUGGCCUGGAUCCCCGUGGAACGCGCUGGCCACGAGAGCACCCAACUCCGGCGGAAGCACGGCGGCGCUGCGCACCGUGUCCGGCGACGGAGAACCCGGUAGAGCGUCCACCAGGUGGCGCAAAAGCUCGCUAAGGACCUAAGCUACCUCUAGGACCUAACCAAAGACGAUGAGAAGCCUCACAGCGCUCGGCAUUGAGUUCGCCGGAGAAGAAGGUCACGGCGAACCGAUUUGGGGGAAGAAGGGAAUGUCGGCUCACCGGUGGGUUUCUCGGCGAGUUAGAGGGUGGAGCUUGGAGAGCGGCUCACAGCGGAGCUUUGGGUGGAGUUUGGUGGACGGAGGCGCAGUGAGGAGCGCACACGAGCUCGCCGGAGUGAGCUCGCGGCGGAGAGCUCGCUGCGGGCGAGUUUCAGGCGAAGGAGGGCGAGGCAGAGCGAGUGGACGCGUCCACUUCGCUCGGGACGUCGCCGUGGAGGUCAUGCACGCGACGAGGGCUGACAAGCGGGGCCAGGAGCAGCGUGCGGUCGACAAAUGGCGACGGAGCUCUGCCGGCGGUCGGCCACGUCGACGAGCUCAGGCUCGAUUCAGAAGAAAGGGUGCUGGUCUGACAGAGCCACUUCACCGGCGAUUAUCUCCCAAACCAGAGCGAAUUAGAAGAUGGCGUAGUUGACAAACUUGGAGAACUAAGCGAGAUCUACAACUUUGUCAACUGCAGCAAGAGCUAGAUUGGCUUGGAUUGAGAGUUAUGAAGUUUUCAAAAUCAAUCGAGCAAACUUGUUUCGUUCCAAGACUUAGAAAAUUUUCUAAGUGUUGAAAACAGCCCCAAAUCUGCCUUGUAGGUCACUUUUGAGCUAUUUGUGAUCAUUUUCAUGAGAUGGCCAUAAAACAGCUUUUGUUCCUUAUAAUAUUUGCUACAACUUUACUGUAGAAAGUUUUGACAUGCAAGCAUUUUAUGAAACACUUUUUAAAAGCCUAAGCAAAAGAGGUUUCUAGGGUCUAUUUUCAUAAGUAUGACUUAAAAGCAUAUUUUGGAAAAGUGAUCAACAUGAACAUUGUUCCCAAGAUUAAGUUAAGCAUAGAUAAACUAAUUACCAAGGCAUUAAGCACAAACACAAGCAUUGUUCACUCAAACAUAAGCAUAGGAAGCCUAUUUAAGCAAUUUAAAACACAUUUUUGCAUAGAAUGACAUGGCUCAAGAUAGAUGAUGAUCAUGAUAUGCUUUGAGUAAAUCAUGAUGCUCAUGCUAUGCACAUGCUUGAUGCAACCAUAACACUGGGGUGUUACAGCCCUCCCCCCUUACAAAAAUCUCGUCCCGAGAUUUGAAAGCUUACUGAUUUUCGAAGAAGGUUUUGUAAACUUCUUUUAAAUAAUCCUCCGUCUCCCAAGUGGCAUCUUUUUCCCCGUGGUUACUCCACAACACUUUGUAGAGCUUAACCACACGAUUACGCGUCUCCCGUUCCUUGCGAUCAAGAAUCGCUAUGGGUUUCUCCUCAUACACCAAGUCUGACUUCAACUUGAUAUCUCGAAUUUCCACUUGUUCCUCUGGUACACGAAGGCACUUCUUCAAUUGUGAUACGUGGAAGACAGGAAAAAUGGCUCGAAGCGCAACUGGGAGUUGAACUUUGUAUGCCACAUUCCCUUUCUUUUCGAGAAUCCGAUAAGGUCCCACAUAGCGAGGUGCAAGCUUUCGCUUGACUCUGAACCUUUGUACACCCUUCAUCGGAGACACCUUGAUGUACACAUGGUCACCAACUGAAAACUCAAUCGGCUUCCUUCUCUUGUCGGCAUAACUUUUCUGACGAGCUUGAGCAGCUUCCAGAUGUUGCUGGAUAGUACGGACUUUCUGCUCUGCUUCGUUCACGAAAGCGAUGCCAUAGUAUCUUCGCUCUCCAGCUUCUACCCAAUUCAGCGGGGUUCGACACUUUCGACCGUACAGGGCUUCAAAUGGAGCCAUCUUGAUACUCUCCUGGUAACUAUUGUUGUAGGAGAACUCAGCUAAUGGCAACCACUUAACCCAAGAACCUUUUGAUGAGAGAGCACAUGCCCUCAACAUAUCUUCAAGGAUCUGGUUAACUCGUUCAGUUUGACCUGCUGUUUGGGGAUGAUAAGCAGAGCUGCGGACCAAAUGAGUACCAAUCUGCUCAUGAAGACAUUCCCAAAAACGAGCAGUGAACUGCGGUCCACGAUCAGAUAUGAUUGUUCGAGGCACACCAUACUGUCGAACAAUGUGCUCGAAAUACAACUCCGCAUACUGAUGGGGACGAUAGUCAGUUCGGACUGGAAUAAAUGGAGCAACCUUGGUCAAACGAUCUACAACCACCCAGAUGGAGUCGUAACCCUUAACAGAAAUUGGGAGUCCACUGAUGAAAUCCAUGCUGACUUCUUCCCAUUUCCAACCAGGAAUUGACAAGGGUUGAAGCAAACCAGCUUUCAUGUGAACAGCCUUCACCCGACAACAAUUGUCACAACGAGCGACAAAAGCAGCUAUCUCCUUUUUCAUCUUUGUCCACCAAAACAAAGGUUUCAGAUCCUGAUACAUCUUGCUACUACCAGAAUGGAUAGACAUUUUGGAUGAAUGAGCUUCAGAUAGGAUCUGAUUUCGCAGCUCGCGGUCUUUUGGGACCACAAGUCGAUCCUUGAACCAAAGAAUUCCGUUCUCAUCAACUCGGAAAUGCUUGGUUUCUUCUUCCUUCAUUUUCCUCUUUAUAUGGUGGAUGCCUACAUCUGUCUGCUGCAAUUCGAUAACUCGAUUGCGAAUGGUACUCUCUAGAGAAAUCUGGUGGAGUACAAGCGGAUGCAUCAGAUGUGACAACAACAGAUCUUCCACUUGAAUUGAGUGACAGUGCGCUUUCCGACUCAAGGCAUCCGCCACUACGUUUGCCUUGCCCGGAUGAUAGUGCACUUGCAGAUUAUAAUCUUUAAUCAACUCAAGCCACCUUCGCUGCCGCAUGUUCAGUUCAGGUUGAGUGAAGAUAUACUUGAGGCUCUUAUGAUCGGUGUAAAUAUUACACAGAUUACCCAGCAGAUAAUGCCUCCAGAUUUUCAAAGCAUGAACAACUGCUGCCAAUUCUAAGUCAUGAGUGGGGUAAUUGACCUCAUGCUUUCGAAGUUGGCGCGAGGCAUACGCGAUAACGCGACCUUCCUGCAUCAACACACAGCCUAAACCAAUGCCUGAUGAGUCAGAAAAGACAUCGAAAGGCUUCCCGAUAUCAGGUUGAGCUAGGACAGGAGCUGAUGUCAACAGUGUCCUCAACUUGUGGAAUGCCUCUUCACACUCAGGUGUCCACACAAACUUUUCAUCUUUCUGAAGUAGACGAGUCAUAGGCUUGGAUAUUUUGGAGAACUCUGGAAUAAAUCGACGGUAAUACCCAGCCAGACCGAGAAAACUCCGAACCUCGUGUACCGAAGUUGGAACUUUCCAAUCCAGCACUUCUUGCACCUUAGCCGGAUCCACCGAUAUGCCUUCUUCAGAUAAGACAUGGCCCAAGAAAGGUACUUUCUUUAGCCAAAACUCGCAUUUGCUAAACUUUGCAUAAAGCUGAUGUUCGCGCAAACACGACAACACUACACGCAGAUGCUCUGCAUGCUCCUCUUCAUUGCAAGAAUAUACCAAGAUAUCAUCAAUGAAGACCACCACAAACUUGUCCAAUUCGGGCAUGAACACCGAAUUCAUAAGAUACAUGAAAUGAGCAGGUGCAUUUGUAAGGCCGAAGGACAUGACAAGGUACUCAUACAACCCAUAUCUCGUCGAGAAAGCCGUCUUAGGUAUAUCUUCGGGACGGAUCUUGAUCUGAUGGUACCCAGAUCGCAAAUCAAUCUUGGAGAAUACCUUAGCUUUGGACAACUGGUCAAACAAGAUAUCAAUGCGAGGAAGAGGGUAUUUGUUCUUGAUAGUCACCGCAUUUAGGGGACGAUAGUCCACACACAUGCGCAAAGAUUGAUCCUUCUUCUUCACAAAGAUAGCCGGACAACCCCAAGGAGAUGAACUAGGACGAAUAAGACCCUUCUGCAACAACUCAUUUAGUUGGGUCUUAAGCUCAGCUAAUUCAUUGGGCGGCAUCCUAUAAGGUCUUCUAGAGAUAGGAGCGGUGCCUGGAAUCAAUUCAAUUUUGAACUCCACAUCCCGAUCCGGAGGAAGCCCGGGUAGAUCAUCAGGAAAAACAUCCGAAAACUCACACACCACCGGAAUAUCCUGAAUAGCCUUAGAUGUAACUGCAUUCACAGUGCUACGGAUUUGAAUAUCAUGAGGGAGUUGCACUAGAAAUGCCUCCUUGGUAUUUGGGUCUUUCAACAUCACUACACGAGUGGUGGUGUCUAUAAGAACUCCAUUACCACUCAUCUACUUCAUCCCCAGAAUUACAUCUAUGCCCACACCGGGUAGAACAACCAGAUCAGCAAGAAACUGACGGCCUCCUAUCUCUAGAGUUGCCCCCAAAACCACUUGAUUGGUGGAAAUAUCAUUUCCCGCAGCACUAAUACAAUAACUGCCCUUAUCAAGUGUGAUGGUCUUGAUGCUAUGUUUAGAUACAAAUUCAGAACUCACAAACGAAUGCGAUGCUCCAGAAUCAAAAAGCACAAGUGCAUCAUGUUGAUUGACCAGAAACUUACCAGCCGUGACUACCUCACCAGCAGGGAUUGCCUCCACAGUUGUGUAAUGAACACGCCCCUGACGGACGUUCCCCUGGUUGCCCUUCUUUGGCGGGUAAGGACAGUUGCUCUGCCAAUGCCCGGUCUGAUUGCAGUUCCAGCACGGACGGUUGGCAGGUGGAGUCUUGGCAUAGUUGGGACCCGUGUUGCCCUUAGGAAGAGCAAUAGAGUACCCCUUGCGAAAACCCGUCUUUGCCUGAUUCUUCUUCACCGGAGGGCGGUAUCGCUGGUUGGGGGUUGGAGCACGGAAUGGUGGCUUAGCUACCACGGGAGCCUUGGACUGAGAUGACCCAGCACUGGCCUCAAAAGCCCUCUUGCGAGUCUUGGUCGCAGUGUACACAGUGUUAUAGUUCUCUUGGGUGAGAGCAUCACUGACAAACUCAUUGAAAGUUGCACACUUAGAGCGGCCCAUAGUCUUCAGCAAUUUGGGACCCAAACCCCGCUUGAAACUAGCGAUCUUUUUCGCCUCCGUGUUCACAAACUCAGGAGCAUAUCUAGACAAGUGAUUGAAAGCAUGCAAAUACUCCUUCAGAGUCUUGUUGCCCUGAGUCAACUGCAUGAACUUGGUGUGCUUCAUCUCCAUAACACCCGGAGGAAUGAAAUGCCCUUUGAAAGCCUCACGGAAAAGAUUCCAAUCAAUCACCGUGUCAGCCGGUAGAGCUUCCCGGUACUGAUUCCACCAGAUGCCUGCCGGUCCUUGCAGUUGGUGAGCUGCAUACUCCGCCUUCAAACCUUCAGUCAACCGAAGUAGGCGAAACUUUUGUUCCACCGUAUUAGCCACUCUUCAGCUUGAAGGGGUUCUUCAGCUUCUCUGAAAGGUGGGGGCUUCGUAUCCAUGAAGUCCUUGAAGCUACUGUACUGGUUAGGAGCUGGCCCUUCCUGUGCAUUACGGCCACCCUGAUUUGCCAUACGAUUGAUGGUCUCAGUGAGCAUCCUCUGAUUUUCCACCAUCAUUUGCAUCAGCUCAGCUGGAUUUGGUGGUGGAGGAGGAGGAGGUGGAUUCAUGUUUGCACGCUGUUCCGCACCCCGGGUGCCACGAGACAUCUGUAAAGACACAGUCAGUGAGUAUUGAUGAUGACAAGAUUUGCCGUAGAAGAACUUAUAUUCAUGCCUGAAAGUAUUCGAGAGAAUAGCUUUAUAGAAAGGCACAACAAUUCCAUUCCACAAAACAACAUCACCAAUCCAACACAUGACAUAGACAUCCGCAAUACGCACCACAACGGAAAACAUCGGCAUAACAUAACGAUCAUAAAGACUGCACAUAGGGUCCAUAAAGUUAUUACACCAACACAGUACAUGCCAUGAGUCAAGGUCAAAGUUUCGGAUUACAACAUGGUUACAAAAGCACCACAGCCGACUGGCAUACUACAAAAGAUCCUUGGGUCACACUACCCACUACUCCCUACACUCCAGGCUCGUCGUCCGAGUCAGCGUCGAAGAUCGCCUCUCCAUCCUCGUCGCUAACCGGCUCAAGCUCCUCGUCCUCCACGUCCUCGUGUAAAGGUGGUGCAGCAGCUGCUGGUCCAUCGACCUCCAUACCAUCAUCAUCGGCCACAAUCACCUGAGGUCCUACCUCGGGAUACACGGGUAUAGGGCGAGGAACAGGGUGUAGCAAGUUGUUGAGACGGUGAAUCUCCAGAAGACCAGCCUCAAUCUGAUCCUGCAGAUAGUUCUCCCGCUCAAGCGACUGAACUCGGUGCAUCUCCCAUGCUUGGCGCCUGUUCUCCGACACACAGAGUGCAGUAUCCCUCUCACGGGUGAGCUGCACCAAGCGCUCCUGCAAGGUCUCCUUCUCUCUAGCUAACUGGCUCACCUGAUCCUGCUUAUGAUCUCUCUCUCUGAUGGCCUUCACCCACUGUUGCCUACGAUACUCCGCAAUGUCUUCCCAGUCAUUGCGGUCCUUCUGAGCUUGCUCCAGGAGUCUAGCUUGCUUGCGAAACUUGCGAGCACGCCUUUCAGCCUUUCGCUGCAUCUCCUAGGCCCUGCGAACAGCCAUCAUCACCUGUGCAUAGGUGCCCUCUCGCUGACUAAUCAGCUUGAGCACAGCCAUCAUAGCACUCAUAGCAGGACUAGUACUCUCAGCUCUCUCUCCCCUGCCUCGAACCAAAGCACAACCAUCAGCCUGUUUCCAUUCCGCGGCUGCUGGGUCAGCACUAGGAAUGGAGGCCGCUGGUCCUCCCGUCAGCUCGUCACAACACCUCUGACAGAUAUCGAGCAGGAUAGUCUGGGCUGCAACCUGAGCUGCCUCCCAAGGAGUCUGCCCAUCAGAGCUGGAAGUCCAGCCUGUCCAUGCAGGCUUGUCCCCAUGUGGAGGGACAACUCCCUGCACAGCAAACCACUGGAUCCCUCCUGUGCUCUCCAUCUCCCACCAAGAAUACUGAGGUGGCUCAGUAUACCCAACAGUCCGUAACACUCUCCAGAGCAGGGUAGGAGUGCCAAACUCGUGCAAGAAAGUGUCACAGGGACGAGGUGAAGCGGGUGCGUCCAUCUGUGGAAGGGAAUAGGAACACCACGGGUAACAGAGGAUUAGUUAAGCAAUCAUUCAUUUAUUGAAAAGGGACGAAAUUGUAAGGGAAGGAGUAGACAGAAUGUAUGUAUGAAUGCGACAUGAUGCAUGCACGAACCGUACGUCCUCACAAACUUAGAAAAUUAAUAUUCUAACGGAUAUACGGUGGCAUACAUUCGUCUCUCGAUACGGUAACUAUCGGUUUACACGUGCGCUGUCAGAGUACCUACAGAAAACUUCAUUUCAGCCCAACAGUUCCCAAUAUAUAUCACUCAAGAAAGCAGUAAACUAAGUGCACAUUGCUCGGACAUGCCCAACAUGCCCCAAACAAUGACACCACAACUACCCGAGAAAUUAAAUGCUCCCCAAUUAAGUUUCUUUCGUGGUUUCAUGGUUUCGACAUGUAACCACUCCAGAAAACCACCGCGAACACUCCCUUAGACCGCCGUUUGGACGAUCAUGCUCUCACAGCUCACACUUACCCGAGCGUAGGUGCGACGUUACAUAAUUUAAAUCUAGCGACAUAUGUGGCUAAUUCACAUAUGAAGGCUACCUCCACCAUUAGACCACAGGGUAGCAUAGUGCGGUCAUCACACAUCCAUACCUGAGUACUGCCGGAGAUGCAUAAAUAAACCCCCCCCCCCAAGUCAGUACUUAAAUAGCCACCUAUAGUCCUUAUGUGGGCAAGGAGGAUUCGACCACUGGCAUAACUUAAUUAUUUGUUUUACAGUAUUUUAUUUAAAACUCUUUUGUUUUAAAUACACAAACGCUGCAUUUAUAAUGCUGAACUUGCUCCGAUGCCAGCUGUCACAGAACCGACCAAAUUAUAAGAGUUCAAGUGCAGAAACGAUCGUCAAACAAUUAAGUUUCUAAACUUGAGCCCAUAUAAUCCCGGUAGUCAAUCGAAAUCACGAAGGACUUCAAACCAACUCGCAACAAACCAAGAUCGUAAUAGUUCAACAUAAACACAACGAAUGUUACAUAGUCAGUCAUUGCCGAUGAAGUGGCACCACAUCGGAGUCAUUAAGUUAUUACAACCCAAGUCUGAAGUAGCGGAAGCAAAAUAGUUACACACACUUGUUCAAAGUUCAGUUCACAAGUUUUGUUACUGCCAGAGUCUAUGCCAUCCUUCCAAAAGCAUCAUAGACGAGAAGAGUAGAGAACCGUGCCCAACGGUUAGUCCUCAUCCCCAGCGGGAUGGAGACAGGUCUUGCAGAAACCGUCAUAGAAGAUAUCAUCUGCUAUAGGUGGGAAUAAACCCUGAGUACGAGGAUGUACUCAGCUAGGCUUACCCGUCUAGUAAAACACAAAAGACACCAAGGAUCAUGCAAGGCUAAAUCUUAGGUGGAGUUGGUUGACUCACCUUUUGCCAAAAGCUUAACUUACAACUAAGUUAUUUUAAGAGCAUCAUAUUUAUUUAUCAUCAGCCUACCACUAGAUUAGCACCUGUACUACAACACAUCACUUGAUUAUUACAAACAAUAAUAACCAUAUCAAAUUCAUCAUAUGUUCUUCUUGCUAUCAUCAUUAUCAUGAACCAAAUUCAUUAGUGAAUGCUACGUUUGCCGCUGCUCUGUCUAGUUCUCACUAACCGGGAGAGACGGCGAUUCGAAUCGAAUUCCUAUCCAGGUGGAGGAUUAUUCCUAGCACUCACCCAGGCAUCCCCUGCCGGAGAGCCCACGGGUCACCUUUGGUACAACUCAGAAAUCGCGGUUCCGAUCAGCGCCGCACUCCCAGGGCUACCACUCUGCCAGGGAGGUCAGAAAUUUUAACUCACCUGCCUUUGGACUUACGCCAAUGGUCCCCCGCACACCGCACUUCCUCCGGUAGUGCGCACUUUAUACUUGCCGGUCUUCCGGCCUGAGUCAUACUACUCGGCUUCGCGGUCGGAACGAGUUAUCCGGCCAACUAAGUGUUAGGCAUGCGUUCAACAUGACAAGAGGACGUACAACGAUCAGUCCUUAGCUGCCACAGACGGAGUUACUACAAACUUGGAAAACUCUGCCCGGCUUAAGUCACUUUAAUCAGGUUCCAUCCACGAUAGCACAUAUAGACCAUCGUGAUCCGACAUAACCCUAUAUCGCACGGAUGACAGGAUAUCACCCGACUUCUACCGAUUAAAGCAUAUCUAAGCUGCUACUCAAUCCUAACUCUACAACCAGGGAGGGUGAGUUAUCUGGACAAGGAUAGAGUAGAAUGCAGCAACAGUUUCAUCACAACUCCUAGACUUAAUGCGUCAAUAGGUAUAACAUAUUAAGUAAACUUUCGAAAAUAGAAAGAGACUUAGAAUGCUCCGGGGCUUGCCUUUUACGAAUGAUGCCGGCUCGUGAUUCGGGCACUCAACUUCUUCUUCGGGCUCCUCGAGUCCGGCUUGCUGGACCUCCACCUCCUGGCUGCCCUCCUGACCUUCGGGAUUCGCUUGGAGCUCGAAGGAAACUGCCACGUCCGGUGCACCUAUUGCAUGCUCGAACGAUAAGAUAAUGCACAUGCUAACGAUGAAUGCUUAAUGACACAAGCAACUCACUGGACACUCAUUUACGGACAAAAGUUAUACUAACUCGCAUAAUUGAACAAGUUAACAUAACCCAAAACCUUUCAAGACACUAAGGCAGCAAACACACAAACAGAGAGGCUCAGUAAAUAAAUCAUAACUAAAGAUAGGCAGGUCCAACAAACAUGAGUAAGGACAUUCUGGAAAUCUUAUGAAAUUGUCUACAAUUAAUCUUUAAACAUGACAGCAAGAUUCAUACAUGAGACUGGUCAUUUAAACAAAGUUCCAGGUUCUGUCCCAGAAAAACAGAGAACACCUAUUCCUGGAACCCAACUUGAAACAGCUAUAACUCUUAAACUACUUGGCCAAACGACCUCAAAUUUAAACCAUAGUUAGUUCAACAAGUUUGGAACAUCUUUGCUUGAGACAAGUUCCACAGAAAGUCAAGUUAUCAUUAAGUAAUAACCAAAUUGCUACCUUGCUGUCCAGAACAGCAUUUAACCCUAUAGUUAAUUAUUUAAUGACAUGAUCAAGACACAAACCAUGCCAACCACAUGGCCUAUGAGCACAAACAUAUUACAAGGUUACCAGAUCAUCAGAUGGAAACCCCAAAACAUUUAUUUAACAAGGCAUUUAUUAAUUAUCUCUAAAUAAGAGCAUAAUUACAAGAUACUAGUUCAAAUGCUCAGAAAAAUCUACAAAAAUUACAGAAGCACAAGGACACCAUCAAAGUAUCACCAUAAAAAGUUCACAGCAAUUGCACAUACCAAAAUAAAGAUAUGUAUUUAACACGUAUCAAGGCAUUUAUUUCAUAAAUUUAGAAACAAUACUUAUAUGGUGUUAAACAACAGAUUUCAGAUUAUUUACAUCUUAGGAGUACCAUAAACAAACUUACCACCAAAGUAGAACAUCAGCAUAAGCACCAAUUAUUUUAUAUGAUUUAUUUAAAGAAACAAGCCAUAUCUCAAACACAAAUUACGUAUCCCAACUGCAGUGCUCUAAAAAUCAUGAAAUAAUUAUCAGAGCACUCUAAUGCCAUGCAAAGGCUACCAUAAAAUUUUCAAAGCAAACUAAGCAGUAUAACAAGAGAUAUGCAUUUUUCCAUAAAUAACAAGAUUAAAUCCUUAAUAAAUGAUUUCUCAGAAAACAUGAUUCAUUUUAUAUUUUUAUUAAAUACUAGCCAUCUCAAGAAACUCUACAAAAAUUUGUUUCACAAUUUUUGGAUCUCAGAAACCAGAGAUAUGAUUUUUGCAAGAAAGCCAAAAAUCAGGAUUUUGAAUAAAAGAAAAGGAGGGAAAGAGAGAGUCGCUGACAGUGGGUCCCAUCUGUCAGGCUCUUCUUCCUCGCGGACGAGGCGACUUUCGCCGCCGAUUUCUCCGCGACGGCGAGGUCUCCGGCCAAGCCAAGGGCAUCAGCGUGAUACCCAAACCCUAACGACUCGAUUGACCCCACUUUUCCCACGGCGGAGCCACCGGAAGAGGCUCGCCGUCGACAAUGGCGGCUCGGCGGAGGUGCUCGGCGUUACGCCGGAGCCCUCAGGCCGGUAGAGCGCGACCUAAGGCCUUCUACAGCACCAGCGGACUACGGCGAAGCUUCCUAGGUGCGCGGCUUGGCCUGGAUCCCCGUGGAACGCGCUAGCCACGAGAGCACCCAACUCCGGCGGAAGCACGGCGGCGCUGCGCACCGUGUCCGGCGACGGAGAACCCGGUAGAGCAUCCACCAGGUGGCGCAAAAGCUCGCUAAGGACCUAAGCUACCUCUAGGACCUAACCAAAGACGAUGAGAAGCCUCACAGCGCUCGGCAUUGAGUUCGCCGGAGAAGAAGGUCACGGCGAACCGAUUUGGGGGAAGAAGGGAAUGUCGGCUCACCGGUGGGUUUCUCGGCGAGUUAGAGGGUGGAGCUUGGAGAGCGGCUCACGGCGGAGCUUUGGGUGGAGUUUGGUGGACGGAGGCGCAGUGAGGAGCGCACACGAGCUCGCCGGAGUGAGCUCGCGGCGGAGAGCUCGCUGCGGGCGAGUUUCAGGCGAAGGAGGGCGAGGCAGAGCGAGUGGACGCGUCCACUUCACUCGGGACGCCGCCGUGGAGGUCAUGCACGCGACGAGGGCUGACAAGCGGGGCCAGGAGCGGCGUGCGGUCGACAAAUGGCGACGGAGCUCUGCCGGCGGUCGGCCACGUCGACGAGCUCAGGCUCGAUUCAGAAGAAAGGGUGCUGGUCUGACAGAGCCACUUCACCGGCGAUUAUCUCCCAAACCAGAGCGAAUUAGAAGAUGGCGUAGUUGACAAACUUGGAGAACUAAGCGAGAUCUACAACUUUGUCAACUGGAGCAAGAGCUAGAUCGGCUUGGAUUGAGAGUUAUGAAGUUUUCAAAAUCAAUCGAGCAAACUGGUUUCGUUCCAAGACUUAGAAAAUUUUCUAAGUGUUGAAAACAGCCCCAAAUCUGCCUUGUAGGUCACUUUUGAGCUAUUUGUGAUCAUUUUCAUGAGAUGGCCAUAAAACAACUUUUGUUCCUUAUAAAAUUUGCUACAACUUUGCUGUAGAAAGUUUUGACAUGCAAACAUUUUAUGAAACACUUUUUAAAAGCCUGAGCAAAAGAGGUUUCUAGGGUCUAUUUUCAUAAGUAUGACUUAAAAGCAUAUUUUGGAAAAGUGAUCAACAUGAACAUUGUUCCCAAGAUUAAGUUAAGCAUAGAUAAACUAAUUACCAAGGCAUUAAGCACAAACACAAGCAUUGUUCACUCAAACAUAAGCAUAGGAAGCCUAUUUAAGCAAUUUAAAACACAUUUUUGCAUAGAAUGACAUGGCUCAAGAUAGAUGAUGAUCAUGAUAUGCUUUGAGUAAAUGAUGAUGCUCAUGCUAUGCACAUGCUUGAUGCAACCAUAACACUGGGGUGUUACAUCUGUCAAUAAAAUGGUAGUUUGAAAUGUUUCCAAGAUCGGCAAAAAGAUCAAAUUCUAUAUCUAGCUUGGAAUCACGUGGUGGAAUUUCUUCCUUUUGUGGCUCAGAACUUGGGAUAGUUAAAGUAGAUAGAGAAUUUGACGGAGUGUCUACUUUAGCUUCGUAGGUUUCAUCAUGAAGCUUGUGGACCUCCUCGCCAGUGAUCUGACGCUUCUCGUCGAAGCGGCGUAAGCGUUGCUUCACUGGCUUUGAACCGGGUCGAAUCUCCAAGGAGUGCUCAGCGACUUCCCUCGGUAUGCCACGCAUGUCUGAGGGACUCCAUGCAAACAUGUCGGCGUUUGCACAGAGAAAGUCGACGAGCACGGCUUCCUAUUUGGGGUCAAGGUCGGCGCUGAUCGUCAGCACCUUGUCGUAAGAGCCGUUGGGGUCGAUUAGGAUUUUCUUCGUGCCCUUCGCUGGUUCGAAGCUGCCCACAUGGCGCUUAGGCUAUGGAGCCUCAGCAGCGAGGGCCUCGAGCCUCGAGGCGAGUUCGGCGGAGCUCUCGAUAGCCUCCGCAUACUCGACGCAUUCGACGUCACAUUCGUAUGCGUGCUCAUAGGAGGAGCUGACAGGCAUUCGACGCAUUUGACCCAUUUGACCCCCUUGGGCCCAGGCAUCUUCAGCUUCAGGUAAGUGUAGUUGGGGAUCGCCAUGAACUUGGCGUAUUCCGAUCGCCCGACGAUGGCAUGGUAAGUGCCUCGAAAACCCUCCACUUCGAAAGUGAGGGUUUCCUUCUUGAAGUUGGCCGCUGUGCUAAAUCAGACUGGUAGGUCGAUUUGACUCACCGGCAAUGCCUUCUUCCCUGGCACACCUGCGCUUGGUUGGAGCUGCGUCCUAUCGAUGCCUAGGAGGUCGAGGGUCCCGAGGUAGAUGAUGUUGAGGCUGCUGCUGCCGUCCAGCAGUACAUUUGAGAGUCGAGUGUUGACGAUGAUGGGGUCGACGACGAGCGGGUAGACACCAGGAGCGACCACCCUAUCGGGGUUGUCGUCACGGUCGAAGGUGAUGGGGGUGCUCGACCAGUUGAGGUACUGUGGUACUGCCAUCCUUGCCGCGAAGACCUUGCGGCGUUCCCUCUUACGCUGUCACAUGGUGAACUGCGUCGAAGGUCCACCGUAGAUCAUGUAGCAGUCAUGGACGGCAGGGAACCCUUCAUCUUCUUUGUUUCCCCCAUUGUCGUCGCUCUUGUCUUUCCUCUGGUCGUCCUUCCUUAGCCCCCGGCUAUCGAAGUACUUUUUCAACAUGCGACAGUCCUCGAGCUUGUGGUUGGCCCCUCCCUUGUGGUAAGGGCAGGGUUCCCUGAGCAUUUUGUCGAAGACGCCCCCCUCUGGGGGGCCUCGAGGCUUCUUACGCUCAACGGCGGCGACGAAAUCAUCGUUGAGAGCCUCCCGCUUGGUCGGUCACAUUUUCUUCUUGUUCUUGCUCUUCUUGGACCCUCUGCUAUGGCCUUCGUCAUUGUCCACUGGCGCUUUCCCCUUGCCGCCUUCAUGGUUGAAGAAACCGCUGACCGCCUCUUCACCAGCUGCAUAGUUUGCCACCACAUCCAUCAGCUCGUCGAUGGUUUGUGGUCGGUUUGGACCUAAUUCUGGCACCAAAUCCUGGCAUGUGGUGCCUGAGAAAAAGGCCAGAAUGACGUUGUGGUUGGGGAUGUGUGGGAGCUCGGUGUGCUGCUUUGAGAAGCAUUGAGUGUACUCUCGGAGAGAUUCUCUUGAUUUCUGCUUGCACUUGCUGAGGUACCAUGAAUUGUCGGGGCGUAUAUAGGUCGCCUUGAAGUUUCCUUCAAACACCCAGACCAAAUCUGUCCAGUCGUGGAUCUGGUUGGCAUGGAGUUCCUCGAGCCACCUACGAGCGGUAUCAGAGAGGAAGAGUGGCAACUGGCAGAUGAUAGCUCAUGUUGGGCAUUCUUAACGUCACUACCAAAAGUAGACUUAAUUUUCUAAUUCUGAUAACGGCGCCAAAAAUGCCAAACCUAUCCCUCAUGCCACUUAAGCCAAGUUGUCAUCCCCAGCAUGACAUAAGAGAUGCGGUAUUGAAAUAUGCAAUUGCUCUUCUAAAUAAAUAAUAAAUGGGAUCUGCAAGCGCACAGAUUAAUACCGAUGUAGCAUUUUAACUGGGAAUUAUUCUAGGUAUCGUUAUUUAUAUUUUUUACCAGUGGGAAGGGUUUGCUAAACAUCAAUGUUGAUUAUAGAAUAGAAUAUAGGAUUGAGUAUUUAUCAUUGCAUGUAUAAUUGAGAGCAUUUAUCUAUCUCUUUCAUACAUUGAUAAGUGUCACAUAAAAGAUAUAUAAAGUAUGAAUGGUGAUAAAGAUAAUUAAUAUGAUCAGCAUAACUUAGCCACAUAUAAAUAUGAUAAGCGCCUCAAUAGAUAUUCUAGCAAGUCGUUAGCAUGGAAUUAGGACGAACUACAAGAAUAUUUCCUAAGUCAUUCUCAACUAUAAAGUCUAGCAUAUCAUAGUUAGUGCAAUUAUAUUUGGCAAUCAUUGCGAGACAGGACUACGCCCAUGCAUAGUGGUAUUAUCAAGGAAUAUGAGAAACAUAGCAGUCACUCCCCUGUAAUAAUGUUUCUCUGCCAGCCCUAUACACGAGAGGGGGACUAUAUAAGAAUCAAUGGAGCUGUCACUACCACGAACUACCCCACGAUCUAGCAUAUAGGAUACAAUCGCAUAUAAAUACGGUAUGGGCACCAUGCCUACACAAUACUUAUCAUUUACCCACUGUACACAUGGAUAAACGCUAUAUGAUCCUAAACAUGUAUAUAAUUCCAAUCUAACUAAGCCAAGCAUAUAACUAUGAUAAACUAAGAACAAUAUAAUUGCGAAUAUAAACAAGUAGAGCAAAGUCAUAAUCAAUAUAUUGAAGUAGAACAAAGUCAUAUUCUUAAUAUGGAAGAAAAAAGAUGAACAAUUUAAGAACAGUAGAGAAUUACCAAGAAUCCUCCUGAGGCGUCCGGAAACCAAUCGAAGAUUGACUCCUUCUAGUUCUAAUUUUAUGUAGCUAUGCUAAACUAGAGAUCUAAUUGAUGUGGUGGCUCUAGGGCUUGAUCAGAGGCUUCUUCUCCCAAGAUGAAUAAUGAAUUAGGGGUCUGAGGUCCUCUCCUCCAGGGGCCAGAGGGUCUGGUUAUAUAGUCCUUCCAAGUGAAUACGGGCCGUUGGAUCAAACCGACAUUAAUCGCACGGUUUUCCUUGAUCCUUUAGGUCGGUGGAGCAUGAUCCGCGAGAUUGAAGCUGAUUGGCCCCGAGGCCAGGGCGGGCACCCAAGGGGGGAGGGCGGGCGCCCUGCCCUGAGCCCGUCCGGUCUCCCGUUCAUUCCCGUGGCUUCUGGACUCUUCUAGAUGUAGGAUAAUUGCGCGGCACGUUAAUAUCUCUAUGUAAACCCGACGUGUGGGCCUUUCUUCCAUAAUUCCUGAUAUCCCCCUGCAGAAAUAGACAAACACCAAAACUCGUGGAAUUCUGUCGGAUAAAACCCUAAGUCUGGAUGUUGGUUGCAUUUGGAUCCUUUUCUUUGUUUAUUUGAUAAUUAAAUUUGAUACUUAAGGACCAUCAACAAACUCCCCCAAGCUUACCUCUUGCUCGUCCCUGAGCAAGGAUAAUUUCAGUGUUGGAUUAGAAGUUGCUACAAUACCUUUUAAAAAUUAACGGUACACAUGCUUUUAAAUAAGGUCUCAUCUCUGAGUGAGAGUAAACUGUCAAUACUUAAAACUUACUUUACCUUUCACCAUGGGACUUGUAACCGUCACUUCUGUCUUGAGCAGUUAAAAGAUAGAACGGUCUAGUCAAGUGUCAUGUCUCUUAUUCUUCAUCAGCUAUAGCUCUGGAGUUUUUGCAGAUUUUCAAAUAAAACUCAGAGAUUCCUUGUAUGAUUCUCUCAGAUCUCUCUUUUGUGGUAUUUCUGGAUCCUUACCAAGACAGUGAUGGUAUAUGCCUUCUCUCUCAAAAUAUGUGGUAUUUGUGGUAUAAGCCAUAGUGACAUUGCCUUCUCUCUCACCCUACUCUAAUAAGACUUUUGAUAUCUAGAGCUCAUAGGUGGGAGAUAAAGUAUACAUACUUACAAGACAUUUAUUGUAUAGUCAAACCAUGGAUCCAAAGAAACAAGUCAAUAAGUCAAAUCAAGAUGUGCAUGUGUGGCGAAUGAGUGGUGUAUGGUGAUGAUGGUGGUAACAAUGGUGAAAGUCCAUUUAUACUUGUGCUCUUUUGAGGGGAUACAUACCUUUCUUGCUCUUUUGAAACUUUUGAGGAGAAUGAGAUGCUCUAUAUUUUCUUUUUCUUUCCUCUCAGGUGGGUAUCUUGUACCCCUAAUUCUACUGUCAGACACUUGUCCAUUUUUACAUCUCAUCUCACUUUUUCUUUUCUUUCGAGGUUCCGGGCAGUUGCCCCUUUUUAUUUCCUCGUAACUUUUUUUUAGAGCACUCAUUUCCUGAAAUAAAUAGCAAGUGGUAGUAAUCAAGAUAACUUGAGCAUUUCUUUCGCAGGGGAAAACAGAAAUGUUUUUGGCUAUUCUCUCCUAGAUUAGGAGUAGAAUAUUUUUUGGUGGCUCUGGAGAUGGAAAUGGGUGGAUAUAUGUGGAUGCGUACUUUCGGAGUAGAAGCAGCAUGUGUGAGUGAACGUGCAAGUGAAUCUUGAUUUAACCACAUGACAAGCUCCUAAGGGUCUACACAGCUUGACCACACUCAAUGUUCAUAAGCAAUAAAAAGUAAAUGUGUGGCUCAAAGUCUAACAAGCAUGUAUUUAUGGCUAUUGUAGGAAUUUAAACUCUCAUCAUACAGGAACUCAUCAUGUGAUAUUUUAAAGAUUUUCAAAGAUAAAAUUCUCCAGAAUUCUAGCAUCUCUAGGAACAGAUAAACAGCAGCUCAACCUUCCCAUAUCAUAUCCGUUAACAACUUAGACUUUAGAUCAAGUUUUCUUCCCACAAGUUAAGAUUUAGAGCAAGCUUUAAAUUAUAACAGUUAUGUCUAAACUAGGGAGAAAACUCAAAUUUAAAAAAUUAGGCAGAGCAACUAUUCAUCAUAUCCAUGCUAGAGUUUGAUUAUUAAGAUUCACUUUAUCAUAGCCACUUUAUUUAUUUAUUAAGCACACUAAGCAAAAGAUAUAUUUAUGCAUAUAAGCACAAAAUCUUUAUUUGUUUUUUUCAUGGUUAUGUAUAUUUAUAUUUUAAUAUAGUAUAAGUAUAUAGAUAGAUAGAAAUACUUAGCGGGAUAAAUGGGGGUGCUCUCCCCCAAGCAAGAUUUUGACGUAAUUUCUUCUCAUGUAGCUAGCAGGUGGCAGAGGUGUAUUUGAAAGUCGGCAGUACCCUGACAGCGAUUAGGAUGUCCUCCGUCUGCUAGUCUUCUUGAUCCUUGAAUUCUAUAGAGCUCAAAUAGACAACAAAGCUUUGUGGAACUGAUUAAGUGUUAGCAUAAAUAUCUAGCCUUUAUCAUGUUGAGCCUUCUCAAUAAAUGUUAUUCUCUAUUUUUAUAUUUUCAUUUUAUAGAGUAGAAAAAUAUUUAUUUUAUUUUUAUGCCACCACAGUGAAUGUACUUAUGGGUUUUAUGUCACUCGUAUACUCACAUGGGGCUUACUGUUUUUAACAUUUUUAUUUUAUUUUUAGAAUAGUAUGAACCUGAUUAACUAAGCAAACUAUUUUAAAUAAUUGACAGGAAAAGGAUAACUACCAAGUUUACCUCUUGGCAAGGCGUUUGGUGUUUUUAAGUCCUCCGAAUGGGACUCUCCGUUUUCUCAGUUGUCGUGGGAUUCGUUGGAUGGCGUAGUCGGUGCUUCCGGCGGCGCCUCUUCUUCGUGUAUAGUUAUCUUCAUGUUCCACAACUGACUUGGUGCUUUGGUCUCCUCAGGAUAGUUCUGCUCAAGCUGUAUGUUUUCAGACCUUACGACUUCUCCUUCGUAGUUUGCCCAUCCGUCCUUGUUGAUUUGCCUCCUCUGGUUGCGGUUGCGUCGUCUUCUUCUUGUCCUGACCUGCUUAGAGUCUUCAACUAUAUAGUUAGGGUCAGUAAAAUAGCGGCGUACCUUCUCUGAGGGGAAGUGCAUGUGGACUUCUCCAAUUCCAAUGUAGAUGAUUGCUUUAAUGGUGCUGAGGAACGGUCUCCCAAGGAUGAUGGGUGGAUCGUACUCAUCUUCUCCCAUGUCAAUAACCUGAAAGUCUGUAUGGACAAAAUUAUCGUCUAUUUUGACAGGGACAUCAGUUACUAUACCUUUAACCUUUCGGAAUGUCUGAUCUGCCAUCUGAAGCUGAAUGUAUGUUGGUUUUAGGGGCAUGGUUCCAAACAAGAGCCGAUAGGUGACUACGGCCAUUAUGUUGACGCCCGAUCCGGUGUCGCAAAGUGUCUUGUAGAAGUUGUAUCCAUUAAUGGAGCAAUAGAUGCUUGGCAUACCUGGGUCGUCCUUCUUGGUCAGAAACGAUGACUUAAGUUGAUGAUCUUGACCUCCAUGAACUGCAGUGACCAUCUUAGCUGACUCGGUCCACACUUGCUUGUUCCUGUCCUCUUCCUUGGUUCAUGUCGGGAUUGCUCUGGGAUUUGUGUAGUCUUGUUCUUGAAGGAAAACGUCUCCUUUCUCCCUUUGAUGUAGAAACUAAUCUUGGCAGCACUAGCUUAGAUGACAGCUCCAGAGGUGUUCACGAAUGGCCACCCUUAGAUUACGGGUGCCCUCUCAUCAUUACCGGUCUCUAUCACCAUGAAGUCUGCUAGGGCGUACAAGGUACCAACUCGGACAAAGAGGUUCUUCAAUAUUCCCUUGGGGAAACUUAACGCCUGAUCUGCAAACUGCAAACACAUGGUUGUUUCUAAUAAAGGAUAUGUAAAGAAUUUUUCAAAUAGUACUCUGGGCAUAAUAUUUGUAACACCCCAGUGUUAUGGUUGUAUCAAUCACAUGCAUAACAUGAGCAUUAUCAUCUACUCAAGCAUAUCAUGAUCAUCAUCUACCUUGAGCCGUGUCAUUUUAUGCUGAAGUCUGCUCUAACUUGUUUAAUCAUGCUUCCUAUGCUUAUGUUUCUAUGAACCAUGCUCAUGCUUGUGUGUUAAGUCUUGGUAAUUAGUUUAUCUAUGCUUAACCCAACCUUAGGAACAAUGUUCAUGUUGAUCACUUCACCAAAAUAAUCACUUAAGUCAUACUUCUUUGUAUAAGCCCUAGAAACCUCUUUUUCUUAGACUUUUAAAAAUGUUUCAUAAAAUGUUUGCAUGUCAAAACUUUCUACAGAAAAGUUGUAGAAAAUUUUAUAAGGAACAAAAGUUGUUUUAUGGCCAUCUCAUGAAAAUGAUCACAUCUAGCUCAAAAGUGACCCACAAGGCAGAUUUGGGGCUGUUUCCAACACUUAAGAAAUUUUUCUAAGUCUGGGGACGCAGCAGUUUGCUUGAUCAAUUUUGAAAACUUCAUAUCUUUCAAACCAGGCCGAUCUGGCUCUUCCUCCAGUUGACAAUGUUGUAGAACUCAGCUAGUACUCCAACUUUGUCAACUACACCAUCUCCUAACUCGUUUUGGUUUGGAAGUUGCUCUGUCAGACGAUCAACGCCGUGUCUGAAUCGGAGCCGAGCUCGUCGACGUGGCCGACCGGCGACAGAGCUUCGUCGACAUUUGUCGCCCGUACGUCGCUCUUGGCCCCGCUCGUCAGCUCCCAGCGCACGCAUGACCUCCACGGCGACGCCCCGGACGCAGUGGACGUGUCCACUCUUUCCUUCCUCUCACACUUUCGCCAGAAAAGCGGCCGCAGUGAGCUCACUCCGGUGAGCUCAAUCACGCUCACGCUAUGUUUCUGCUCACCAAAACUCACCCACAGCUCCACCGUGAACCGCUCUCCAUCCUCCACCCGCUAACUCGCCGUGAAACCCUCGGGUGAGCCGACAUUUCCAACUUCCCCCAAAUCCGGUCGCCGUGACCUUCUUCUCCAGUGAACUCAAUGCCGAGCUCCUUGAAGCCUCUCGUCUUUUCUGGUUAGGUUCUGGAGGUAGCUUAGGUCCUUAGCGAAUGGGUGGACGCUCUACCGCGCUCACCAUCGCCGGACACGACGCGCAGCGCCGCCGUGUUUCCGCCGGAGUUGGGCUCUCUCGUGGCCAGCUCAUUGCACGCCGUUUCAUGCCAAGUCGCCUACCUAGGAAGCAUCGCCGUAGUUCUGGUGCUAUAGGAAACCCUAGGUCGCGCUCUACCGGCCUUAGAGCUAUGGCGUAACGCCGAGCACCUUCGCCGAGCCGCCAUGGUCGACGGCAAGCUAUUUCCGGUGGCUCCGCCGCGGGGAAAAGGGGUCAAUCGGUUCGCAAGGGUCUAAGGGUCAAGUUGGUGCCCUUGGUUUGGCCGGAGACCUCGUCGUCGCGGAGAAAUCGCUGGUGAGAGUCGCCUCGGCCGUGAGGAAGACGACCUUGACAUGCGGGACCCGCUGUCAGUGUCGCAUCGUUUCCCUCAUUUUCUUUUAUUCAAAUCCAGGUUUUUGGCUUCUUUGCAAAAAUCAAUUUUGUGAAACCAAUUUUGUGAGAUUCUUUGAAAUGGCUAGUUUUUAUUAAAAAUAUAAAAUGUACCAUGUUUUAUAGGAAAAAUAAUUAUUAGGAUUUAAUCUUGUUAUUCAUGAGUAAAUUCAUAUCUUUUGUUUCACUGUUUCUUUUGCUAUGAAAUUUUUAUGGUAGUCUCUGAGUGGUAUGAGAAUCCUGUGAUAAUAAUUUCAUGAUUUUUCGAGUGAUAUAUCUGUGGUAUGAAAUUUAUGGUUGAGAUUUGGCUUGUUUUCUUAUUUAAAUCAUAGUAAAUAAUUGAUGCUUGUGCUGGUGCUCUACUUUGGUGUCACACUUCUUUAUGGUAGUAGUAGUAUGUAAAUAAUCUGAAAUCUGUUGUUUGACACUAUAUAAGCCAUGUUUCUGAAUUUAUGAAAUAAAUACCUUGCCAUAUGUUAAAUGCUUAUCUUGAAUUUGGCACGUGCAUUGGCUCUGAAAUUUUUAUGGUAAUGUAUAAAUGCUAUACUUAUGCUUCUGUAAUUUUUUUAGAUUUUUCUGAGUACUUUUGCUAGUAUCUUGUACUUAUGCCCCUUUAGUGAAUUAAAUUAAUAAGUACUAUGAUACUAAAUGUUUAGGGCUGAACAUAUGAUGUUCUGGUUAUCUUAUGAUAUGCUUGUGCUUGUAAGCCUUGUGGUUUACACUGAUUAUGUUUUGGUUAUGUCAUCAAAUAAUUAAUUAGAGGGUUAAGAGCUGUCCUGGACAGCAAGGGGGUAAUCUAACCUUUACUUGUUGAUAACUUGGUUUGCUGGAAGACUUGUCUAAAUCAAAGUUGUUGUAAACUGUAUGAUCUAGCUGUAGUUUAAUUUUGGGAUCAUUUGGUCCAAUGGUUUGAAAGUCAUAGCUUUUCCAAGUUGGGUUCCAGAAAUAGGUGUUCUCUGUUUUUCUGGGACAGAACCUGGAACUUUGUUUAAAUGACUUGGUUAACUUAUAAAUCUUGCUGUGAUGUUUAAAGAUGAAAUGUAGACAAUUUCAUAAGCUUUCCAGAAUGUCCUCAUUUGUGUUUGUUGGAUCUUUAUAACAAUAGUUAUAAUCUGUUUACUGGGCUGCCCUGUUAUGUGAUGCUUGCUGUUUAUGGUUGGACUCGCUAAGUUUCGCUAAGAUAAUUAGUUAUCCUUUGUGAGUUUAUCUUAGAAGUUUACUCAGUAAAUGAGUGUCCUGUGAAGUUCUCAUUGCAUUGGCAAGCAUUCAUUCUAAUCUAGUAUGCACAUAUUUCUUAUUCUUUAUGCAUGCAAUAGGUGCACCGGAAGCAACGACCGCGUUCGAGCUCCAAGUAGUUCACGAAGGCCAGGAGAUCAGCCCGGAGGUGGAGGUUCAGCAAGUCGGACACGAGGAGCCCGAAUAGGAAGUUGAGUGCCCGAAUCACUAGCCGGCAUCGUUCGUGAAAGGCAAGCCCCGGAGCAUCUUAAGUCUCCCACUUUAAUUUCGAAAGCUUAUUUGAGUAUGUUAUAUCUAUUGAUACAUUUACGUAUAGGAGUUGUGAUGAAACCUUUGCUGCAUGUCACUCAAUCCUUGUCCAGAUAUUUUACCUUUACCUGGUCAUAGAGUUAGGAUCGAGUAGCGGCUUAGACAUGCUUUAACCGGUAGAAGUCGGGUGAUAUCCUGUCACCUGCGCGACAUAGGGUUAUGUCGGAUCACGAUUGCCUAUAUGUGCUAUCGUGGUUGGAACCUGAUUAAAGUGACAUAAGCCGGGCGGAGUUUUGCAAGGUUGUAGUAACUCGGUCCGUGGCAGCUAAGGACCGAUCGUUGUACGUCCUCUUGUCAUGUUGAAUGCAUGCCUAACACUUAGUUGGCCGGAUAACUCGUUCCGACCGCGAAGCCUAGUAGUAUGACUCAGGCCGGAAGACCGGCAAGUAUAAAGUGCACACUACUGGAGGAAGUGCGGUGUGCUGGGGACCAUUGGCGUAAGACCAAAGGCAGGUGAGUUAAAAUUCCUGACCUCCGUGGCAGAGUGGUAGCCCUAGGAGUGCGGCGCUGAUCGGAGCCCCGAUUUUUGAGUCAUACCAAAGGUGACCCGCUGGCUCUCCGAUGGGAGAUGCUUGGGUGAGUGCUAGGAAUAACCCUCCAGCUGGAUAGGAAUCAAUUCGAAUCGCUGUCUCUCCCGGAUAGUGAGAACUUAACAGAGCAGCGGCAAACGUAGCAUCCACUAAAGAACAAUGGUUCGUGUUAAUGAUGAUAGCAAGAAAGAGCAUAUGAGGAACUUGAUAUGGUUAUUAUUGCUUGUAAUAAUCAAGUGAUGUGUUCUAGUACAGGUGCUAAUCUAGUGGUAGGCUAAUGAUGAUUAAUAUGAUGCUUUUACAGUAAUGUAGCUAUCAGUUAAGCUUUUGGCAACUGUUAAGUCAAGCCAGCUCCACUCUAUAUUUAGCCUUGCAUGGUCCUUGGUGUCUUUUAUGUUUUACUAGACGGGUAAGUCUAGCUGAGUACAUCCUCGUACUCAGGGUUUAUCUCCCACCUGUUGCAGAUGAUAUCUUUUAUGAUGGCUUUUGCAAGACCUGUCUCCAUCCCGCUGGGGAUGAGGACUAAACCGUUGGGCACGGUUCUCUAACAAACUCGUACCUGCUGCUUUUGGAUGGAUGGCAUGAGACUCUGGCAAUAACAAAAACUUUGGAAUGUGUGUUGUAAAAUAUUUUGCUUCCGCUACUGCAAACUUGUGUUGUAAUAACUAAGUAACUCCGAUGUGGCGCCGCUUCGACGGAAAUGAAUGACUAUGUAACAUUCACUGUGUUGUGUUGAACUAUUAUCAUCUUGGUUUGUUGCAAGUUGGUUUGACGUCCUUCGUGAUUUCAGUUGACUACCGGGAUUAUAUGGGCUCAAGUUUGGAAACUUGAUUGCUUGUCGAUCGUUUCUACACUUGAACUCUUAUAAUUUGGUCGGUUCUGUGACAGCUGGUAUCGGAGCAAGUUCAGCAUUAUAAAUGCAGCGUUUGUGUAUUUAAAAACAAAAGAGUUUUUAAAUAAAAAAUGUAAAAAUCAAUACUUAAGUUAUGCCAGUGGUCGAAUCCUCCUUGCCCAUAUAAGGAUUAUAGGUGGCUAUUUAAGUACUGACUUGGGGCGUUUAUUUUAAGCAUCUCCGGCAGUACUCAGGUAUGGAUGUGUGAUGACCACACUAUGCUACCCUGUGGUCUAAUGGUAGAGGUAGCCUUCAUAUGUGAAUUAGCCACAUAUGUCGCUAGAUUUAAAUUAUGCAACGUCGCACCUACGCUCUGGUAAGUGUGAGCUGUGAGAGCAUGAUCGUCCAAACGGCGGUCUAGGGGAGUGUUCGCGGUGUUUUUCUGGAGUGGUUACAUGUCUAACCAUGGAACCACGAAAGAAACUUAAUUGGGGAGUAUUUAAUUUCUCGGGUAGCUGUGGUGUCAUUGUUUGUGCGUGUUGGGCAUGUCCAAGCAAUGUGCACUUAGUUUACUGCUUUCUUGAAUGAAGUUUUCUGCAGGUACUCUAACAGCGCACGCGUAAAACGAUAGUUAUCGUAUCGAGAGAUGAAUGUAUGCCACCGUAUAUCCGUUAGAAUAUUAAUUUUCUAAGUUUGGGAGGACGUACGGUUCGUGCAUGCAUCACGUCGCAUUCAUACAUACAUUCUGUCUACUCCUUCCCUUACAAUGCCAUCCCUUUAAUUAAAUAAUUGUGCUUAAACUAAUCCUCUUGUACCCAUGAUUAUUCCUUUCCACAGAUGGACGCGCCCGCUUCACCUCGCCCUAGUGACACCUUCUUGAGCGAGUUUGACACUCCUACUCUGCUCUGGAGGGUGAUGCAGUCUAUGGGAUAUACUGAGCCACCUUAGUAUUCUUGGUGGGAGGUGGAUAUGAUAGGAGAAUUGCAGUGGUUUGCUGUGCAGGGAGUUGUCCCACCACAUGGGGGUAAACCUGCAUGGACAGGGUGGACCUGCAACUCCGAUGGGCAAACUCCAUGGGAAGCAGCUCAGAUUGCAGCCCAUGCGAUGCUGCUCAACAUCUAUCAGAAGUUUGGUGAUGAGCUGACAGGAGGACCAGCGGCCUCCAUUCCUCGUGCUCACCCAGCAGCAGCGGAGUGGAAGCAGGCUGAGGGUGUGCGUUGGUCCGUGGUCAUGGAGAGCGAGCUGAGAGUUCCAGUCCUGCUAUGAGUGCUAUGAUGGCUGUGCUCAAGCUGUUCAGUCAGCGAGAGGACACCUAUGCCCAAGUGAUGGUGGCUGUUCGCCAGGCUCAGGAGAUGCAACAGAAGGCUGAAAAGCGUGCUCGCAUGUUUCGCAAGCAAGCUAAACUCCUAGAGCAAGCGCAGAAAGACCGCAAUGACUGGGAAGGCAUUGCGAGUACCGUAGGCAGCAGUGGGUGAAGGCCAUCAGGGAGAGAGAUCAUAAGUAGGAUCAGAUGAGUCAGUUGGCUAGAGAGAGGGAGACAGUGCAGGAGCGCUUGGUGCAGGUCACGCAAGAUAGGGAUACUGCGCUCCGCGUGUCGGAGAAGAGGCGCCGGGCUUGGGAGAUGCACAGGAUCCAGUCGCUUGAGCGGGAGAACUAUCUGCAGGAUCAGAUUGAGGCUGGUCUUGUGGAGAUUCACCGUCUCAACAACUUGCUACACCCAAUUCCUCGCCCUGUACCCGUGUUUCCAGAGGUGGGACCUCAGGUGAUUGUGGCCAAUGAUGAUGGUAUGGAGGUAGAUGGACCAGCAGCGGCUGCACCACCUUUGCACGAGGACGUGGAGGACGAGGAGCUUGAGCCGGUUAGCGACGAGGAUGGAGAGGCGAUCUUCGACGCUGACUCGGGCGACGAGCCUGGAGUGUAGUGAGUAGUUGUUGUGAGGAUCUUUUGUAGUAUGGCAGUCAGCAGUGGUGCUUUUGUAAUCAUGUUGUAAUCCGGAACCUUGAUCUUUGACUAUGUCAUGUAGUGGGAUGGUGUAAUUACUUUAUGGACCCAAUGUGUUAACGUUAUCAUGUUCGAUCGGUUGUGACGAUGUUUUCUGUUGUUGUGCAUAUUACGGAUAUCUCUAUCAUGUGUUGGAUUGGUGAUGUUAUUUUAUGGAAUUGAAUUAUUGUGCCUUUUUGUAAAGCUAUUCUCUCGAAUACUUUUAGGCAUGAAUAUAAGUUCUUCUACGGCAAAUCUUGUCAUCAUCAAUACUCACUAACUGUAUGUUUACAGAUGUCUCGUGGCACUCGAGGUGCGGAACAGCCUGCGAACAUGAACCCACCCCCUCCUCCUCCACCAACAAAUCCAGCUGAGCUGAUGCAAAUGAUGGUGGAAAAUCAGAGGAUGCUCACUGAGACCAACAACCGGAUGGCAAAUCAGGGUGGUCGUCAUGCACAAGAAGGGCCAGCACCUAACCAGUACAGUAGCUUCAAGGAUUUCAUGGAUACAAAGCCCCCAUCGUUCAGAGAGGUUGAAGAACACCUUCAAGCUGAGGAAUGGCGGAACACGGUGGAACAAAAGUUCCGGUUGCUUCGCCUGACCGAGGGUUUGAAGGCCGAGUAUUCAGCUCACCAACUGCAGGGUCCGGCAGGCAUAUGGUGGAAUCAGUAUCGGGAGGCUCUUCCAGACAACACCAUGCUUGAUUGGAAUCUUUUCUGUGAAGCUUUCAAGGGGCAUUUCAUUCCUCCUAGUGUUAUGGAGAUGAAGCAUACUGAGUUUAUGCUAUUGACUCAGGGAAACAAAACUCUGAAGGAGUACCUAGAUGCUUUCAAUCAUCUGUUGGGGUAUGCUCCUGAGUUUGUGAACACUGAGGCGAAGAAGAUUGCUAGCUUCAAGUGCGGUCUUGGCCCCAAGUUGCUGAAAACCAUGGGCUGCUCUAAGUGUGCAACUUUCAAUGAGUUUGUUAGUGAUGCUCUCACUCAAGAGAACUAUAACACUGUGUACACUGCGACCAAGACUCGCAAGAGGGCUUUUGAGGCUAGGACAGGGGCAUCUCAGUCCAAGGCUCCAGUGGCAACUAGACCCCCGUACCGUGCUCCAACUCCUAACCAGUAGUAUCGCCCUCCAGUGAAGAAGAAUCAGGCAAAGACAGGUUUCCGCAAGGGGUACUCUAUUGCUCUUCCUAGGGGCAACAUGGGUCCCAGCUAUGCCAAAACUCCACCCACCAACCGUCCGUGCUGGAACUGCAAUCAGACCGGGCAUUGGCAGAGCAAUUGUCCUUACCCACCAAAGAAGGGCAACCAAGGGAACGUCCGCAAGGGGCGUGCUCACUACACAACUGUGGAGGCAAUCUCUGCUUGUGAGGUAGUUACGGCUGGUAAGUUUCAAGUUAACUAAUGUGAUGCACUUGUGCUUUUUGAUUCAGGAGCAUCACAUUCUUUUGUGAGUUUAGACAUUGUGUCUGAGCAUAAUCUCAAGGCAUUUACACUUGAUAAGGGCAGUUAUUGCAUUAGUGCUGUUUGAAAUGAUAUUUCUACCAAUCAAGUGGUUUUGGGGGCAACUCUAGAAAUAGGAGACCAUCAGUUUCUUGCUGAUUUGGUUGUUCUACCCGGUGUGGGCAUAGAUGUUAUUCUGGGUAUGAAGUGGAUGAGUGGCAACAUAGUUCUUAUCGACACCACCACUCGUGUAGUGAUGUUGAGAGACCCGAAUACCAAAGAGGCAUUCUUAGUGCAGCUUCCUCGUGAUAUUCAAAUCCGUAGCACCAUGAAUGCAGUUACAUCUAGGGCCAUCAAGGAUAUUCUGGUCAUGUGUGAGUUCUCGGAUGUAUUCCCUGAUGAUUUACCCAGGCUUCCUCCAGAUCGGGAUGUGGAGUUCAAAAUUGAAUUAAUCCUAGGUACCGCUCCUAUCUCUAGAAGACCAUAUAGAAUGUCACCAAAUGAGCUAGCUGAGCUUAAGACCCAGUUGAAUGAGUUGUUGAAGAAGGGUCUUAUCCAUCCUAGUUCUUCUCCUUGGGGUUGUCUGGCUAUCUUUGUGAAGAAGAAGGAUCAGUCUUUGCGCAUGUGUGUGGACUAUCGUCCCCUGAACGUGGUGACCAUCAAGAAUAAAUACCCUCUUCCUCGCAUUGAUAUCCUCUUUGAUCAGUUGUCUAAAGCCAAGGUAUUCUCCAAGAUUGAUUUGCAAUCUGGGUACCAUCAGAUCAAGAUCCGUCCUGAAGAUGUACCUAAGAUAGCUUUCUCGACGAGGUAUGGGUUGUACGAGUAUCUCGUCAUGUCCUUCGCUCUUACGAAUGCACCUGCUCAUUUCAUGUAUCUCAUGAAUUCGGUGUUCAUGCCCGAAUUGGACAAGUUUGUGGUGGUCUUCAUUGAUGAUAUCCUGGUAUAUUUUUGCAAUGAAGAGGAGCAUGUAGAGCAUCUGUGUGUGGUGUUGUCACGCUUGCGUGAGCAUCAGCUUUAUGCUAAGUUCAGCAAAUGCGAGUUUUGGCUGAAGAAAGUACCUUUCUUGGGCCAUGUCUUAUCUGAAGAAGGCAUAUCGGUGGAUUCGGCUAAGGUGCAACAAGUGCUGGAUUGGAAAGUUCCAACUUCGGUACACGAGGUUCGGAGUUUUCUCAGUUUGGCUGGGUAUUAUCGUCGGUUCAUUCCGGAAUUCUCAAAAAUAUCCAAGCCUAUGACUCGCCUACUCCAGAAAGAUGAUAAGUUUGUAUGGACACCUGAGUGUGAAGAGGCAUUCCACAAGUUGAGGACCUUGCUAACGUCAGCUCCUGUCCUAGCUCAACCUGAUAUCGAGAAGCCCUUCGAUGUCUUUUGUUAUGCAUCGGGUAUUGGUCUAGGCUGUGUGCUGAUGCAAGAAGGUCGUGUCAUCGCGUAUGCCUCACGCCAACUUCGAAAGCAUGAGGUCAAUUACCCUACUCAUGACCUAGAAUUGGCUGCAGUUGUUCAUGCUUUGAAAAUCUGGAGGCACUAUUUGUUGGGUAAUCUGUGCAGUAUUUACACUUAUCAUAAGAGUCUGAAGUACAUCUUCACUCAACCUGAAUUGAACAUGCGGCAGCAAAGGUGGCUUGAGUUGAUUAAAGAUUAUAAUCAACAAAUGCACUACCAUCCGGGCAAGGCAAACGUGGUUGCGGAUGCCUUGAGUCGAAAAGCGCACUGUCACUCGGUUCAGGUGGAAGAUCCAUUGUUGUCACAUCUUAUGCACCCACUUGUGCUCAACUAGAUUUCUCUGGAGAGUACUCUUCACAAUCGAGUCAUCGAAUUGCAGCAAACAGAUGUGGGUAUCCACCAUAUAAAGUGGAAAAUGAAGGAAGAAGAAACCAAGCACUUCCGGGUCGAUGAAAACAGAAUUCUUUGGUUCAAAGAUCGACUUGUGGUCCCAAAAGACCGUGAGCUGUGGAACCAGAUCUUAUCUGAAGCUCAUUCAUCCAAGUUGUCUAUCCAUCCUAGUAGUAGCAAGAUGUAUCAGGAUCUAUUUUGGUGGACAAAGAUGAAAAAGGAGAUUGCUGCUUUUGUCGCUCGUUGUGACAAUUGUUGUCGUGUGAAAGCCGUUCACAUGAAAGCAGGCUUACUUCAACCCUUAUCAAUUCCUGGUUGGAAAUGGGAAGAAGUUAGCAUGGAUUUCAUUGUUGGACUCCCAACUUCUGUCAAGGGUUACGACUCUAUCUGGGUGAUUGUAGACAGUUUGACCAAGGUUGCUCGUUUUAUUCCAGUUCGAACUGAUUAUCGUCCACACCAGUAUGCAGAAUUGUAUUUCGUGAACAUUGUUCGUCAGUAUGGUGUGCCUUGAACUAUCGUAUCAGAUCGUGGACCAAAGUUCACUGCCCAUUUUUGGGAGUGUCUACAUGAGCAGAUUGGUACUCACUUGGUCCGUAGUUCGGCAUAUCAUCCCCAAACGGCCGGCCAAACUGAACGGUUCGGCAUAUCUUCCUUGUUUCAUGUCGGGAUUGCUCUAGGAUUUGUGUAGUCUUGUUCUUGAAGGAAAACGUCUCCUUUCUCCCUUUGAUGUAGAAACUGAUCUUGGCAGCACUAGCAUAGAUGACAGCUCCCGAGAUGUUCACGAAUGGCCUCCCUUAGAUUAUGGGUGCCCUCUCGUCAUUACCGGUCUCUAUCACCACGAAGUCUACUGGGGGGUACAUGGUACCAACUCGGACACAGAGGUUCUUCAAUAUUCCCUUGGGGAAACUUAACACCUGAUGUGCAAACUGCAAACACGUGGUUGUUUCUAAUAAAGGAUAUGUAAAGAAUUUUUCAAAGAGUACCCUGGGCAUAAUGUUUGUAACACCCCAGUGUUAUGGUUGUAUCAAUCACAUGCAUAACAUGAGCAUUAUCAUCUACUCAAGCAUAUCAUGAUCAUCAUCUACCUUGAGCCAUGUCAUUUUAUGCUGAAGUGUGCUCUAACUUGUUUAAUCAUGCUUCCUAUGCUUAUGUUUGUAUUAACCAUGCUCAUGCUUGUGUGUUAAGUCUUGGUAAUUAGCUUAUCUAUGCUUAACCCAACCUUAGGAACAAUGUUCAUAUUGAUCACUUCUCCAAAAUAAUCACUUAAGUCAUACUUCUUUGUAUAAGCCCUAGAAACCUCUUUUGCUUAGACUUUUAAAAAGUGUUUCAUAAAAUGUUUGCAUGUCAAAACUUUCUACAGAAAAUUUGUAGCAACUUUUAUAAAGAACAAAAGUUGUUUUAUGUUCAUCUCAUGCAAAUGAUCACAUCUAGCUCAAAAGUGACCCACAAGGCAGAUUUGGGGCUGUUUCCAAACCAUGCUGAUCUGGCUCUUGCUCCAGUUGACAAUAUUGUAGAACUCAGCUAGUACUCCAACUUUGUCAACUACACCAUCUCCUAACUCACUUUGGUUUGGAAGAUAAUCAUCGUUGAAGUUGCUCUGUCAGACGAUCAACGCCGUGUCUGAAUCGGAGCCGAGCUCGUCGACGUGGCCUACCGGCGACAGAGCUUCGUCGACAUUUGUCGCCCGUACGUCGCUCUUGGCCCCGCUCGUUAGCUCCCAGCGCGCGCAUGACCUCCACGACGACGCCCCGGACGCAGUGGACGCGUCCACUCUUUCCUUCCUCUCACUCUUUCGCCAGAAAAGCGGCCGUAGUGAGCUCACCGUCGCGAGCUCAAUCGCGCUCGUCACUGCGUUGCUGCUCACCAAAACUCGCCCACAGCUCCGCCGUGAACCGCUCUCCAUCCUCCACCCGCUAACUCGCCGUGAAACCCUCGGAUGAGCUGACAUUUCCAACUUCCCCCAAAUCGGGUCGCCGUGACCUUCUUCUUCGGCGAACUCAAUGCCGAGCUCCUCGAAGCCUCUCGUCUUUUCUGAUUAGGUCCUAGAGGUAGCUUAGGUCCUUAGCGAACGUUUGCACCACUUGGUGGACGCUCUACCGCGCUCACCGUCGCCGGACACGACACGCAGCGCCGCCGUGUUUCCGCCGGAGAUGGGCUCUCUCGUGGCCAGCUCAUUCCACGCCGUUUCAAGCCAAGUCGCCUACCUAGGAAGCUUCGCCGUAGUUCUCUGGUGCUGUAGGAAACCCUAGGUCGCACUCUACUGGCCUGAGAGCUUCGGCGUAACGCCGAGCACCUCCGCCGAGCCGCCAUGGUCGACGGCAAGCCAUAUCCGGUGGCUCCGCCGCGGGGAAACGGGGGUCAAUCGGUUCGCAAGGAUCUAAGGGUCACGUUGGUGCCCUUGUUUUGGCCGGAGACCUCGCCGUCACGGAGAAAUCGCCGGUGAGAGUCACCUCGGCCGUGAGGAAGACGACCAUGACAUGCGGGACCCGCUGCCAGUGUCGCAUCGUUUCACUCCUUUUCUUUUAUUCAAAUCCAGGUUUUUGGCUUCUUUACAAAAAUCAUAUCUCCAGUUUCUAAGAUCCAAAAAUUGUGAAACCAAUUUUGUGAGAUUCGUUGAGAUGGAUAGUGUUUAUUAAAAAUAUAAAAUGUACCAUGUUUUCUGAGAAAAAUAAUUAUUAGGAUUUAAUCUUGUUAUUCGUGAGUAAAUUCAUAUCUUUUGUUUCACUGCUCCUUUUGCUAUGAAAUUUUGAUGGUAGUCUCUGAGUUGUAUGAGAAUGCUGUGAUAAUAAUUUCAUGAUUUGUGGAGUGAUAUAUCUGUGGUAUGAAAUUUAUGGCUGAGAUAUGGCUUGUUUUCUUAUUUAAAUCAUAGUAAAUAAUUGAUGCUUAUGCUGGUGCUCUACUAUGGUGUGACACUUCUUUAUGGUAGUAGUAGUUUGUAAAUAAUCUGAAAUCUGUUGUUUGACACUAUAUAAGCCAUGUUUCUGAAUUUAUGAAAUAAAUACCUUGCCACAUGUUAAAUGCUUAUCUUGAAUUUGGCAUGUGCAUUGCUUCUGAAAUUUUUAUGGUAAUGUAUAAAUGCUAUACUUAUGCUUCUGUAAUUUUUGUAGAUUUUUCUGAGUACUUUUGCUAGUAUCUUGUACUUAUGCCCCUUUAGUGAAUUAAAUUAAUAAGUACUAUGAUAUUAAAUGUUUAGGGGUGAACAUAUGAUGUUCUGGUUAUCUUGUGAUAUGCUUGUGCUUGUAAGCCUUGUGGUUGACACUGAUUAUGUUUUGGUUAUGUCAUCAAAUAAUUAAUUAGAGGGUUAAGAGCUGUCCUGGACAGCAAGGGGGUAAUCUAACCUUUACUUGUUGAUAACUUGGUUUGCUGGAAGACUUGUCUAAAUCAAAGUUGUUGUAAACUGUAUGAUCUAGCUGUGGUUUAAUUUUGGGAUCAUUUGGUCCAAUAGUUUGAAAGUCAUAGCUUUUCCAAGUUGGGUUCCAGAAAUAGGUGUUCUCUGUUUUUCUGGGAUAGAACCUGGAACUUUAUUUAAAUGACUUGUUUAACUUAUGAAUCUUGCUGUGAUGUUUAAAGAUUAAAUGUAGACAAUUUUGUAAGCUUUCCAGAAUGUCCUCAUUUGUGUUUAUUGGAUCUUUAUAGCAAUAGUUAUAACCUGUUUACUGGGCUGCCUUGUUAUGUGAUGCUUGCUGUUUAUGGUUGGACUCGCUAAGUUUCGCUAAGAUAAUUAGUUAUCCUUUGUGAGUUUAUCUUAGAAGUUUACUCAGUAAAUGAGUGUCCAGUGAAGUUCUCAUUGCAUUGGCAAGCAUUCAUUCUAAUCUAAUAUGCACACAUUACUUAUUCUUUAUGCAUGUAAUAGGUGCACCGGAAGCAACGACCGCGUUCGAGCUCCAAGUAGUUCACGAAGGCCAGGAGAUCAGCCCGGAGGUGGAGGUCCAGCAAGCCGGACACAAGGAGCCCGAAGAGGAAGUUGAGUGCCCGAAUCACGAGCCGGCAUCGUUCGUGAAAGGCAAGCCCCGGUGCAUCUUAAGUCUCCCACUUUAAUUUUGAAAGCUUAUUUGAGUAUGUUAUAUCUAUUGAUGCAUUUACGUAUAGGAGUUGUGAUGAAACCUUUGCUGCAUGUCACUCAAUCCUUGUCCAGAUAUUUUACCUUUACCUAGUCAUAGAGUUAGGAUCGAGUAGCGGCUUAGUCAUGCUUUAACCGGUAGAAGUCGGGUGAUAUCCUGUCACCUGCGCGAGAUAGGGUUGUGUCAGAUCACGAUUGCCUAUAUGUGCUAUCGUGGUUGGAACCUGAUUAAAGUGACAUAAGCCGGGCGGAGUUUUGCAAGGUUGUAGUAACUCCAUCCAUGGCUGCUAAGGACCGAUCGUUGUACGUCCUCUUGUCAUGUUGAACGCAUGCCUAACACUUAGUUGGCCGGAUAACUCGUUCCGACCGCGAAGCCUAGUAAUAUGACUCAGGCCGGAAGACCGGCAAGUAUAAAGUGCGCACUACUGGAGGAAGUGCGGUGUGCGGGGGACCAUUGGCGUAAGACGAAAGGCAGGUGAGUUAAAAUUCCUGACCUCCCUGGCAGAGUGGUAGUUCUAGGAGUGCGGCGCUGAUCGGAGCCGCGAUUUUUGAGUCAUACCAAAGGUGACCCGCUGGCUCUCCGACGGGAGAUGCUUGGGUGAGUGCUAGGAAUAACCCUCCAGCUGGAUAGGAAUCAAUUCGAAUCGCUGUCUCUCCCGGAUAGUGAGAACUUAAUAGAGCAGCGGCAAACGUAGCAUCCACUAAAGAACAAUGGUUCGUGUUAAUGAUGAUAGCAAGAAAGAGCAUAUGAGGAACUUGAUAUGGUUAUUAUUGCUUGUAAUAAUCAAGUGAUGUGUUCUAGUACAGGUGCUAAUCUAGUGGUAGGCUAAUGAUGAUUAAUAUGAUGCUUUUACAGUAAUGUAGCUAUCAGUUAAGCUUUUGGCAACUGUUAAGUCAAGCCAGCUCCACUCUAUAUUUAGCCUUGCAUGGUCCUUGGUGUCUUUUAUGUUUUACUAGACGGGUAAGUCUAGCUGAGUACAUCCUCGUACUCAGGGCUUAUCUCCCACCUGUUGCAGAUGAUAUCUUUUAUGAUGGCUUCUGCAAGACCUGUCUCCAUCCCGCUGGGGAUGAGGACUAAACCGUUGGGCACGGUUCUCUAACAAACUCGUACCUGCUGCUUUUGGAUGGAUGGCAUGAGACUCUGGCAAUAACAAAAACUUUGGAAUGUGUGUUGUAAAAUAUUUUGCUUCCGCUACUGCAAACUUGUGUUGUAAUAACUAGGUAACUCCGAUGUGGCGCCGCUUCGACGGAAAUGAAUGACUAUGUAACAUUCACUGUGUUGUGUUGAACUAUUAUGAUCUUGGUUUGUUGCAAGUUGGUUUGACGUCCUUCGUGAUUUCAGUUGACUACCAGGAUUAUAUGGGCUCAAGUUUGGAAACUUGAUUGCUUGUCGAUCGUUUCUACACUUGAACUCUUAUAAUUUGGUCGGUUCUGUGACAGCUGGUAUAAGAGCAAGUUCAGCAUUAUAAAUGUAGCGUUUGUGUAUUUAAAAACAAAAGAGUUUUUAAAUAAAAAUUGUAAAAAUCAAUACUUAAGUUAUGCCAGUGGUCGAAUCCUCCUUGCUCAUAUAAUGAUUAUAGGUGGCUAUUUAAGUACUGACUUGGGGCGUUUUAUUUUAAGUAUCUCCGGUAGUACUCAGGUAUGGAUGUGUGAUGACAACACUAUGCUACCCUGUGGUCUAAUGGUACAGGUAGCCUUCAUAGUGAAUUAGCCACAUAUGUUGCUAGAUUUAAAUUAUGCAACGUCGCACCUACGCUCUGGUAAGUGUGAGCUGUGAGAGCAUGAUCGUCCAAACGGCGGUCUAGGGGAGUGUUCGUGGUGUUUUUUUGGAGUGGUUACAUGUCUAACCAUGGAACCACGAAAGAAACUUAAUUGGGGAGUAUUUAAUUUCUCAGGUAGCUGUGGUGUCAUUGUUUGUGCGUGUUGGGCAUGUCCAAGCAAUGUGCACUUAGUUUACUGCUUUCUUGAAUGAAGUUUUCUGCAGGUACUCUAACAGCGCACGUGUAAAACGAUAGUUAUCGUAUCGAGAGAUUAAUGUAUGGCACCGUGUAUCCGUUAGAAUAUUAAUUUUCUAAGUUUGGGAGGACGUACGGUUCGUGCAUGGAUCAUGUCGCAUUCAUACAUUCAUUAUGUCUGCUCCUUCUCUUACAAUGCCAUCCCUUUAAUUAAAUAAUUGUGCUUAAACUAAUCCUCUUGUACCCAUGAUUAUUCCUUUCCACAGAUGGACGUGCCCGCUUCACCUCGCCCUAGUGACACCUUCUUGAGCGAGUUUGGCACUCCUACUCUGCUCUGGAGGGUGAUGCAGUCUAUGGGAUAUACUGAGCCACCUUAGUAUUCUUGGUGGGAGGUGGAUAUGAUAGGAGAAUUGCAGUGGUUUGCUGUGCAGGGAGUUGUCCCACCACAUGGGGGCAAACCUUCAUGGACAGGGUGGACCUGCAACUCCGAUGGGCAAACUCCAUGGGAAGCAGCUCAGAUUGCAGCCCAUGCGAUGCUGCUCAACAUCUAUCAGAAGUUUGGUGAUGAGCUGACAGGAGGACCAGCGGCCUCCAUUCCUCGUGCUCACCCAGCAGCAGCGGAGUGGAAGCAGGCUGAGGGUGUGCGUUGGUCCGUGGUCAUGGAGAGCGAGCUGAGAGUUCCAGUCCUGCUAUGAGUGCUAUGAUGGCUGUGCUCAAGCUGUUCAGUCAGCGAGAGGACACCUAUGCCCAAGUGAUGGUGGCUGUUCGCCAGGCUCAGGAGAUGCAACAGAAGGCUGAAAAGCGUGCUCGCAUGUUUCGCAAGCAAGCUAAACUCCUAGAGCAAGCGUAGAAAGACCGCAAUGACUGGGAAGGCAUUGCGGAGUACCGUAGGCAGCAGUGGGUGAAGGCCAUCAGGGAGAGAGAUCAUAAGUAGGAUCAGAUGAGUCAGUUGGCUAGAGAGAGGGAGACAGUGCAGGUGCGCUUGGUUCAGGUCACGCAAGAUAGGGAUACUGCGCUCCGCGUGUCGGAGAAGAGGCGCCGGGCUUGGGAGAUGCACAGGAUCCAGUCGCUUGAGCGGGAGAACUAUCUGCAGGAUCAGAAUGAGGCUGGUCUUGUGGAGAUUCACCGUCUCAACAACUUGCUACACCCAAUUCCUCGCCCUGUACCCGUGUUUCCAGAGGUGGGACCUCAGGUGAUUGUGGCCAAUGAUGAUGGUAUGGAGGUAGAUGGACCAGCAGCGGCUGCACCACCUUUGCACGAGGACGUGGAGGACAAGGAGCUUGAGCCGGUUAGCGACGAGGAUGGAGAGGCGAUCUUCGACGCUGACUCGGGCGACGAGCCUGGAGUGUAGUGAGGAUCUUUUGUCGUAUGGCAGUCAGCAGUGGUGCUUUUGUAAUCAUGUUGUAAUCCGGAACCUUGAUCUUUGACUAUGUCAUGUACUGGGAUGGUGUAAUAACUUUAUGGACCCAAUGUGUUAACGUUAUCAUGUUCGAUCGGUUGUGACGAUGUUUUCCAUUGUUGUGCAUAUUACGGAUAUCUCUAUCAUGUGUUGGAUUGGUGAUGUUAUUUUGUGGAAUUGAAUUAUUGUGCCUUUUUGUAAAGCUAUUCUCUCGAAUACUUUCAGGCAUGAAUAUAAGUUCUUCUACGGCAAAUGUUGUCAUCAUCAAUACUCACUGACUGUAUUUUUACAGAUGUCUCGUGGCACUCGAGGUGUGGAACAGCGUGCGAACAUGAACCCACCCCCUCCUCCUCCACCAACAAAUCCAGCUGAGCUGAUGCAAAUGAUGGUGGAAAAUCAGAGGAUGCUCACUGAGACCAACAACCGGAUGGCAAAUCAGGGUAGUCGUCAUGCACAAGAAGGGCCAGCACCUAACCAGUACAGUAGCUUCAAGGAUUUCAUGGAUACAAAGCCCCCAUCGUUCAGAGAGGCUGAAGAACACCUUCAAGCUGAGGAAUGGCUGAACACGGUGGAACAAAAGUUCCGGUUGCUUCGCCUGACCGAGGGUUUGAAGGCCGAGUAUUCAGCUCACCAACUGCAGGGUCCGGCAGGCAUAUGGUGGAAUCAGUAUCGGGAGGCUCUUCCGGACAACACCAUGCUUGAUUGGAAUCUUUUCUGUGAAGCUUUCAAGGGGCAUUUCAUUCCUCCUAGUGUUAUGGAGAUGAAGCAUACUGAGUUUAUGCUAUUGACUCAGGGAAACAAAACUCUGAAGGAGUACCUAGAUGCUUUCAAUCAUCUGUCGGGGUAUGCUCCUGAGUUUGUGAACACUGAGGCGAAGAAGAUUGCUAGCUUCAAGUGCGGUCUUGGCCCCAAGUUGCUGAAAACCAUGGGCCGCUCUAAGUGUGCAACUUUCAAUGAGUUUGUUAGUGAUGCUCUCACUCAAGAGAACUAUAACACUGUGUACACUGCAACCAAGACUCGCAAGAGGGCUUUUGAGGCUGGGACAGGGGCAUCUCAGUCCAAGGCUCCAGUGGCAACUAGACCCCCGUACCGUGCUCCAACUCCUAACCAGCGGUAUCGCCCUCCAGUGAAGAAGAAUCAGGCAAAGACAGGUUUCCGCAAGGGGUACUCUAUUGCUCUUCCUAGGGGCAACAUGGGUCCCAGCUAUGCCAAAACUCCACCCACCAACCGUCCGUGCUGGAACUGCAAUCAGACCGGGCAUUGGCAGAGCAAUUGUCCUUACCCGCCAAAGAAGGGCAACCAAGGGAACGUCCGCAAGGGGCGUGUUCACUACACAACUGUGGAGGCAACCUCUGCUGGUGAGGUAGUUACGGCUGGUAAGUUUCAAGUUAACUAAUGUGAUGCACUUGUGCUUUUUGAUUCAGGAGCAUCACAUUCUUUUGUGAGUUCAUACAUUGUGUCUGAGCAUAAUCUUAAGGCAUUUACACUUGAUAAGGGCAGUUAUUGCAUUAGUGUUGUUUGAAAUGAUAUUUCUACCAAUCAAGUGGUUUUGGGGGCAACUCUAGAAAUAGGAGACCAUCAGUUUCUUGCUGAUUUGGUUGUUCUACCCGGUGUGGGCAUAGAUGUUAUUCUGGGUGUGAAGUGGAUGAGUGGCAACGUAGUUCUUAUCGACACCACCACUCGUGUAGUUAUGUUGAGAGACCCAAAUACCAAAGAGGCGUUCUUAGUGCAGCUUCCUCACAAUAUUCAAAUCCAUAGCACCAUGAAUGCAGUUACAUCUAGGGCCAUCAAGGAUAUUCCGGUCAUGUGUGAGUUCCCGGAUGUAUUCCCUGAUGAUUUACCCGGGCUUCUUCCAGAUCGGGAUGUGGAGUUCAAAAUUGAAUGAAUCCCAGGUACCGCUCCUGUCUCUAGAAGACCAUAUAGAAUGUCACCAAAUGAGCUAGCUGAGCUUAAGACCCAGUUGAAUGAGUUGUUGAAGAAGGGUCUUAUCCGUCCUAGUUCUUCUCCUUGGGGUUGUCCGGCUAUCUUUGUGAAGAAGAAGGAUCAGUCUUUGCGCAUGUGUGUGGACUAUCGUCCCCUGAACGCGGUGACCAUCAAGAAUAAAUACCCUCUUCCUCGCAUUGAUAUCCUCUUUGAUCAGUUGUCUAAAGCCAAGGUAUUCUCCAAGAUUGAUUUGCAAUCUGGGUACCAUCAGAUCAAGAUCCGUCCUGAAGAUGUACCUAAGAUAGCUUUCUCGACGAGGUAUGGGUUGUACGAGUAUCUCGUCAUGUCCUUCGCUCUUACGAAUGCACCUGCUCAUUUCAUGUAUCUCAUGAAUUCGGUGUUCAUGCCCGAAUUGGACAAGUUUGUGGUGGUCUUCAUUGAUGAUAUCCUGGUAUAUUUUUGCAAUGAAGAGGAGCAUGCAGAGCAUCUGUGUGUGGUGUUGUCACGCUUGCGUGAGCAUCAGCUUUAUGCUAAGUUCAAAAAAUGCGAGUUUUGGCUGAAGAAAGUACCUUUCUUGGGCCAUGUCUUAUCUGAAGAAGGCAUAUCGGUGGAUCCAGCUAAGGUGCAAAAAGUGCUGGAUUGGAAAGUUCCAACUUCGGUACACGAGGUUCGGAGUUUUCUUAGUUUGGCUCAUUCCGGAAUUCUCAAAAAUAUCCAAGCCUAUGACUCGCCUACUCCAGAAAGAUGAUAAGUUUGUAUGGACACCUGAGUGUGAAGAGGCAUUCCACAAGUUGAGGACCUUGCUAACGUCAGCUCCUGUCCUAGCUCAACCUGAUAUCGAGAAGCCCUUCGAUGUCUUUUGUUAUGCAUCGGGUAUUGGUCUAGGCUGUGUGCUGAUGCAAGAAGGUCGUGUCAUCGCGUAUGCCUCACGCCAACUUCGAAAGCAUGAGGUCAAUUACCCUACUCAUGACCUAGAAUUGGCUGCAGUUGUUCAUGCUUUGAAAAUCUGGAGGCACUAUUUGUUGGGUAAUCUGUGCAAUAUUUACACUUAUCAUAAGAGUCUGAAGUACAUCUUCACUCAACCUGAAUUGAACAUGCGGCAGCAAAGGUGGCUUGAGUUGAUUAAAGAUUAUAAUCUACAAGUGCACUACCAUCCGGGCAAGGCAAACGUGGUUGCGGAUGCCUUGAGUCGAAAAGCGCACUGUCACUCGGUUCAGGUGGAAGAUCCAUUGUUGUCACAUCUUAUGCACCCACUUGUGCUCAACCAGAUUUCUCUGGAGAGUACUCUUCGCAAUCGAGUCAUCGAAUUGCAGCAAACAGAUGUGGGUAUCCACCAUAUAAAGAGGAAAAUGAAGGAAGAAGAAACCAAGCACUUCCGGGUCGAUGAAAACGGAAUUCUUUGGUUCAAAGAUCGACUUGUGGUCCCAAAAGACCGUGAGCUGUGGAACCAGAUCUUAUCUGAAGCUCAUUCAUCCAAGUUGUCUAUCCAUCCUGGUAGUAGCAAGAUGUAUCAGGAUCUGAAACCUCUGUUUUGGUGGACAAAGAUGAAAAAGGAGAUUGCUGCUUUUGUCGCUCGUUGUGACAAUUGUUGUCGUGUGAAAGCCGUUCACAUGAAAGCAGGCUUACUUCAACCCUUAUCAAUUCCUGGUUGGAAAUGGGAAGAAGUUAGCAUGGAUUUCAUUGUUGGACUCCCAACUUCUGUCAAGGGUUACGACUCUAUCUGGGUGAUUGUAGACCGUUUGACCAAGGUUGCUCGUUUUAUUCCAGUUCGAACUAAUUAUCGUCCACAUCAGUAUGCAGAAUUGUACUUCGAGCACAUUGUUCGUCAGUAUGGUGUGCCUCGAACUAUCCUAUCAGAUCGUGGACCACAGUUCACUUCGCGUUUUUGGGACUGUCUACAUGAGCAGAUUGGUACUCACUUGGUUCGUAGUUUGGCAUAUCAUCCCCAAACGGCCGGCCAAACUGAACGGGUCAACCAAAUCCUAGAAGACAUGUUGAGGGCAUGUGCUCUCUCCUCAAAAGCUUCUUGGGUUAAGUGGUUGCCAUUAGCUGAGUUCUCUUAUAACAACAGUUACCAAGAGAGCAUCAAGAUGGCUCCAUUUGAAGCCCUGUACGGUCGAAAAUGUCGAACCCCGUUGAAUUGGGUGGAAUCCGGGGAACAAAGGUACUACGGCAUCGAUUUCAUGAACGAAGCGAAGCAGCAAGUCCGGACCAUCCAGCAACAUCUAGAAGCUGCUCAAGCUCAUCAGAAAAGUUAUGCUGAUAAGAGAAGGAAGCCGAUUGAGUUUGCAGUCGGUGACCAUGUGUAUAUCAAGGUGUCACCGAUGAAAGGUGUACAAAGAUUCGGAGUCAAGCGAAAGCUUGCACCUCGUUAUGUGGGACCUUAUCGGAUUCUUGAGAAGAAAGGGAACGUAGCAUACAAAGUUCAACUACCCGUUGAGCUUCGAGCCAUUUUUCCUGUCUUCCAUGUAUCACAAUUGAAGAAAUGCCUUCGUGUUCCGAAGGAACGAGUGGAAGUUCGGGAUAUCAAGUUGAAAUCUGAUUUGGUGUACGAGGAGAAACCUAUAGUGUCUUGUAGAAGUUGUAUGCAUUAAUGGAGCAAUAGAUGCUUGGCAUACCGGGGUCGUCCUUCUUGGUCAGAAACGGUGACUUAAGUUGAUGAUCUUGACCUCCAUGAACUGCAGUGACCAUCUUAGCUGACUCAGUCCACACUUGCUUGUUCCUGUUCCUCCUGUUAGUCCUCUUCCUUGUUUCAUGUCGGGAUUGCUCUGGGAUUUGUGUAGUCUUGUUCUUGAAGAAAAAUGUCUCCUUUCUCCCUUUGAUGUAGAAACUGAUCUUGGCAGCACUAGCAUAGAUGACAGCUCCCGAGAUGUUCACGAAUGGCCUCCCUUAGAUUAUGGGUGCCCUCUCAUCAUUACCGGUCUCUAUCACCACGAAGUCUACUGGGGGUACAUGGUACCAACUUGGACACAGAGGUUCUUCAAUAUUCCCUUGGGGAAACUUAACGCCUGAUCUGCAAACUGCAAACACAUGGUUGUUUCUAAUAAAGGAUAUGUAAAGAAUUUUUCAAAGAGUACCCUGGGCAUAAUGUUUGUAACACCCUAGUGUUAUGGUUGUAUCAAUCACAUGCAUAACAUGAGCAUUAUCAUGUACUCAAGCAUAUCAUGAUCAUCAUCUAACUUGAGCCAUGUCAUUUUAUGCUGAAGUGUGCUCUAACUUGUUUAAUCAUGCUUCCUAUGCUUAUGUUUGUAUGAACCAUGCUCAUGCUUGUGUGUUAAGUCUUGGUAAUUAGCUUAUCUAUUCUUAACCCAACCUUAGGAACAAUGUUCAUGUUGAUCACUUCUCCAAAAUAAUCACUUAAGUCAUACUUCUUUGUAUAAGCCCUAGAAACCUCUUUUGCUUAGACUUUUAAAAAGUGUUUCAUAAAAUGUUUGCAUGUCAAAAAUUUCUACAGCAAAGUUGUAGCAACUUUUAUAGGGAACAAAAGUUGUUUUAUGGUCAUCUCAUGAAAAUGAUCACAUCUAGCUCAAAAGUGACCCACAAGGCAGAUUUGGGGCUGUUUCCAACACUUAUGAAAAUGAUCACAUCUAAGUCUGGGGACGCAGCAGUUUGCUUGAUCGAUUUUGAAAACUUCAUAUCAUUCAAACAAGGCUGAUCUGGCUCUUGCUCCAGUUGACAAUGUUGUAGAACUCAGCUAGUACUCCAACUUUGUCAACUACGCCAUCUCCUAACUCGCUUUGGUUUGGAAGAUAAUCAUCGUUGAAGUUGCUCUGUCAGACGAUCAAUGCCGUGUCUGAAUCGGACCCGAGCUCGUCGACGUGGCCGACCGGCGACAGAGCUUCGCCGACAUUUGUUGCCCAUACGUCGCUCUUGGCCCCGCUCGUCAGCUCCCAGCGCACGCAUGACCGCCACGGCGAUGCCCCGGACGUAGUGGACGCGUCCACUCUUUCCUUCCUCUCACUCUUUCGCCAGAAAAGCGGCCGCAGUGAGCUCAUCGUCGCGAGCUCACUCCGGCGAGCUCAAUCGCACUCGUCGCUGCGUUGCUGCUCUCCAAAACUCGCCGACAGCUCCGCCGUGAACCGCUCUCCAUCCUCCAACCGCUAACUCGCCGUGAAACCCUCCGGUGAGCCAACAUUUCCAACUUCCCCCAAAUCGGGUCGCCGUGACCUUCUUCUCCGGCGAACUCAAUGCCGAGCUGCUCGAAGCCUCUCGUCUUUUCUGGUUAGGUCCUAGAGGUAGCUUAGGUCCUUAGUGAACGUUUGCGCCACUUGGUGGACGCUCUACCGCGCUCACCGUCGUCGGACACGACGCGCAGCGCCGCCGUGUUUCCGCCGGAGUUGGGCUCUCUCGUGGCCAGCUCAUUCCACGCCGUUUCAAGCCAAGUCGCCUACCUAGGAAGCUUCGCCUUAGUUCUCUGGUGCUGUAGGAAACCCUAGGUCGCACUCUACCGGCCUGAGAGCUCUGGCGUAAUGCCGAGCACCUCCGCCGAACCGCCAUGGUCGACGGCAAGCCAUUUCCGGUGGCUCCGCCGCGGGGAAAAGGGGGUCAAUCGGUUCGCAAGGGUCUAAGGGCCACGUUGGUGCCCUUGGUUUGGCCGGAGACCUCGCCGUCGCGGAGAAAUCGCCGGUGAGAGUCGCCUCGGCCGUGAGGAAGACGACCCUGACAUGCGGGACCCGCUGUCAGUGUCGCAUCGUUUCCCUCCUUUUCUUUUAUUCAAAUCCAGGUUUUUGGCUUCUUUGCAAAAAUCAUAUCUCCAGUUUCUGAGAUCCAAAAAUUGUGAAACCAAUUUUGUGAGAUUCUUUGAGAUGGAUAGUUUUUAUUAAAAAUAUAAAAUGUACCAUGUUUUCCGAGAAAAAUAAUUAUUAUGAUUUAAUCUUGUUAUUCAUGAGUAAAUUCAUAUCUUUUGUUUCACUGCUCCUUUUGCUAUGAAGUUUUUAUGGUAGUCUCUGAGUGGUAUGAGAAUGCUGUGAUGACAAUUUCAUGAUUUUUGGAGUGAUAUAUCUGUGGUAUGAAAUUUAUGGCUGAGAUAUGGCUUGUUUUAUUAUUUAAAUCAUAGUAAAUAAUUGAUGCUUAUACUGGUGCUCUACUUUGGUGUCACACUUCUUUACCGUAGUAGUAGUAUGUAAAUAAUCUGAAAUCUAUUGUUUGACACUAUAUAAGCCAUGUUUCUAAAUUUAUGAAAUAAAUACCUUGCCACAUGUUAAAUGCUUAUCUUGAAUUUGGCAUGUGCAUUGGCUCUGAAAUUUUUAUGGUAAUGUAUAAAUGCUAUACUUAUGCUUCUAUAAUUUUUGUAGAUUUUUUCUGAGUACUUUUGCUAGUAUCUUGUACUUAUGCCCCUUUAGUGAAUUAAAUUAAUAAGUACUAUGAUAUUAAAUAUUUAGGGGUGAACAUAUGAUGUUCUGGUUAUCUUAUGAUAUGCUUGUGCUUGUAAGCCUUGUGGUUGACACUGAUUAUGUUUUGGUUAUGUCAUCAAAUAAUUAAUUAGAGGGUUAAGAGCUGUCCUGGACAGCAAGGGGGUAAUCUAACCUUUACUUGUUGAUAACUUGGUUUGCUGGAAGACUUGUCUAAAUCAAAGUUGUUGUAAACUGUAUGAUCUAGAUGUGGUUUAAUUUUGGGAUCAUUUGGUCUAAUAUUUUGAAAGUCAUAGCUUUUCCAAGUUGGGUUCCAGAAAUAGGUGUUCUCUGUUUUUCUGGGACAGAACCUGGAACUUUGUUUAAAUGACUUGUUUAACUUAUGAAUCUUGCUAUGAUGUUUAAAGAUGAAAUGUAGACAAUUUCAUAAGCUUUCCAGAAUGUCCUCAUUUGUGUUUGUUGGAUCUUUAUAGCAAUAGUUAUAACCUAUUUACUGUGCUGCCCUGUUAUGUGAUGCUUGCUGUUUAUGGUUGGACACGGUAAGUUUCGCUAAGUUAUCCUUUGGGAGUUUAUCUUAGAAGUUUACUCAGUAAAUGAGUGUCCAGUGAAGUUCUCAUUGCAUUGGCGAGCAUUCAUUCUAAUCUAGUAUGCACACAUUUCUUAUUCUUUAUGCAUGCAAUAGGUGCACCGGAAGCAACGACCGCGUUCGAGCUCCAAGUAGCUCAUGAAGGCUAGGAGAUCAGCCCGGAGGUGGAGGUCCAGCAAGCCGGACACGAGGAGCCCGAAGAGGAAGUUGAGUGCCCGAAUCACGAGCCGGCAUCGUUCGUGAAAGGCAAGCCCCGGAGCAUCUUAAGUCUCCCACUUUAAUUUCGAAAGCUUAUUUGAGUAUGUUAUAUCUAUUGAUGCAUUUACGUAUAGGAGUUGUGAUGAAACCUUUGCUGCAUGUCACUCAAUCCUUGUCCAGAUAUUUUACCUUUACCUGGUCAUAGAGUUAGGAUCGAGUAGCGGCUUAGUCAGGCUUUAACCGGUAGAAGUCGGGUGAUAUCCUGUCACCUGCGCGGGAUAGGGUUGUGUCGGAUCACGAUUGUCUAUAUGUGCUAUCGUGGUUGGAACCUGAUUAGAGUGACAUAAGCCGGGCAGAGUUUUGCAAGGUUGUAGUAACUCCAUCUGUGGUAGCUAAGGACCGAUCGUUUUACGUCCUCUUGUCAUGUCGAACGCAUGCCUAACACUUAGUUGGCUGGAUAACUCAUUCCGACCGCGAAGCCUAGUAGUAUGACUCAGGCCGGAAGACCGGCAAGUAUAAAGUGCGCACUACCGGAGGAAGUGCGGUGUGCGGGGGACCAUUGGCGUAAGACCAAAGGCAGGUGAGUUAAAAUUCCUGACCUCCCUGGCAGAGUGGUAGCUCUGGGAGUGCGGCGCUGAUCGGAGCCGCGAUUUCUGAGUCGCACCAAAGGUGACCCGCUGGAUCUCCGACGGGGGAUGCUUGGGUGAGUGCUAGGAAUAACCCUCCAGCUGGAUAGGAAUCGAUUCGAAUCGCCGUCUCUCCCGGAUAGUGAGAACUUGACAGAGCAGCGGCAAACGUAGCAUCCACUAAAGAACAAUGGUUUGUGUUAAUGAUGAUAGCAAUAAAGAGCAUAUGAGGAACUUGAUAUGGUUAUUAUUGCUUGUAAUAAUCAAGUGAUGUGUUCCAGUACAGGUGCUAAUCUAGUGGUAGGCUAAUGAUGAUUAAUAUGAUGCUUUUACAGUAAUGUAGCUAUUAGUUAAGCUUUUGGCAACUGUUAAGUCAAGCCAGCUCCACUCUAUAUUUAGCCUUACAUGAUCCUUGGUGUCUUUUAUGUUUUACUAGAUGGGUAAGUCUAGCUGAGUACAUCCUCGUACUCAGGGUUUAUCUCCCACCUGUUGCAGAUGAUAUCUUUUAUGAUGGCUUCUGCAAAACCUGUCUCCAUCCCGCUGGGGAUGAGGAUUAAACCGUUGGGCACGGUUCUCUAACAAACUCGUACCUGCUGCUUUUGGAUGGAUGGCAUGAGGCUCUGGCAAUAACAAAAACUUUGGAAUGUGUGUUGUAAAAUAUUUUGCUUGCGCUACUACAAACUUGUGUUGUAAUAACUAAGUAACUCCGAUGUGGCGCCACUUCGACGGCAAUGAAUGACUAUGUAACAUUCGCUGUGUUGUGUUGAACUGUUACGAUCUUGGUUUGUUGCAAGUUGGUUUGAAGUCCUUCGUGAUUUCAGUUGACUACCGGGAUUAUAUGGGCUCAAGUUUGGAAACUUGAUUGCUUGUCGAUCGUUUCUACACUUGAACUCUUAUAAUUUGGUCGGUUCUGUGACAAUGUUGACGCUUGAGCCAAAGUCACAGAGUGCUUCUGGGAAGUCCACCAUGCCGAUGGAGAUCGGGAUGACGGGGCGUCCUGGAUCGCCUCUCUUGACCGGCAUCAGUGACGGGGUUACUUCGGUAGUUACCUGCAUCAAACAUGUCUACAAGAUUUGCAGAUUCUAAUCCUUUCGGUUGUGAUGGUAUACCGGGGUUAGUAGUAGGAACAGCAGCAGCUAUUUGAUUUAACUGAGAUUCAAUCAUUUUAUUAAAGCUAAUUUGAUUCUUGAUGGCAGUAGAGAAAUUAUCCAUUAUAUUAUUUAUGAUUCUUGAUUAGCUUUCCUUGAUUAGACGCUAACUCUCUCAGAGGUGGAAAAUUAUUGUUAUUAUAAGAAUUGUUACCUUGAUAAUUACCUGAGUAGUUAGUCCUCUGUUGAUUCCAACCCUGAUUUUGCUGGGGACGGUUGUAGUAGUAGUUGUUGUUGUUAUUGUUGUUGAUGUAGUUCACAUCCUCAAGCAUCUCAGGGCAUUGAUUGCCUGAGUGUCCAGUAUCUCCACACUCCUCACAAGACAUGUGAGAGUCGUAGAUGUGCAUAACUUCUUUCUUAUCUCCAGCUCUAUCAUCGAGCUUCUUCCUGAGCAGGUCUAGCUUAGCAGACUACUUGUCUACCUCCUUGAGCUGGUGCAUACCUCCACCUCUCUUGCGUGUCUGGGUCCUUUCUUCAUUCCAGCCUUGGUUGGACGCCAUCUUCUCCACAAGAGUUGUGGCUUGUGGUAUGGUGAGUGAUAGGAAUGCUCCUCCAGCUACAGCAUCCAUAGUCUCUCAAGCACUAUUGCCGAGCCCAUGAUAAAAUGUCUGCAUUAGUAGCCAACUCUCCAUUCCAUGAUGGGGACAUUCUAGGAUGCAGUCUUGGAAGCGCUCAAAUGCUUCUGGAACGAAUUCAUCUUGUUGUCGCUGAAAACUUGUAAUCUUCCCACGGAGAGCAUUGGUCUUGCCCAUGGGAAAGAACUUAGCCAGAAAGUUCGUGGAUCAGAGUGCCCAUGUAGUAUUCUUCUCCUUUGUAGCGUAGAACCUCUGCUUCGCUCUCCAUAAUAGUGAGAAUGGGAAGAGGCGAAGUAGUAUAGCAUCUCUGGGGACUCCUUAUAUGGUGAAUGUGCUGCAAAUCUCCAGGAAGUGUUGGAGAUGAGCCCUCUCGGCCUCCGCUUCGUUCCCGUGGCUUCUGGAGUCUUCUAGAUGAUAGAAAAUUGUGCGGGAUGUUAUUAUCUCUAUGUAAACCCGACAUGUGGGCCUUUCCUCUGUAUUUCCUGAUAACCCCCUGCAGAAAUAGACAAACACCAAAACUCGUGGAAUUCUGUCAGAUAAAACCCUAAGUCUGGGUGUUGGUUGCAUUUGGAUCCUUUUCCAUGAUUAGUUGAUGGUUAAAUGUGAGCAUUAAGGACCGUCAACAAGCUCCCCUAAUCUUAACCUUUGCUCGACCCUGAGCAAAGAUGGACUCAAGAGUUUCUGCAGUGGUUUCAUGCCUUAAAGGUACACAUGCUUUCAAACAAGAUCUCAUCUCUGGGUUAGGGUAAACUGUUAAGAUUUAAACUUACUCAUUUUACCUUCAACCAUGGGGCUUGCAACCGUCACCUGUGUCUUGAGCAGUUAAAAGAUAGAACGGUCUAGUCAAGCGACAUGUCUCUCAUUCUUGAUCAACUAUAGCUCUGGAGUUUUUGCAGAUUUUCAAAUAAAACUCAGAGAUUCCUUGUAUGACUCUCUCAGAUCUCUCUUUUGUGGUAUUUUUGGAUCCUUACCAAAGCAGUGAUGGUAUAUGCCUUCUCUCAAAAUAUGUAGUAUUUGUGGUAUGAAGCAUAGUGACAUUGCCUUCUCUCUCAUCCUACUCUAAUAAGGCUUUUGAUAUCUGGAGCUCAUAGGUGGGAGAUAAAGUAUACAUACUUACAAGACAUUUAUUGCAUAGUCAAACCAUGGAUCCAGAAGAACAAGUCAAUAAGUCAAAUCAAGAUGUGCAUGUGUGGCGAAUGAAUGAUGUAUGGUGAUGAUAGUGAUAAUGGUGAAAACAAUGGUGAAAGUCUAAUUCUACUUUUGCUCUUUUGAGGGGUACAUGCCUUCCUUGCUCUUUUUGAAACUUUUGGGGAGAAUGAGAUGCUCUGUAUUUUAUUUUUCUUUCCUCUCAGGUGGGUAUCUUGUACCCCUAAUUCUACUGUCGGACACUUGUCCAUUUUUACCUCUCGUCUCACUUUUUCUUUUCUUUCGAGGUUUCGGGCACUUGCCCCUUUUUAUUUCCUCGUAUUCUUUCUUUUUUUUCUUUAUUUUUUUAGAGCACUCAUCUACUGAAAUAAUAUAGCAAGUGGUAGUAACCAAGAUAACUUGAGCAUUUAUUUCAUAGGGAAAAACAAAAAUAGGAGAAUGUUUUUGGCUAUUCUCUCCCGGAUUAGGAGUAGAAUAUUUUGGGUUGGUUCUGGAGAUGGAAAUGGGUGGAUAUAUGUGGAUGCGUACUUCCGGAGUAGAAGCAGCAUGUAUGAGUGGAUGUGCAAGUGAAUCUUGAUUUUAACCACAUGACAAGCUCCUAAGGUUCUACACAACUUGACCACACUCAAUGCUCAUAAGCAGUAAAAAGUAAAUGUAUGGUUCAUAGUCUAAUAAGCAUGUAUAUAUGGCUGUGGUAGGAUUUUAAACUCUCAUCAUACAGGAACUCAUCAUGCAACAUUUUAAAGAUUUUCAAAGAUAAAAUUCUCCAGAAUUCUAGCAUCUCCAGGAACAGAUAGACAGCAGCUCAACCUUCCCUUAUCAUUUCUGUUAACGACUUAGACUUUAGAUCAAGUACUCUUCCCAUAAGUUCAGGUUUAGAGCAAAUCUUAAUUCAUAACAGUCAAGCCAUGUUGAUAAGUCCAGGCUUGAGCUCAAAGUUGUCGUCGAUCUCUGCAGCAGGUCUAAUACGGAUGUUGUCCGUAGUGGGAGCUGAGAAGUGACGGAUCAAUUUGUUUGCCAUGGCUCCGAAUUCUGAAGACAAGAUCCGGGUGAAGCUUCGGUGAUCUUCUUGAUUGGAUGAAGCUUCGUGCUGAAGUGUUGAUGAUCUCUUCUUGAGCUUGGCUCUUGUUUUUCUAAAUAGCGCUUUGGGAUUGUCAAUAAAAUUUCCAGGAAGAUGUCUUCUAUUCAUACAUUACACUGCAUAAGAUAAAAUAGAAAAAUAUCGGGGUAAAACUGUAUGAGAGAAUUGAUAAGCUCAAUCAUAUUAGUGAUGCGAAUGAUGACUCAAAAUUCCAUAUUCAUUCCUAAUUAGUAAUCAACCUUCCCCGGCAACAGCGCCAAAAAUGCUUGUUGGGCAUUCUUAAUGUCACUACCAAAAGUAGACUAAAUUUUCUAAUUCUGAUAACGGCGCCAAAAAUGCCAAACCUAUCCCUCAUGCCACUUAAGCCUAGUUGUCAUUCCCAGCAUGACAUAAGAGACGCGGUAUUGAAAUAUGCAAUUGCUCUUCUAAAUAAAUAAUAAAUGGGAUCUACAAGCGCACAGAUUAAUACCGAUGUAGCAUUUUAACCGGGAAGUAUUUCAUGUAUCGUUAUUUAUAUUUUUACCACUGGGAAGGGAUUGCUAAACAUCAAUGUUGAUUAUAGAAUAGAAUAUAGGAUUGAGUAUUUAUCAUUGCAUGUAUAAUUGAGAGCAUUUAUCUAUCUCUUUCAUAUAGGGAUAAGUGUCACAUAAAAGAUAUAUAAAGUAUGAAUGGUGACAAAGAUAAAUAAUCUGAUCAGCAUAACUUAGCCACAUAUAAAUAUGAUAAGCACCUCAAUAGAUAUUCUAGCAAGUCAUUAGCAUGGAAUUAGGACGAACUACAAGAAUAUUUCCUAAGUUAUUCUCAACUAUAAAGUCUAGCAUAUCAUAGUUAGUGCAAUUAUACUUGGCAAUCAUUGCGAGACAGGUGUUGACACCGAUUUUUGGUCACGUAUCUUUUGAUACGCACAUAGAGUUAAUGGAACGUGGAUCACCUAAUGGAGCAAUGGUGACUAGUCUACAGGGGAGUUGCCGAUGAAGGUUGGUGCCGAUGGGGAAACAACCGAAUAUGACUAAGUCCAGAAGUAGUGACGUAUUCAUGUCGAUGAUCAGUGUCGAUGUUUGCCGAUGGCUGUAACAGGUAGUCUGCCGAUGACUCUGAAGAAAAGAACAACUACUACUGCAAGACGUUACACUGGGAAUUCUCAGGCUCCAACGUUCCAGAUGCCUAAUGCAUCGGCAGAUCCAAUGCCGACGCAAUAGAGGUUUAUGACACAGCCAGGGUAUGUCAAUUCAAUGAUGAUGCCCAAUUACCAGUCAUCGGCAGGGCCUAUGCCGAUGAAUGCUAACAGUGGAUGGACAGGACAGUUAGUCUUUCCACAAAUGCCUUAGCAGAAUCAUGAGGCUGUAGGGUUCCAACAAGGCCAAAUCCAACCUGGGUUUCAGAAUCAAGGGGUGGUCAACCAGCCGAUGAAUCUUGGUCAGCAAAUUGGUGGUCAGAUGACUAAUCCGAUGUUCCAUGGAGAUCGUGCACCAUAGAGACACGUGGAAGCAUAUCAACAGGUGCUAGAUCCACAGCUGCCUCAUCGGCAAGAUGUCGAUGCAUAUUGGGCCGAUGAGAUAGCUGAAGUAAUGAGAGACCAAUUUGAGAUAAAACCCAAAGUCAACACUGCUGAUAUUUGGGAACACAAUAAGGAAUUGAUCCGCAAGCGCACGGAUAUCGGUGAGCACUUCACCCGGGAGGUUAUCCAGAGUAUUGUAUUUAUUUUUUUACCACUAGGAGAAAGAGUGCAUCUGACUAACCGGUCUAUUACUACUAACCCUUUAGGCACAAAGAAUGUCUUUCGAUGUGAGUGAUAAAUAGAGAAGACUGCAACCGUAGUCUCCUUCUAACCUUGGUAAGGAUGAUCUACUGUUCUAAUGGGGAGGCUAAUGGAAUCUAGACACCACAAAGGAUGUUCAACCCGCACCUAUAAACCCUAUCCUUCCUGCUAACGAGAUGUGAUCUGCAAAGGUAACUCGGAAUUGUCACGUUCCUCACUACUACCACGGUCCAGCUAGUCAGGGAAUAUCUAUGAGUACCCCAGCCUAAACACCACGUUUACGCCAGCAAUGAUUACUCUAAACUCUACGCGAAGAGAUUAAAGUAAACUCAUAAACCAUAAGAACAAUAAAACAAGAACUUACUAGAAUUUAGAAGUCGAAAUACUGAAGAAUCCUAGGAGCAAGCUUCGGGUUAGGAGAACUUGAUCCCGCAGGUACAAGCUUGGAGUAGACACCGACAGGCCGGGCUUCCUCCAAUCUACACCUCCACUCUAUCUCUCUCAAUCUAGUAGAAACUAGAAGAUCUAUUUCUACCUUACAUUGGUUGCUAAGCCUAAAAAGAAAUAUUAAUUAGAGAAGAGGUUUUCCUUCGAGGGCACCCCUCAGUCUCUAUGAUAAUUUCUUCAUGUCUUCUCUAGGGGCCAGGGGGUCUCCUUAUAUAGUCCUCGUCCUCUAUGCGUUUUUGGGUCGGUAGGCGAGGUGGUACUAUGUUUUUCUUGAUCCAAUAGGUCGGUGGAAUAUCCCGUGCGAAGAGAGUCCUGAACUGGAUCCAGCAGGGGGCGGGCGCCCAGGUCACCAGGGCGGGCGCCCUGGGCCUGGCCCCUUUCGGCCUCCGUCUUCUUCCCAUAGCUUCUAGAGUCUUCUAGAUGGUAGAAAAUCGCGCGGUGCGUUGAUAUCUCUAUGUAAUCCCGACAUGUGGGCCUUUCUUCCUUAUUUCUUGAUAACCCCCUGCAGAAACAGAUAAACAACAAAACUCGUGGAAUUCUGUCAGAUCAAACCCUAAUUCUAGGUGUUGUUUGCAUAUUGGUCCUUUCUCUUGUUUAUUUGAUAAUUAAAAUUGAUACUUAAGGACCGUCAACAAAUACCCCCAUACUUAGGCUUUUACUCGUCCUCGAGAAAAGGAUGGUUAAGAACAAUAUCUAGGGUAAACACUUUAUAAUUGCAGGGUGUUAAAAAUCCACUGUGUACCAUUGUCAGGGAUGUUUGUGGUUAAGAGUAAAGAUCCUUUCUUCACAAUCCUGCCACUUGGAGUUUUUUUUGUAUAUUUUUGAAAGAGAGUUAGCAUACCUUUUUAUCCUCAUAGGUUCUCUCAGAUCACUCAUUAUCUUUUAUAUAUCUCACUGAGGUUGUUUUAUUUUGCAAAAAAAUCUCAAGCAUACUCACUUUGCAUUUAUUGCCUGAUCAAAACGGGAACCGAGGAGGGGAAUGUCAUACUCUUAGAUCAAAGACUUUGGAAAUUAAAAUCUUUGUCAAUUCUUGCUGGCAUAUUGCUCAUUAGAGAGACCAUGGGCUAUCAUUUUUUUUAAGUGGAUACCGAAGUACCCCUAAUUCUACUGCCGGACACUUGUCCAUUUUUUCUGUGAGGUUGUCGAGCACUUGCUCCUUUUUAUUUCCUCGAAAUAUCUAUAUUUUUGCAUAGCCCAUGCCUCUAAUGCAAUAAUACUUCGGAAGAGUGAAUCUUUCUGAAUAAAUGUCUUGAUCUUAGGAGCAUGAUAAAUCUCUCAACAAGGGUCUAACUCAUUUUUAACAAACUCAAUACAGAGUAGAUAGCUUUUAUAAUUAUAAUUAAUAUUUUCAGUUUUAUCACGCAUAUAAAACACUGAGGAUGGUAGCUAGAGUUUUGAAUAUUUUGAAAUAAAUUCUCCAAGCAACAAUGAUAUCAAGAAUAAGAAACUCAUACACUACCAUCACAUAUUCCAUAAUGACUUAAGCAACACAGGAUUUUAAAAUGAUUUUAUAAUAAUUACAAGUUUUCAGGAAAUAUCACAGAUUGAGAUUAAUCAUGAUUAGAAAUAUUUUAAUCUUUUUAUUUUAUCAUGUCAGAAACAGUAAUCUGCAUAAUCAAGAUAGUUGUAUGUGUAAAGUAAAGUGUGCAGAGUGUGUACCUGAAUCGUGGAGUGGUGUAGUAGGAGUGUGUUUGGCAUGUCGAGGGAUCUCCCCCAUACUUGUUUUCUGCUUUCUUGCACAAAAAUAAAGUAGAGACACACAAGACAUAAUAAUAAUAAUACUCUUUAUUAAUCUUGAGGCAUUUAUUACAAAAGACUGGUAGCAAACUCAUAGCAAACUGAUGUUAAUAGUAAACCUAAACCGAAUUUAAAGUUAGAUGACUAAAAUGCAUUGCCUCAAGGUCUAAUCUAGAUAACUUAGCAGCGCUCUAAUUCCCUAAUCUUCUUGUUGGCAUUGGCAAGAUCCUGCCUAAGGCCUAGUAUAAUGGUGUUGUGGUUAGAGAGCUGCCUAGUGAGGGAAUUAAUCGAGGACUGGAGAUCUAUGAUAACUCUGUCUCGUCUGCGAACGUCCUCAUCAAUGUCUACUAUAGUCUUGCGACGCUUGGGAGGUGUCUCAAAAGCAUUGAGAGCGUGCUUCGGGUCUGCCUUUGGAGGGAUGAAAUGGACUUUGGCUGCUCGAAUCCCUUCAAAGUAAGGCCUUUUCUCCUCCAUAGUGUAGCGUACACUGCUGAUCUCGCCGCUCCGGUUGGUCUUGACUCCAACGACCCUCUCAUUGGGUCUAGGUGGAAGGAUCCUCAUGCCGGUUGGCACCAUGAUAGUGGUCUUCGUCUUGGAUGAUGAUCCUUUGAGGAGUAGGGGUUGUGGCGGUGCGGUGAGAACUGGUUGAGCAUGGUAGGAUUGGGCGGAGUUCCGUUGGCGUAAUGGCAUGGCUUCUACCUGUCUUUCUGUGUUGGCCGGGACGAGAGCACGGGCAUCGGGGUCUUCCACAGGCUCCAUGUUGAGGUUGAAGGGGACGACUUCCCAAUCAUCGUGGUACUUCUCGGCCAUUGGAGCAGCAAGGAACUAAUCAAGCUCUAAUUGAAGGAGAGAAGGCUUGGUGUUUGAAAACUGAGGUCAGGGGUCUGUUUAUAUAGCGGUCAAAAAGGUGCCUCUAUGGGUUGUUCGGGUUGCUCCCGUCGAUGUGCGUGCGAAACUUUACAUCCGAGGGAUUAUUCGGAUUACCAUAAGUGCAUUUUCCAUAACAGAGAAAAUCGGGACCGAGGGGGAACAGGAGCUGGGCGCCCACCCACCUGAGCUGGGCGCCCGCCCUCUCUCUAGCCCCUCUGUGGGCCCACUUUCUCGAGCGCGUUUCUAGAUACGAAAUUAUUUAGAAAAAUAUAUAUAUGACCCAAAAUCAUCAGACUAAAAAGGUCGGGCUCUAAUUCUCCAUGGGAAGGUAAAAAUGGACUACGUCUAUUUCUUCAAAUUCUUCAUUGGGAUCUAAAAAUAAUUUAAGACGUUGACCAUUUACCUUGAAUAACGUACCUUUGCUAUUUUGAAUUGUGAUAGCUCCGUGGGAUGAUGAAUUAAUUACCUUAAAUGGUCCUUCCCAUUUGCUCCGAAGUUUUCCAUUCCCGAAAAGCUUCACCCUGGAAUUAAAAAGUAAUACCUUAUCUUCGAAUUGUGAUAUGCUUUCUCUUGCCAUUCUUCCAAUUCUGAUAGUUGCAUUCUUCUAUAAUCUCCAGCAACAUCUAGGUCCAUAUUCCAUCUCUUUAUGGCCCAGUGUGCUUUGAACUCUAGUUCAACAGGUAGAUGGCAAGUCUUCCCGUACAACAAUUGGUAUGGAGACAUUCCGAUUGGGGUCUUGUAUGCUGUCCGGUAUGCCCAGAGUGCAUCGGGUAACUUGUCUUUCCACGCCGUUCCCAUUUCAUUUACUAUCUUUUGAAGAAUAUUCUUGAUUUGUUUGUUGGAAGUCUCUGCUUGGCCACUUGUCUGAGGAUGAUAAGGGGUAGCGAUGUUGUGACGGAUUCCAUGUUUUGAUAGAUAUUGCUUGAAACGUUUGUCGAUGAAGUGUGCUCCUCCAUCACUUAUCACUACUCUGGGGACUCCAAAUCUUGGAAAUAUAAUUUCUUCAAACAUACUCUUUGAACUGACGUUGUCGGCAUGCUUGCAAGGUAAUGCUUCUACCCACUUGGAGACAUAGUCAACCGCCACCAAGAUGUACUCGCACUUCUUUGAUGGAGGAAAUGGACCCAUGUAGUCUAUUCCCCAGACAUCAAAGAGCUCAAUCUGAAGGUUGUUGGUGAGUGACAUUGCAUCCCUUGUAUUUAUGUUUCCGUGUCUUUGACAUGGCCCACAUCUUCUGAUAUAUUGCUUCGUGUCUUCAUACAUUGUAGGCCAGUAGAAUCCACACUGCCAGAUCUUUGAAUGUGUACGGAAUGCUCCAUAGUGACCUCCAUAUGGUGAUGAAUGACAUCUGUCGAUGAUCUUCCAUCCUUCCUCAGUGGUCACACUUCUCCUGAGUAAGCCAUCAGAGCAUACUCGGAAGAGGUAUGGCUCAUCCCAUAUAUGUGAACGACUUUCUUGAAUAAGCUUCUUCUUGUUUGCUCCUGGUGGUACAUACCCUGAAACCAUAAAAUUAACAAUAUCUGCAUACCAGGGGUCAGACCUGUUAAUCCCGUAGAGCAUGUCGUCCCGGAGUGAAUCAUUGAUGGGGGUUUCCUGUGGACUCUUAAAAUACAUUCUAGACAAGUGAUCAGCAACAACAUUUUCUACUCCUUUUUUAUCUUUUAUUUCUAAGUCAAAUUCUUGGAGUAUAAGAUCCAUCUAAUCAGGUGAGGUUUAGCAUCUUUUUUAGUGAGCAAAUAUUUUAGUGCAGCAUGAUCAGUGUAAACAAUUAUUUUAGCUCCAACUAAAUAAGAUCUAAAUUUAUCAAUGGCAAAGACAACAGCCAGAAGCUCUUUUUCAGUGGUUGCAUAAUUAAGUUGAGCUCCUGUCAAAGUUUUACUGGCAUAAGCAAUUGCAUGAUGCUUUUUAUUUUUAGUUUGUCCUAAUACUGCCCCCACAGCAUAAUCACUAGCAUCACACAUAAUUUCAAAAGGCAACGACCAAUCAGGUGGUUGAAUGAUUGGUGCAGAGAUGAGUGCUUUCUUCAAUAAAUUGAAAGAUGUUAAACAUGCAUCAUCAAAUUCGAAAGGAGCAUCCUUGGCUAGUAAAAGAGUAAGUGGUCUAGCAAUAAAUGAAAAAUCUUUUACGAAUCUACGAUAAAAACCAGCAUGGCCAAGAAAGCUUCGAAUUCCUUUUAUGUUCACAGGUGGAGGUAGUUGUUCAAUUACUUCAAUUUUAGCUUUGUCUACCUCAAUACCUCUUUCAGACACUAAGUAUCCCAGCACUAUUCCUUCCCUAACCAUAAAAUGACAUUUUUCCCAAUUAAGGAUUAAGUGCUUUUCUUCACAUCUUUGCAAAACCUUGUCUAAGUUUUCAAGACAACUAUCAAAAGUUUUUCCAUAAACAGAGAAAUCAUCCAUGAAAACUUCCAUAAUCUCUUCAAUCAUAUCAGAAAAUAUAGACAUCAUGCAUCUUUGAAAAGAAGCUGUGCAUUACAUAACCCAAAAGACAUUCUAUGGUAAGUAUAAGUUCCAUAUGGGCAUGUAAAAGUGGUUUUGCUUUGAUCAUCAGGAUGGAUCGGGAUUUGGUGAUAUCCUGAAUAUCCAUCUAAGAAACAGAAGAACGAAUGAUUUGCUAACCGCUCUAGCAUCUCAUCUAUAAAAGGUAAAGGAAAGUGAUCUUUUCUCGUGGCUUUGUUUAGUUUUCUAUAGUCUAUGCACAUCUGCCAUCCAGUGACGGUGCGUUGCGGAGUUAGCUCGUUCUUUUCAUUCAUAAUAACAGUCAUGCCUCCCUUUUUAGGUACAACUUGUACUGGGCUUACCCACUCACUGUGCAGCACAGGAUAUAUAAUCCCUGCAUGCAGCAACUUUAUAACUUCCUUUUUAACUACCUCUCUCAUAGUGUUAUUAAGUCUACGUUGGGGUUCUCGGGAGGGUGAAACAGAAGGAUCUGUUGGAAUACGAUGGGUACAAAUCAUAGGACUGAUUCCUGUAAGAUCUUGGAGUGAGUAGCCAAACACUGAGUGAUGUUUCUCCAGAAUGGUCAUUAAUCGCAGAGUUUGAUCCUGAGUGAGUUUAUCGCUAAUGAUCACAGGGAACUCUGGAUUAUUGUUUAGGAAAGCAUAGGUAAGACCGGGUGGUAAAGUUUUAAGCUCUAUGGGGGGUCUAGGUGUUUCUGCAAACUCAUCUAAGGGUUCAGGCUCAGAAGGUUCGUCUUCUUCUUCAGUGAAGAAAGGAAUUUCGUCUUCUAAGUCUGACUCUUCUAAAAGCUCUAGAGAUGCAGCCUUUACCUCCUCCAUAGGAUCGGGCAAAAGAUAUGAUUCGGCCUUAUUGUUUAAGGAGUGUGAAAUUGUUAUUGGGAUUUUAACAGUUUUUCCAAAAGAAAUGUGUAGCUUUCCAGUAUGACCUUCAUAAAGGAGUCUUCUAAAAGGUUGUCCUAUCAACAGGUCGAAGUCCCAUGUAUCAAAGAUAUAGAAGUUCAAAUGAACCAUGGAGCCUUCUACCGUAAGAGGUAGGACAUUAAUAAUUCCAAGACUGGGGACUAAUCGUCCCGAAGAUUCCUUUAUGACCUUCAUUGUGGGGGUUAAGACAAGAUUUUUAAAUAGUUUAAGUGCAAAAGAUUCGGACAUGAUAUUUAUCCCCACAACAGGAUUAUAAAGAGCAUUAAAUCGAUCAGAAUUAUAAGCACAGCGUAUAGUUAUAGAGGGUGUGUCCAAACGGAUCACAUCAGAGGAAAGCUCUGAUUCAUCCAACCAUUCGCUAAUCAUUACUGAGAUAAGCUCUCUCAAUUGAUAUUCACUUGGCAAAUAAAUGCUAAACUGGCCAUUUUGGGGUUUGUCAAUAGAAUGGUAGUUUGAAAUAUUUCCAAAAUCGGCAAAAAGAUCAGAUUCUAUAUCCUGCAUGAAGUCCGGUGGUGGAAUUUCUUCCUCUUGUGGCUCAGAACUUGGGAUAGCUAAAGUAGAUGAAGAAUUUGGUAGAGUGUCUACUUCGGCUUCGUAGGUUUCAUCAUGAAGGGUAUUAUCCAUCUCAGCUUCUAGGAUUCUAUCUAGGAUCACUCUAGCUUCAUCAGUAGGGAUUCGAAAGAAAGAACCUCUAGACAUUGUGUGUAGCAUUUGUUUGUGAUUUUUCUGAAGACCUCGAAAAAAGUGGAAUAAAAGAACAGGGUCUUCAAGAUUAAGGUUUGGACCAGAUUCUAAAAGAUCAGAAAAACAUUUCCAGGAUUUUCCCAAAGUUUCAUUAUCUUUUUGUUGAAAAGAUAGGACUUCGAGUCUAAGGUCGGCUAUACGGUCAAGGGAAUAGAAAUCUAGACAAAAGUUAGCUCGUAAAACUCCCCAUUCACCUUGUUGUUGACUUACCUUCUGACUGUACCAUUGUCUAGCUUCUCCCUUUAAAGAAAACGGAAAAAGCUUCCAACGUAAAGUUUUAUCAGAAAUGCCUUCAAUGCGAAGACAAUCACAUGUUUGCUCAAAAUCUCUAAUAUGAAGGUAAGGGUUUUUGUCUUCCUUUCCCGAAAAAGAUAGGUUUUGAAUCAUGGCAAUCAACCUAGAACUUAACUUAUACUGGGAUGUUUGGAUAGGCUGUGAUGAUUCCCAUGGUAAAAGGUCAGUUGCUAAAGGGAUUGCAGACUCAUGGAUCGAUUUAGAAUUUUGGUUUUCCAUAAGGUAAGAGUAAAGAAAAUAAAUAAAGAAUAUAAAAGAUAAGAAAAGAUAAAAGUAUAGAUACAAGCUAGUAGUAAGACUCAGGUUAUCUCAGCAACCGUCUUUCUCCCUGGCAACGGCGCCAGAAAUGCUUGUUGAUAUUUGGGAACGCAAUAAGGAAUUGAUCCGCAAGCGCACGGAUAUCGGUGAGCACUUCACCCGGGAGGUUAUCCAGAGUAUCGUAUUUAUUUUUUACCACUAGGAGAAAGAGUGCAUCUGACUAACCGGUCUAUUACUACUAACCCUUUAGGCACAAAGAAUGUCUUUCGAUGUGAGUGAUAAAUAGAGAAGACUGCAACCGUAGUCUCCUUCUAACCUUGGUAAGUAUGAUCUAGUGUUCUAAUGGGGAGGCUAACAGAAUCUAGACACCACAAAGGAUGUUCAACCCGCACCUAUAAACCCUAUCCUUCCUGCUAACGAGAUGUGAUCUACAAAGGUAACUCAGAAUUGUCACGUUCCUCACUACUACCCCGGUCCAGCUAGUCAGGGAAUAUCUAUGAGUACCCCAGCCUAAACACCACGUUUACGCCAACAAUGAUUACUCUAAACUCUACGCGAAGAGAUUAAAGUAAACUCAUAAACCAUAAGAACAAUAAAACAAGAACUUACUAGAAUUUAGAAGUCGAAAUACUGAAGAAUCCUAGGAGCAAGCUUCGGGUUAGGAGAACUUGAUCCCGCAGGUACAAGCUUGGAGUAGACACCGACAGGCCGGGCUUCCUCCAAUCUACACCUCCACUCUCUCUCUCUCAAUCUAGUAGAAACUAGAAGAUCUAUUUCUACCUUACAUUGGUUGCUAAGCCUAAAAAGAAAUAUUAAUUAGAGAAGAGGUUUUCCUUCGAGGGCACCCCUCAGUCUCUAUGAUAAUUUCUUCAUGUCUUCUCCAGGGGCCAGGGGGUCUCCUUAUAUAGUCCUCCUCCUCUAUGCGUUUUUGGGUUAGUAGGCGAGGUGGUACUAUGUUUUUCUUGAUCUAAUAGGUCGGUGGAAUAUCCCGUGCGAAGAGAGUCCUGAACUGGAUCCAGCAGGGGGGCGGGCACCCAGGUCACCAGGGCGGGCGCCCUGGGUCUGGCCCCUUUCGGCCUCCGUCUUCUUCCCGUGGCUUCUGGAGCCUUCUAGAUGGUAGAAAAUCAUGCGGUGCGUUGAUAUCUCUAUGUAUUCCCGACAUGUGGGCCUUUCUUCCUUAUUUCCUGAUAACCCCCUGCAGAAACAGAUAAACAACAAAACUCAUGGAAUUCUGUCAGAUCAAACCCUAAUUCUAGGUGUUGUUUGCAUAUUGGUCCUUUCUCUUGUUUAUUUGAUAAUUAAAAUUGAUACUUAAGGACCGUCAACAAACACCUGCUCUUAUCGGACACCGUAUCCUCCUACAUAUGACUUGAUUCCACUUCCAAAUCAGUACAAGGUACCAGAUUUCACUAAGUUUUUUUGGACAGGAUGAUACAUCAACUAUGGAGCAUGUCAAUAGGUUCAUCAUCCAAUGUGGAGAAGCUGCUAACAGAGAUGAAUUGAGGGUUCGCUUGUUCUCAUCAUCUUUGUCUGGAUCGGCUUUUACUUGGUUUAUUUCGUUACCUCCCAACUCAGUGAUCACUUGGGCCGGUCUAGAGAAGCAAUUCCACAAAUACUUCUUUUCUGGAGUUCAUGAAAAGAAGAUCACCGAUUUGGUUAGGCUGAAGCAACGCAAUGAUGAAUCGGUUGAAUGUUUUGUGCAAAGAUUGCGAGAAGUCAAGAAUAAAUGCUAUAGUCUGGUUUUAGAUGAUCGGCAACUAGCGGAUUUGUGUUUUAGGGAUUGUUGCCACAUAUUAGAGACAAGUAUGCUUCUCAAGAGUUUGAGAGCCUAAGUCACUUGGUGCAGAGGAUUUCUGACCAAUAUAUCAAACCCUUUGAGCCUAAGAGAGCAUGGAAUAAAAAUGUGUCAUUUGUCGAUGAGGCAACAAGCUCAGAUUCCGAAGUCUUGCCCUUUUGGGCAUAAAGAGUCAGAGAAAUUUGCAUUUGAUAUCACCAAAGCUGAUAGGAUAUUUGACUUUCUACUCCAAGAAGGUCAAAUCAAGUUGUCGGCCAAUCAUGUGAUUCCAUCGGCUGAGGAAUUAAAGAAGAUGAAAUAUUGCAAAUGGCACAAUGCGACCUCUCACAGUACAAAUGAGUGCAAGGUUUUCAGGCAACAGCUGCAAUCGGCUAUAGAAUCUGGGAGAAUCAAGCUUGAUAAUUCUAAAAAUAUGUUGGAUGCCAAGGGGAAGACCAAGGUCUUAACAUCAGAAGCAGCUGAGUGAAACGCAUCGGUAGAUCCUCAACAUCAGGUUACUACUGAUGACGCUAAAGAGAAGGGUCUGGUUCAGGAAGGAACCAGCUCAGGAAGGCCUCCCCGAUCUGGCAUUGUGAUAACUCAUAGAAGGCAUCGGGAGACGUGGCAGCAAUGUGAGGAUCGGUAUCGGCGCCAAUAGGAGAAUUAUCGUCGGGAAGAAGAAAGACGCCGACAGGAAUGGAAUCGGCAUAAAGAUCAUUGGAAUUGCCCGUUCUUUAUCCACUAUUGGGAACAGAACAUCAAAUUGCCAACUGUUAGAGAUUGCCCUGAGUGCAAUGGUUAUGAUACGUAUGAUAGACCAAAUCGGCAGUAUCAAAACAAUGAUCGGCGAUUUAAUGGGCCGAUUAGGGGAAGAGCUUCGGUUCAUGAUCGGUUGGGAGGUAGGCUCAGUGUGCAUGACAGACUUGGUGAUCGUGUCGAGUAUUUUCCCAGGAACCAAGAAGAACAUGAAGAUAUGGCGGAUGCACGAGUUCCCGAUGAAUUCAUAUUUUGUAGGGAUGCUAAUACUUAUCGAGUGGAAUCGAAGGAAAAUCGUCGUCCAUCGGUAAGACAGCCGCAAUGAUGUCCAGAAGGGCUGACUAGGACACAAAAAAAGAAGGCUGCAGCGUGAAAGACGAGAAGAGUUGAGCAAAGGAGAGAGUUCUGCUAAGUCUGAAGGUCGGCAGCAGCCAGAUCCUAAAGGAAAAGGGCCAUCGGCAGAUGUUAAUAUUGUAUUUAUGUUGCCGAUGGAGUUCCUUGCACCAUGCAGUGAUGAUGAAGAGAUGGAUCUUUCCGACCAGAUAGCUCAGUUAGCUCUGGAUCCAAUGACGGCUAUCUUUGAAAAGCCUGCCGACAAUGAAAGGCAGCAUCUUAAAGCUCUGUUUGUCAAUGGAAGGGUUGAUGGGCAGUCGAUGACCAAGAUAUUAGUUGAUGAUGGGGCUGCUAUCAAUAUUAUGCCAUAUGCAGUCUAUCGAAAGCUUGGAAAAGGAGAUCAAGACUUGACCAAGACUGACAUGAUCCUAAGGGAUUUUGAAGGAAAUGUGUUCCGAUUAAGGGAGCAAUAUGCGUCGAGUUGACUAUCGGCAGCAAAACCUUACCGACAACUUUCUUCGUGAUCAGUGGAAAGGGUGCUUAUAAUCUGCUACUAGGGAGAGAUUGGAUCCAUGCCAAUUGUUGCAUCCCGUCAACAAUGCACCAAUGCUUAGUUCAGUGGGUAGGUGACAAGAUUGAGAUUGUCCCGGGAGAUUCUUCUUAUGUCAUCACAUCGGCAGAAGCGGAUACUUAUGAAAGGACCAGGUGCAUCUCAGGAGAGAUUUGGAAGAAGGAUUUCCUCAAAGUUGCUGAUUAUGAAAUUCCACCGAUCCAAGCAGUCGGUUCUGAUGAGGAAUUUUAAUGGAUAGGUUCGCCGAUGAUGGAAAAUUAGGCCAGAGGUUUACAUCUGCCGAUGAUUUAGUAGAAGUAGAUAUAGGUAAUGGUGAUAAGCCUAGACCUACUUUUAUUAGUGCUAAGUUAGAUUCUGAGUGUAAGCAACAGUUAACCGAUUUAUUAAAGGAAUAUAAAGAUUGCUUUGCUUGGGAUUAUACUGAGAUGCCUGGUUUAGACCGAUCGAUUGUUGAACAUCAGUUACCUAUGAAGUCUGGAUUUUGGCCACAUCAGCAGCCAGCCCGCUGAUGUAAUCCUAAUAUUCUUCCUGAUAUUAAGGCCGAGAUAACUAAACUUAUUGAAGCUAAAUUUAUUCGGCAGUGUUGGUAUGCCGAGUGGAUUUCCAAUGUUGUCCUAGUUUACAAGAAAAAUGGGAAGCUUCGAGUAUGAAAUGAUUUCAGAAAUCUUAACAAGGCUACGCCGAUGGAUGGCUACCCAAUGCCGGUUGCCGAUCUGCUAGUCGAUGCUGCAUCUGGACAUCGGAUCAUAAGCUUCAUGGAUGGCAAUGCAGGAUAUAAUCAGAUAUUCAUGGCUGAAGAAGAUAUUACAAAGACUGCAUUUAGAUGUCCUUGUCAUGUUGGGCUGUUUGAAUGGAUAGUCAUGACCUUUGGUUUGAAAAAUGCUGGUGCUACCUAUCAAAGGGCUAUGAAUUUUAUCUUUCAUGAGUUCAUCGGCAAGUUGGUUGAAAUUUAUAUUCAUGACAUGGUGGUUAAGUCUGGAGAUUUUACAAAGCAUCUUGCCGAUUUGCGAAAGGUAUGCAGUGCACAAGGAAACAUGGUUUAAAGAUGAAUCCUAAUAAGUGUGCAUUCGGCGUAUCGGCAGGGCAAUUUCUUGGCUUCAUGGUGCAUCAGAGAGGAAUUGAAAUUAGCAGAAGAUCUAUCGAUGCUAUUAACAAAAUAGUUGCUCCUACCAACAAAACUGAGCUCCAAUCUCUGAUCAGCAAAAUAAAUUUUAUCAGGCGAUUUAUUUCCACUUUGUCUGGUAAAAUUCGUGCUUUCAGUCCUUUACUUAAGUUGAAAGCCGAUCAAGAAUUUAUAUGGGGAGAAGAGCAAGGAAAGCCCUCCAGUCUUAAUUCCACCUCAGCAAGGAAAGCCCUUCAGAUUAUAUUUGUCUACCGAUGGGAUGGUCAUCGGUUUGGCUUUGAUUCAAGAAUUCGAAGGGAAGGAGCGUGUGAUUUACUAUUUAAGUAGAAGAUUGAUUGAUGCUGAGACCAGGUAUUCGGCCAUUGAAAAAUUGUGUUCAUGCUAAUAUUUUUCUUGCAUUAAGUUGAGGCACUAUUUGCUAUCGGGCGAAUGUACUAUUAUAUGCAAAGAUGAUGUGGUUCGAUAUAUGCUAUCUAUGCCGAUUAUGAGUGGUAGAAUCGGUAAGUGGAUUUUGGCAUUGUCAGAAUUCGAUCUACGUUACGAAUCGGCUAAGGCGGUUAAACGACAGAUUAUGGCCGAUUUUGUGACUCAACAUUGCGGUGUAGUGGAGACUUUGGAAAUUGUGCCUUGGACGCUCUUCUUUGAUGGAUUCACGUGUGAUCGGGGGGCAGGAAUCGGCAUAGUACUAAUUUCCCCACGGAAGGAAGUAUGAGUUCUCUUUGUCGAUUGUUGCUACGUCAACGAAUAAUCAAGCCGAGUAUCGAGCUUUGAUCAAGGGGUUGGAAUUGUUGAAAGAGGUUCUUGCUGAUACUGUUGAAAUCUUCGGGGAUUCUAUGCUGGUCAUAAAUCAGUUGGCUAGAAGUUAUGAAUGCCGAAGCGAAGUCCUAAUAACUUAUUAUGAAAAAAGUAUGCAACUAUUAAAGGAAUUAAAAGAUUUCUGAUUAGAGCAUAUUCCUCGGUUGCAUAAUGAGGAAGCUAAUCGGUUGGCUCAGCAUGCCUCAGGAUAUCAACCCAUAUUAAACACGUUAUCGGUAAUCGGUGUUGAUGAUUGGAGAAAGGAGAUUGUUGAUUAUUUGAAAGAUCCAUCCAAAAGGGUUGAGAGGCGCGUUAGGUUCCAAGCUACCAAGUAUGUGCUCCUUGAGGAUGAAUUAUAUUAUCGAACUAUAGAUGGAGUUCUUCUCAAAUGCUUAGGAAAUGAUGAAGCCAAAAGUUUGAUGGUUGAGAUCCAUGAAGGAGUAUGUGGAGUGCAUCAGUCGGCUUUUAAGAUGAAAUGGAUGAUUAGGAGAAAUGGGUAUUAUUGGCCAACCAUACUCGAAGAUUGCUGUUGGGUAUUCUUAACAUCAUUACUAAAAGUAGACUAAGUUCUAAAUCUAGCAACGGUGCUAAAAAUGCCAAACCUAUCCCUCACACCACUUAAGCCAAGUUGUCAUCCCCAGCAUGACAUGAGAGACGCGGUAUUGAAAUAUGCAAUUGCUCUUCUAAAUAAAUAAUGAAUGGGAUCUGCAAGCGCACAGAUUAAUACCGAUGCAGCAUUUUAACCGGGAAGUAUUCCAGGUAUCGUUAUUUAUAUUUUUACCACUGGAAAGGGAUUAGCAAUCAUCAAUAUUGAUUACAGAAUAGAAUAUGAGAUUGAGCAUCUAUCAUUGCAUGUAUAAUUGAGAACAUUAUAUCUAACUCUUCAUACAGGGAUAAGUGUCACAUAAAGGAUAUAUGAAAUAAUAAUAGUGACAAAGAUAACUAAUCUGAUCUAGCCACAUAAUAAAUAUGAUAAGCACCUCAAUUAGAUACUCUAGAAAGUCAUUAGCAUGGUAUUAGAACGAACUACAAGAAUAUUCCCUAAGUUAUUCUCAACUAUAUAGUCUAGCAUUAUCAUAGUUAGUGCAAGCAUACUUAGCAAUCAUUGCGAGAUAAGACUACGCCCAUGCAUAGUGAUAUUAGCAAGGAAUAUGAGAAACAUAGCAAUCACUCCCCUGUAAUAAUGAUGCUCUGCCAGCCCAAUACACGAGAGGGGGACUAUAUAAGAAUCAAUGAAGCUGUCACUAUCACGAACCACCCCACGAUCUGGCAUAUUGGGUACAAUCGCAGAUAAAUACGGUAUAAGCACCACGCUUACACAAUAUCUAGCAUUUACCCAUGGAUCCGAUGGAUAAACGCUAUACGAUCCUAAGCAUGUAUAUAGAUCGUAUCUAACUAAGCCAAGUACAUAACUAUGAUAAACUAAGAACAAUAUAAUCUUGAAUAUAAGCAAAUAGAGCAAAGUCAUAAGCAAUAUAUUGAAGUAGAACAAAGUCAUAUUCAUAAUAUUGAAGAACAAAGAUAAUUAGAAAGCAAUUAGAAGCACAAUUAGAGAAUUACCAAGAAUCCUCCUGACAGAUCCGGAAACCAAUCGAAGAUUGACUCCUUCUAGUUCUAAUCCUAUGUAGCUAUGCUAAUCUAGAUGUCUAAUUGUUGUGGUGGCUCUAAUCUUGAUCAGAGGCUUCUUCUCCCUUGGUGGAACAAUGAAUUAGGGUUGAGAGGCUCUCUCCUCCAGGGGCCAGGGGGUCUGGUUUUAUAGUCCCUUCAAGUGAAUAUGGGCCCUUGGAUCAAACCGACAUAGAUUGUAUGGUUUAGAUUCAUCCUUUAGGUUGGUGGAGAUCUCCCGCAAAGCAGAGUCCUGAUUGGACUCAGGGGCAGGGUGGGCGCCCUGACCAACUGGGCGGCCGCCCAGGGUCUGGCCCCGUUUCGCCUCCGCUUCGGUCUCGUGGCUUCUGGAGUCUUCUAGAUGUAAGAUAAUUGCGCAGCACGUUAAUAUCUUUACGUAAUCCUGACAUGUGGGCCUUUCUUCCAUAUUUCCUGAUAACCCUCUGCAGAAAUAGACAAACACCAAAACUCGUGGAAUUCUGUCAGAUAAAACCCUAAGUCUAGAUGUUGAUUUCAUUUGGGUCCUUUUCUUUAUUUAUUUGAUAAUUAAAUUUGAUACUUAAGGACCGUCAACAAACUCCCCCAAGCUUACCUCUUGCUCGUCCCUGAGCAAAGAUAGACUCAGCUAUGGAUCAUAAGUUGUUGCAAUAUAUAUAUAUAUAUAUAUAUAUAUUUUAAAAAAAAAUUGACGGUACACAUGCUUUUUAAAUAAGAUCUCAUCUCUGAGUAAGAGUAAACUGUCAAGACUUAAAACUUACUUACUUUACCUUUACCAUGGGACUUGUAACUGUCACUUCUGUCUUGAGUGGUUAAAAGAUAGAACAGUCUAGCCAAGUGCCAUGUCUCUUAUUCUUGAUCAGCUAUAGCUCUGGGGUUUUUGCAGAUUUUCAAAUAAAACUCAGAAAUUCCUUGUAUGAUUCUCUCAGGUCUCUCUUUUGUGGUAUUUUUGGAUCCUUACCAAGGCAUUGAUGGUAUAUGCCUUCUCUCAAGAUAUGUAGUAUUUGUGGUAUAAGGCAUAGUGACAUUGCCUUCUCUCUCACCCUACUCUAAUAAGGCUUUAAUAUCUGGAGCUCAUAGGUGGGAGAUAAAAUAUACAUACUUACAAGACAUUUAUUGCAUAGUCAAACCAUGGAUCCAAAGUAACAAGCCAAUAAGUUUAAUCAAGAUGUGCAUGGGUGGCGAAUGAAUGGUGUAUGGUGGUGAUGGUGAUAACAAUGGUGAAAACAAUGGUGGUGGAAGUCUAAUUCUACUUUGCUCUUUGAGGGGAUACAUACCUUCCUUGCUAUUGAAACUUUAUGAGGAGAAUGAGAUGCUCUUUUUUUUUUUUCAGGUGGGUAUCUUGCACCCCUAAUUCUAAUGUCGGACACUUGUCCAUUUUUACCUCUCGUCUCACUUUUUCUUUUCUUUCGAGGUUCCGAGCACUUGCUCCUUUUUAUUUCCUCGUAUAUUUUUUUUAGAGCACUCAUCUCUUGAGAUAAUAUAGCAAGUGGUAGUAACAAGAUAACUUGAGCAUUUAUUUCGCAAGGGGAAAAUAGAAAUAUUUUUGGUUAUUCUCUCCCGGAUUAGGAGUAGAAUAUUUUUGGGUGAUUCUGGAGAUGGAAUGGGUGGAUAUAUGUGGAUGGUACUUCUGGAGUAGAAGCAGCAUAUAUGAGUGAACGUGCAAGUGAAUCUUGAUUUAACCACAUGACAGGCUCCUAAGGGUCUACACAGCUUGACCACACUCAAUGCUCAUAAGCAGUAAAUAUUAAAUGUGUGGCUCAAAGUCUAGCAAGCAUGUAUAUAUGGCUGUGCUAGGAAUUUAAACUCUCAUCAUACAGGAACUCAUCAUGCAACAUUUUAAAGAUUUUCAAAGAUAAAAUUCUCUAGAAUUCUAGCAUCUCUAGGAACAGAUAAACAGCAGCUCAACCUUCCCAUAUCAUAUCCGUUAACAACUUAGACUUCAGAUCAAGUUUUCAUCUCACAAGUUUAGGUCUAGAGCAAGCUUUAAAUUAUAACAGUUAUAUCUAAACUUGAGAGAGAACUUAAAAUUUGCAAAUUAGGCAGAGCAACUAUUUAUCAUAUCCAUGCUUAAGUUUUAUUUAGAUACAGAUUAGCAUAGCCACUUUAUUUAUUUAUUAAACACACUAAGCAAAAGACAUAUAUAAGCAUAAAAUCUUUAUUUGGUUUUCCCAUAGUUUAUGUGUAUUUUAAUAUUUUAAAAUAAUAUAAGUAUAAAGAUAGAUAGAAAUACUUAUCGUGAUAAAUGGGGGUGCUCUCCCUCAAGCUCAAUUUUGACGUAAUUUCUCUUGGUGUAGCUAGCAGGUGGUAGAGGUGUAUUUGAAAGUCAGCAACAUUCUGACAGCGAUUAGAAUGUCCUCCGUCUGCUAGUCUUCUUGAUUCUUAAAUUUCAGUGGAGCUCAAAUAGACAACAAAGCUUGUGGAACUGAUUAAGUGUUAGCAUAAAUAUCUAGCCUUUAUUAUCUUGACACUCCUUAAUAAAUGUUACUCCCUGUUUUUAUAUUUUUGUUUUAUAAAGCAGAAAAAUAUUUAUUUUAUUUUUAUGCCACCACAGUGAAUGUACUUAUGGGUUUUAUGCCACUCGUCUACUCACAUGGGGCUUACUGUUUUUUCACAUUUUUAUUUUCUUUUUAAGAUAGUGUGAAUAUGAUUAACUAUGUAAACUAUUUGAAAUAACUGAAAGGGAAAGGAUAACUACCAAGUUUACCUCUUGGCAAGGCGUUCGGUGUUUUUAAGUCCUCCGAACGGGACUCUCCAAUUUCUUAAUUGUCAUGAGGUUCGUUGGGUGGCGUAGUCGGUACUUCCGGCAGCGCCUCCUCUUCUUGUAUAGUUAUCUUCAUUUUCCAUACCUGACUCGGUGCUUCAAUCUCCUCUGGAUAAUUCUGUUUAAACUCUACGUCUUCUGACCUUACAACUUCUCCUUCAUAGUCUGCCCAUCCGUCCUUGAUGAUCUGCCUCCUCUGGUUGCGGUUGCGUCUUUUUCUGACCUACUUAGAUUCUUCAAUGAUAUAGUCAGGGUCAAUAAAAUAACGGCGUACCUUCUCUGAGGGGAAGUGCAUAUGGACUUCUCCGGUUCCAAUGUAGAUAAUUGCUUUAAUGGUGCUGAGGAAGGGUCUUCCAAGGAUGAUGGGUGGAUCAUACUCAUCUUCUCCCAUGUCAACAACUUGAAAGUCUGUGUUGACAAAGUGAUCGUCUAUUUUGACUGGGACAUCAGAUACUAUUCCUUUAACUUCUCGAAAUGUCUGAUCUGCCAUCUGGAGCUGAAUGUAUGUUGGUCUUAGUGGCAUGGUCCCGAACAAGAGCCGAUAAGUGACUGCGGCCAUUAUGUUGACGCCCGAUCCGGUGUCGCAAAUCGUCUUGUAGAAGUUGUAUCCAUUUAUGGAGCAGUAGAUGCUUGGCAUUCCUGGGUCGUCCUUCUUGGUCAAAAAUGGUGACUUAAGUUGAUGAUCUUGGCCUCCAUGGACUACAGUGACCAUCUUAGCUGACUCGGUCCACACUUGCUUGUUCCUGUUUCUCCUGUUGGUACUCUUCCUUGAUUCACGUCUGGAUUCAUCUUGAAUUUGUAUAGUCUUGUUCUUGAAGAAAAAUGUCUCCUUCUCCCCUUUGACAUAGAAACUGAUCUUGGCAGCACUAGCGUAGAUGAUAGCUCCCGUGGUGUUCAAGAAUGGCCUCCCUAGGAUGAUAGGUGCUCUCUCAUCAUUUCCGGUCUCUACCACUACGAAGUCUGCUGGGGCAUACAAGGUACCAACUCGGACACAAAGGUUCCUCACUAUUCCGUUUGGGAAAGUUAUCGUCUGAUCUGCAAACUGCAAACACAUGGUUGUCUCUAAUAAAGGAUAUGUAAAGAAUUUCUCAUAGAGUACCCUGGGUAUAAUGUUGACACUGGAGCCAAAGUCACAGAGUGCUUCUGGGAUAUCCACCAUGCCGAUAGAGAUCGGGAUGACGGGGCGUCCUGGAUCGCCUCUCUUGACCGGCAGAAGGUCAGUAGAAAAUUCAGUGACGGGGUU